rnacentral:lncRNA from 1 species
UUUUAAGAAGAUUGAAAUUUAAAAUAAACUUGGUGUUAGAUUACAUAUUAAUUAUAAUCCCUUGAUGUGUUCUUAAUUCAAAAUAAUUAAUGUGCAUUUUAUUUAUUGUCUUCCAUUAAAGAUUUAAAUUUAUUAAUAUACAAAUUUUAAUUUAUUUUUUCACCAAAAAAGAGUUUUUUAAUUUCUUAAUUUUAUUUAAUAUUCUUCAAACUUGAAAGACUCAAUUAAUUAUCUAAAUGUUAGUACCGAAACUAAUGUAUUUAAAUGUUAGUACCAAAAUAUAUUAUAUUAAAUUAAUGUACCUAAAUGUGCGUACUGAAAUGUAUGCACCGAAAUGUAUUAUAUUGAAUUAAUGUACCCAAAAUGUUUGUAUCAAAAUGUAUGUACCGAAAUGUGUGUACCUAAAUGUAUGCAUUGAAAUGUAUUAUAAUGAAUUUAAUGUACCUAAAUGAAGAAGACAAAGUACAUCGAAAUAUAUUGUAUAACAAAAAUUUAUUUAUCUAAAUGUUUACAACAAAAUAUAUUACGACAAAAGAAAUGAAAAUUAUAAUUAUAAUGAAAAAAAAUUAUACAUUAAAAAUUAGGAAGAAAAAGAGAAAUAAUUAAAAAAAUAAAAAUAUAAUUGAUAAAUGAGGUUAUUAAUGUAUCAAGGGACUAAAAUUAGAUUUUUAUCUUACUUAUGGUUUUAAUCUAAAAGUCAUCUUUGCCAAGGAUUAAAAUGAAGUUUUCUAAGAAAAUAAUGUGGGUCCAAAUAAAGUUUUCAAGAAUAAUUUCUACCGAACGAGUCAAACUGACCCUAAAAGCGCUUCUAACAAAAACUAUUAAGAACUUGAUCACACAAAAAAUAACUAAAACUAUUAUGAACAAUUUUGGUUUUUACAAAAAACACACACAAACCAGGCCCUUGAUCUUGAACGAGCAAAUUACGUUUCACAAUUGUAGUAUGGUGCAAGUGCCUAACAUGUCUAAGUGGAACCCAAAUAAAUGGGUUUGGGCCUACAGUUUAGGAUAUGCUUAAGCUUGAAUUUAAGCACCAGCGAAGGCAUCUACCGUUCAUGGUUUCUUAGUUAUUCGUUUAAACAACAAGCCAAACAUUAACAUAUUAUCUAAUAACAAAUAUCUCCUUUCGUUGACUUCACUAAUUACUAUUUAAUUGUAAUUAAGAUUUUGGGAGUCUACCAAAUGUCAGUGUCAAUCCAUUUAAAAGAAAGAAGGGUCCAUGAAAUAUUUUAAACCCUCAGUCACACUCACCAGGGCUGAAGUUGGCAACGUCCCUUAACCACUCCACUUUGUUUUGGAGUGUGAUGCUUCUCAAGUGGUCUGCCAUAUCUAAUCCACAACAAGUGGCCUUCGGUUCUUUGAUUGAGGAUGCCAAAGCUCAGGCGUAUGAGUGGCAGGAAGUGGACUUUCUGCACGUCAUUGUAACGGUGUUGCAUGCACACUGGUUAGCUAAAAUUUGCUUUAUUUAUAAACUAUUUGUUGAAAGUAUCAAUUUCACAUCGGGACAAGAGGGAUAUUGAAUGUAUUUAUAAGUAGUUGAUCUACUUCUUAUAUUGCCAGCAGGUUACCCCGUGUGUGAAGCCAAACGUACACUCGUGCUCCACGUCAUCCGAUUUGUGUUGUCCACGUGCUAAUCUUGAAAGUUUGCCACACGUGAGGGAGUGUGUUGAGAGUAUCAAUCCAUAUCAAGAAAAUGAGGAACAUUGCAUGUGCUUAUAGGUAGUUAGGUUAUUUCCAUAUUGCCAAUUAGUUUUCAGAGAGAACCUCAUCUUUCCUCACUACUAUAUAAUUUGGUUCGAGGAUACCUCCCAACCUUAUUUAGGACGUCCUCAUCCAAGAUCUUUAAGUGUACUUCUGCAUAUGUUUUAAUAAAGGCAUUACCUAAAAAAGAAAAAGAAAAAAAACUAAUGAAAAAGGGUUUCAAAACUUUGAGUUUUUAUUUAUUGAUAAGGACAAUAGAUGAAAAAGAAAAGAAACAAAAACUAAUCCAACCCAAAGCACGUGCAAGCGCACACAAGCAGUGCAAAAGCAAGCAUCUACCAAUUCAACAGAAAACCAACAUGCAGUGCAAAAGCAGCACACUAAUUACUUUUUUUAAAUAUUUCAUCAGGAAGGAAAAGGUUUAGAGAGAGAGAGAGAGAGAGAGAAUGUGAGGGUAGAGAGAAGAGAAAGCCAAGCAAAUCCAUUCAAACUGAAAUCAACAGACCACAAAAAUUUUCACCAAGAGAAAGAGAUUUGAGAGAAAAAAUAUGCAGUGCCUAUUGACAUCAAUACAUGACUACCACUCAACCCUACAUGUGGGGUAGCCUCACAUCAUCACCCCAUGUUCAAACGAUGGAAUUAUUUAUUAAUUUUAACCCUAGCCAGCUAAAACUUAAAAGUAAGGAAUAUUAGAAUAUGAUCCCCAAUGAAAGCACAUUUAGCUUUUCUGAUGCUUUUGAUCUAUCAUUUAUGCUUUUGUUGUUAAUUUUGUAUUGAAUAAAUUCAAGGAAAGUCAAAUAAAUUGAUUGAGAGAAAUAUUAAAAAAAAAUAUAGGAAUGUGAAAAUCAUUAUUCUAACUCUGUAAGAAUAUAAGCAUUAUUGCCAAUGAUUCAUAUGAUAAUGAGAAGAGAGCUUCAAAUUUUGACCCUCUUUUAGUGUUCAGUUUAGAAAAUAGUCAGUGUUCAGCAUAAAAAACAGUGGUAGUACUAGUGUUCGGUUUAAAAAUAGUCAGUGUUUAGUUUACGAAAUAAUUAGUGUUUGGUUUAAGAAAUAACCAGUGUUUAGUUUAUGAAAUAGUGAUAGUACUAGUUUACGAAAUAGUGAUAAUAAUAGUGUGCGGUUUAAAAAUAGUCAGUGUUUAGUUUACGAAAUAAUUAGUGUUUGGUUUAAGAAAUAACCAGUGUUUAGUUUACGAAAUAGUGAUAGUACUAGUUUACGAAAUAGUGAUAAUAUUAGUGUUCGGUUUAAGAAAUGGUCAGUGUUUGGUUUAUGAAAUAGUGAUAGUAUUAGCAUUCAAUUUAAGAAAUAGUCAGUAUUUAGUUUACGAAAUAAUUAGUGUUUGGUUUAAGAAAUAACCAGUGUUUAGUUUAUGAAAUAGUGAUAGUAGUGUAUAGUUUAGUGAAAUAGUCUAGUUUACGAAAUAGUGAUAAUACUAGUGUGCGGUUUAAAAAUAGUCAGUGUUUAGUUUACGAAAUAGUUAGUGUUUGGUUUAAGAAAUAACCAGUGUUUAGUUUACGAAAUAGUGAUAGUACUAGUUUACGAAAUAGUGAUAGUACUAGUUUACGAAAUAGUGAUAAUAUUAGUGUUCGGUUUAAGAAAUGGUCAGUGUUUGGUUUAUGAAAUAGUGAUAGUAUUAGCGUUCAAGGGUCGUCGGGGUUUGAUCUUGAGUUGGUGAUUGUUUGUUGAUCUAAAGGGCCGUUGGGGCUUGAUCUUGGAAGAACGAUGAACGAAGAAUGAAGAAGGCUUUCUUGAUUCUUCGGGAACCUGGAUGCUUGAGAGCUUCGGAGUUUCAGAGCUUCAGAGCUUCAAGGUGUAAUAUGAAUUGGUUCCCCUCAAAUGAAUGAAUUAGCCUUCUAUUUAUAGAAAUUUCCAAGGCCUAAUUUUGAAUAUAAUAUUCCAGGUGAAAUAAGUCGUUUCUGCCAGGUGUUGACACGUGUCCUGUUUGAUGACUUUUCCAACUUAUUUCGAUUUUUUGUUUAGACACACGCUACGUGUAAAAUUUAUGUAAUACAUGAGCGUUGAAACUUUGAUUUAUCGGUCAACAUUUAUUUACCGAAAUUUCGAUGUCUACAGUUUAGUUUAAGAGGUAGUCAAUGUUUAGUUUAAGAAAUAGUGACAGUUUAAUGUUUAUAAAACUGAAUAAUGAAUUUUUUAUUUAUUUUUGGUCUUGUAAUAUUAGUUUGUUCUAAAAACAUUAUGAAAGAAUGGUCAAAUAAUAAAAUAAUAAAAUAAAAAGUAAAAAAUAAAUUGUUUAUGGAGUGAGAAUAGGUGACAUGAGAGAGCGGGGAGAGGUGAAAGGAAAGAGGAGAGAAAAAGUUGGUGUCAAUGUGUGAAGUGAAAGGAGAGAGAAAAUUGAUGGGACGUGAGAGGGGGGAUUCGGGGGGAGAGAGAAGGAGGUUGAAUGGUGUAGGGAGUGAGGGAGGACGGGUGUGUGUGUGAUGUGAUGCGCAUGACCCGCUCGUCAAUAUUUGUUCUUUUUUUUUUAGUAUGUUAAACUUUUGUCAUUUUCAUUAAAACAAAGUUUAAGCCUUUUUUUAUUAAAUAAAGUUAAUAAAUGAUUUUUUGUCAAUUAAAAGUUUAAAUAAGACAUUUUCAUUAAAACUCACUAAAAUAAAAGGAAAGCUCAACAAAAAUAGAAAAUUUUCUCAAGUUUUGAUUUGCUACACUGGAUGACUGAUGUUGAGUUUAAUAUAAAACUAUAUUUAAACAUUUGGAGGAAAAUGAAAAAUAAAAAGUCAUCCCAUAUAUGACACACUCCGACCCGGAAUGUCCACUAGGACUCCAAAUCGAUUUGUGAUGGCCGACACCUGGAAGGUGACAUAGCCAUAAAAUGUGAUGAUGUGGGAAAAUAUGAAUAAAUUUAAACCUAAGAGUGCCUAAUUACCAGAGUACACCUGUGAGCAGGAAUGAACCCACUUCACAUGUGACGUUGGAGUAUAAACAAGUACAGAAGAGUGAAUUAAGAAUCGUACCCUCGAAAUAAUCUCCAAUACUAAAAAUCGCCACGAAUCUUCGACGAUAAGAAAGCUCAGCUAAUAAAACCUGGAGGGUGAAGACAAGACAAAGGUGAGUGACCCUGUAAAUAAAAUUUUAAUAUAACCCAUAUAAAACAUUAUAACCCCUCGCUACAACACCUGUAUAAUUUUCAGAAAGAUAUCAUAAAUAUACCACAAUACAGCAUCUCAUCAGCAAUAUCAAAUAAUCAUGUGAUUAAUAACUCAUACCAGUACGCAAGUCGAAGUCACCUAUGGUGACCUGUACGACCUACCCAUAUCUCAUCACAUAUACUAGUUCAUCUUAUAUUUCAUCACAUAUGCUAGCUUAUCGCAUAUUCAUCACAUAUGCUAGCUCAUCACAUAUUCAUCACAUAUGCCCAUAUCUCAUCACAUAUACUAGUUCAUCAUAUAUUUCAUCACAUAUGCUAGCUCAUCACAUAUUCAUCACAUAUGCUAGCUUAUCGCAUUUUCAUCACAUAUGCUAGCUCAUCACAUAUUCAAAUAAUAUGUCAACUGGAUCCACCUCUUGUGGCCUGUACGACUUAUCCAUAUCUCCUCAUAAAUAUAUAUGCUAACAUUUCAUCACAUAUCUCAUCAUAAAUAUAUGCUAGCAUCUCAUCAUAUAUCAUCACAUAUAUGCUAGCAUCUCAUCACGUAUCUCAUCAUAAAUAUAUGCUAGCAUCUCAUCACAUAUCUCAUCAUAAAUAUAUGCUAGCAUUUCAUCACAUAUCUCAUCAUAAAUAUAUGCUAGCAUCUCAUCAUAUAUCAUCACAUAUAUGCUAGCAUCUCAUCACAUAUACUAGUCGGAGUCACUUCACGUGACAUGUACAGCUGAAUCAAUAUCUCAUCAACAUACUCACUACCAUCACUAUCAUUAACAUGUACUCACCUGAAGCUUACCUGGGCGUCCGCAACAUCAUUUGGCACUUCGAAGCAUUCACAAUAAUUAGGUUUAGGUAAUACACAUGUGAAUAUGUCAUGAAGCAAUCUAAAACUCAACUAUAACAAAGUAGUUUCAAGUAUAUAUAUAACAUGGUGUGAAAUGCAUAAUCUGUAACGUCCCAUUUCCAAACUAUUUAUUUUUGGGAAUAAUUAUCGGCAAUAAGCCUAAUUAGACACUAGUUUAAUUAACUAAUAUUACUUACGUUUCCUUACUUUCAAUUCCUUGAUUCUUCACACAUUGAUUUAUGAACAACAAUUAACUACCAAAUCAUAAGGUUAAUUCUCACAUUUUCCACCAAUGUCCCUCACAUUGUUCAAUUCCCCAAACAAGGCUAUUGUCCCAAUUAUUUAGUCUCAUUUAUUAUAUGGUUGCAUCUAACGUCUCGUUAGACUGCCUACGUACCCUAAACAGGGAUCAAGCCAUUCGUAGUUCGCAAUAAUCAUUUAUAGUAAUACGCAUAUGGAUAUAUCACGAUGAAAUCUAAACUCAACCAUCUCAUAGUAUUUUAUAACAUAUACAUAUAUAUAUAUAUAUAUAUAUAUGUCAUGGCAUAAAUUUCUCAGUUUUAUUUAAAAGCAUUUAUAGAAUUAUCAAUCAUGAAAAAUAUGAUAAGCAAGGAAAGAUCCACUUACCUGGAGUCCGCACUACAACUUCCUAGCACAAAUAUCGAGGCGUCACAAACGAUCGGCGCAUGUGACCAAUUAUCAAACCAUAUCUCAGAAUUCUUGUUCAUACAAUACAUAACUUACAUCACACAUGAGUCUACGUAAUUCGGUCCAGAAGAUCUACAAAUCAGAUCUCUGAUUUGUAACUUCCAAAGAUUCACAUUAUGCUUCUAGAAUAACAUACUAAAGUUUUAGAAUGAUCCAACGGUCGAAUCUCUGCCAAUUGCCAAAACCAAGUGGCAGUUAAUAUUUUAUUUUACGAACUUACAAAUCCAAUUCGAAAAGAUCUGUACGUCGUAUUCCUCAAAUAUUAUGAAUAAUAACCUAUUAAAGUUUGAUGACGAUCCAACGGUCGGAUCGUCGAUUCAUAUAAUGGCCUAUUAACGUAUUUUAGAGAAUUUUGGUUCUAACGAUCAAUCUACGUCAUUCAAUUAUCAAAAAUGAAUUCAAGGCAUCAAAUAUAGCCUAAAAAUAGCAUUGGCGGCCCUCUGGCCACGCGCCGCCGCACGUGCCACCGUGAGUGGCGGUUGGCCGCCCCGACUCGCCGAAAAAAUCAGCUAUCUCUAAAAGUUACCAAAAUUUUCAGAUUUUCAGAUCUCAAUGAGUAGAACAACUUUCAUACCUGUGACCAAGGCCAAUUUGGCCUGGAAAGGCUCCAAUUUCAUCAAACCCGUCGAAACCCUAGAAUUGGGUGUGCUUCGAUUUGACCUCUAAACGUGUUCCGACACCUCCACCACUAAUUGGGAUUUGUUCCUGGGUUCUAGGGGAGUGUUUUAGUGGUGGUACUUGAAGGGAAGGGUUUCACAAUUAGUGGAUCCCGAGCAAGGUCUCGCGGCACCCCCGUGGGAUAUUGUGUAAAUUCCACCCCAAAUCCCUUCCAAAUUUGAAUGGAAAUGGAAGAGGAAAGGACUAGGUGAUGAUUAGGAGUAGCGGUUUGGUCCAAUUCGUGGGAAAUCCGGUGGAAAACCACCGGAAAAUAUGGAGAAAUGGACUGGGUUUGCACGGGUCACGGGUUGGGAACCUGUUUCACCCUUUUUCCCCGUUCUUCACUCUCCUUCCUUUCCCUCCUUUCUUCUCCCCCUGAUUGGUCCCUCACUUCUCUCUUCUCUCUGGUUGGCCCAACUCCUCCCUCUCUCCUGUUCUGAUUGGGCGGCUCUGCCCAGUUCUUUCUCCUCUCCCGUUUCCCCCCUUUUUCUUUCCUCUUUUUCCCACUCUUUUUAAAUCACUAAAAUGAUAAAUAAAACAGAUACCUAAGAAAAUAUAUACAUAUAUAUAUAUAUACACACACACAUAUAAAUAGUGAUCAAACCAAAAGUACUUCAAGAAAACGCUAAUGGAUUAAUUCAUACACUUCGCUAUACAUUGAUCAACGAAAGUCAAUACCCCCGCCUUUAAGGGCAUUUUUGUAAAAUCAUGUUUUUAAAAUUAAUAGAAUUGUAAAAUUUGGGACGGGUUGUCACAAUAUACAAGGAUGACCGAAACACAUUUUAGAGCAUCUCCAAUGUAAGUGAGCAUUUUUGCUCAGUACCAUUAACUCUAGGGUAUGCUCACCACCCAUCUUAUAGCUUACCAUGUGUCUCACUAACUAACCAAAGUUAACUUUAAUAUUACAUAUUUAAAAAAAAAAUUAAACAAGGGUAUUGUUAUUGGUACUUCAAAAUUGUCAUUUUGCACUCCAAAAAUUUUAUCUUUAAAAAGAAAAAUACAUUUGUGAGGAGUGUAAAAUGAGAUUUUUGGAGUGUUAGUAACAAUUAUUUUGGGGCCCAAAAGAUCGGGGGCACCAAAUUUAUUUAGGGUGUUAUAUCCAUAUAUAAUUUCAUAAGAGUAUAAAUUUAUAAAAUUUGGUUAAAUGAUAAGUAGUUUAAUUAGAACUAGUGGUUUAUGUUGUUCAAAUGUAACAAGGAGGUCUCGGGUUCAAAUUGCUAUAUGUUUAUUUACUUUCUAAUUUUUACAAAUUUUUUUUUAUAAGGUUAUAAAUUUAUAAAAUUUGGUUAAAUGAUUAAGAAGUUUAACUAAAAGUGGUGGUUCUUGAUGCUUAAAAUUAACAAGGAGGUCCCAAGUUCAAAAUGUUAUGUGUGUUUUUUUUUUUUUUUUUUCAUUUUUUAUGAAUUUCUUUUCAUAAGAGUCUAAAUUUUUAAAAUUAUGGAAUUCCUUUUCAUAAGAGUAUAAAUUUUUAAAAUUUUUACCAAUUUCUAUUUGGUUGUUAAUUUCUUUUUAAUUGCUAGCUAGUAGAUAUGUGGGCUACAAUUUUUAGACAUUCAUUCCAAUUCAAGUUUAAUCUUCAACAAAGAGUAAUGCAUAGACAAAUUUUUAGACCAAAUUUGCAACACAUAUGACGUGUCACUAAUAAGAAAUAAGCACGCUAAUCAACACUUAAGUAAUAUUCCAAUCAUCAACAAUUACAUCAUACUGUUUACAAAAUUUGGUUUAAAAAUUUGGUAUCCUUAGCAUUAGCCUUCGAGUAAUUAAUGGAUGCAUGUCUCAUUCAUUGCCUAUAUAUAUCAACUAAAGAUUCGGAAAUAUAAUUGUUUUUUUAGUCCAUAUUGACAAGGUUAGUAAAUAAGAAAAAACAUCUCACGAGUUAUAUAAAAACACUUUAAAAGUUCAAAUAGAAGCGAAACAAAACUUUGGAUAAAUUACACUUUACCACCUCAUGUUUGAGGUUUAUUGCAACCUCAUACAACAUCUUCAAAAAAUUUCACUUUUAUACCUCACGUACUAUUUUAUUUCAAUAUAAUACCUCCGUUACAUUCUUCAUCCAUUGGUCCGUUAAGAGUUGACGUGGCAAUAGUGGACCUCAUUACACGUCAGCCCAUUCAUUCCAAAACUUGGACACGUAGAUAUCCAUCUGUCACGUCAUAAAAAAAACUUAAAUACACAAUUAAAUUAAAACAAAAUGAAAAGGGGCCCACCCCUUUUCUUCCACCCUACCACAAGGCCUCAAUCUCCUCCAAUCUCCAUAACCACUAGCGCACCACCCCUUCCAAUCUCUAAACCCUCAUUAUCUAAUUCUCCAAAUUCUUCUUCUUCCCCAAAUCUCUAUAAAAAAAUCUCUCUAUUUUCGCUCUCAAUCCGAAAAAAAACCCCCAAAAAUUUCAUGGAUUUCGAAAUUUAUUUCCCAAAAUUCAAAACCAUCAUCUUCACCCAAGCCAAUGGUGGAGAGGCUUCUGAAGACGAAGAAGGCAACAUGCAAGGCUCUAAUCGGACUGCGGUGGUGCUAAGGGGGUUAGAAUCGAGAAUGCUCAGAGGGGCAAGAUGGGUCAGGAUGGGAAUCGAAUUUAGACCCAACUGGAAUGGGAAACAACCCCAGAAGUAGAUUGAUUUCGGGGUCAGACCAUCCGGUAGAGGCCUAAGUAAUUGAAGAGGAAGGCUAAAGUGUUUGAUAUGAAGAUUAGGUAGCUGAUGCAGAACCCGACUUGGCCGAGGACGAUCAUGACUUUUACAGAGAACCAGUCGAUUGGGCCACAGACAGCGAAACCCAGGUCGCCGAUAAACGCGAUCUUUGAGAUGGGGGUGGGGUGGGAUGAGGGGGUUGGGGGAAGGGGUCAGUUGGGGGAAGGGAGUGUUUUUGGGUUGCAGGUCGGUUUUUUGGAUGGGAUGGGAGGUGAAGAGAGUGGAGGAGAGGGAGGUGGGUUUUAGGUUUUUUUUAUUUAUAUAUAAUUAUAAAUAGGGUAAAUUAUUAUAUUUUAAAUGCAUAAAAAAUUAUUUUUUUGCUAAGUGACAGCCACGUCAGCACAAAUGUGGAUCCUAUAUUUGCCAUGUCAUCACUUAACGGAUUUUCUACCGGAUGUAUGAAACUGAAAUAAAAUGAUAAGUAAAUGUAUGAAAUUGAAAUGUUUUAAAGAUAUUGUAUGAGGUUGCAAUCGACCCCAAACCUGGGAGGUAAAAUGUAAUUUACCCCAAAACUUAUCAUCUAUCUACUUGUAAGCUCGGGGUUUUUUGGUUCCCUUUUCUCAAUACAAAGUAAAUUAGUUUUUUUUUCGUGUCUAAAUUAUUGAGAGUGAAGUACUUUUGAAGGUAUAAUUUUAUUGAAGUCUUACGCAUAAAAACAAAUAAUUUUUCGUAUAUGAAGUUAGGGCACAUUUUUUGGGUCCCUCGGGGCCUCAAAAGUCUCAGGACCGACCAUGUAGCCACCACCUCUGCAACAUCAGCAACUAUGAUUAACAUCCACCACACUAGCGCUGUCGCCGCUGACGCCAAAACUGCCCUCCUUCUUUUGUGUUACCAUUCUUAGAAAUUCAACAAAAACAAGGAAAAAAUUGAGAAAUUUAUGCAUCUAGCAAGAUCAUUUGAUACGUUUGAAUCUCACCCAUAAUAGUUCACCAUGGACCAAAUCUUACUUACGACUUCACUUCGCUCAUGAACAAUCAUCACCAUCGAAUCUUUGUCCGUUGCGAGCCUAGUAGAAGGAAGAAGAAGAAUUAUAUUGAAAGAAAUUAACCAGCAGUGAGACCAGUGGAAGGAAGAAAAUGAAUUACAGUAAACAAAUUAGAGCUUGCCUAAUGGAAGGAUAGAGAGGUGGAGGAGCCGAGGGGCAGGGGGCUUGGGGUGAUGUAGAGGUAGGGUUGCUGGGACCUACAAUAUUGAGUUUUUGAUAUUUUUUUUAAAUUAAAAUAAAAUAUUAAUUAAAAAGUUAACUAAAGUUAAAUGAAAACAUGUCAAGCUAUAAGACAGGUAGUGAGUAUACCAUAUAAUUAAACGAUGAUGAGCAAAAAUGCUACUUAUUAUGAACUCGUACAUAGUACUGCAAAACAGUGAAGAGAUAAAAAUGGAUAAAUAUAAGGGAGUAAUUUGAACCAUAAUCUGCCAUGCCUCAUAGCCUCUUGGUCCUUGUUGAUCAGGAGAAAAUUUUCAUUGUAACGAGAAUACGGAUGAUACAUCACGUGUUUUUAUGUAAGUGGUGAAAUUUUUUAUUUUUUAGGUUAUUAACCUUUUAACAUAUAAAUCAUACUAUUUGUAUAGUAAUACAUGGUGUACUAUCCCGUAUGCCUGUCAUACUAAAACAUCUCUAGUUGAUCUGUAACCGCUACUCAAUACCUUUGCUAAGGAUUAGACAAACAUGAAACGAUACCGCUAGUGCAUAUGGUUGGUUAGACUCUGAUAGCAAAGGUCCAAAAGGUGGGAAUAUUCUAAUCCAAGGGACUGCAGUGAUCCAUAAGAAAAACAAAAUAAAAUAAUAAGGAAAUCUUUAGCCUACCAGUUAUCAUAUUGUUUGCCUUUUUUCAGACACUGAUCAGAAACCAGAUAAUUGACACGACAAGAUUACCCACUCAGUGUCUAAUUGUUCAUCACCUUGAGCAGUUGAGCCGAACACAUAUUUCGAAAUGCCUUUUGAUGCAUUGAUGAUAACUGCGCAUCUCCUUUCGAAUUUUUCUUGUUUUUAAAAAAAGAACACACUUUAGACACUACGUAUUUAGUUUACGUUUUUAGUAUGAUGGUUCGAAAUAAAAAUUGAUAUGUAUAAAAAGAGAAAAUGGUGUGUGAUUUCUAUUUUCUUCUAUUUAUAUGUUUUUAGGUUGCAGUACUGCAGUUUUUUAUCCUUGUAAAUUGGUGCAAUGAAGAAUAUUUCAAUGCAAUGAAAGGAAAAAUGCAUUAAUUAUGUUGUUCAUGUUCUAUAUAUAGAUGAAAAAAAUUAACAUGGGGAACCAAAUUCAUGGGAGCAUAGAAUAAAUUAAACAUUUUAAGGAAAGAAAAUUAAGAUUGCUAUUCAUGGAUCUAAUUUUCAAACACUUUAAUAUAAAAUUUUUACCAAUAAUUAAGACGUUCAGUCGAUUUCCUUAUCGUUUGUGGGGCUCAAAACCCUAUAAACGAGCUAAAAGAGAAGAAAUUUUUAGUUAUGACGGGAAUACGGAUGGUACACCACGUGUUUUUAUGCAAUUGUGGAGCCAAAAAAUAAUCAAGAGGCGACACGUGGAUUUUUAGGUGAAGUGGACAAAAUUACCCCUGAGACACACCAGUUGUCCUACGCGCGAGCAGUGGACAAUCAUUCUUUAAUCAAGCCAAGAGUGUCCAAAAAAGGUAACAAAUUCCAAAUUAUCUCAUCCAUCCUCAUCUUAGGUAAUUACUUUAGAACCUACAAAUUAUUCCAUAUAAAUGGAAAUUAAUUGUGUAAUUAAUGGAUUAAUUCCUAAUUAAUCCAUUAAUCACCAAUUAAAUCACCCAUUUUCACACAAAAAACCUCUAAGGGCCGGCCACCUCCAUUCCCUAUAUAUAUGACCCUAUUUUUUCUAAAAAGAGGAGGUCCACACUCUUGCAAAACUCCAAAAAAACUCUCCAAACACUUUUCUAUCUAAAUUCUAACUUUGGCAUCGGAGGUUCUUCGACCAAAACCCCCUCCCCCCCCCCAUUCAUUGUGGGUGUGUGAGGCUCUUGGCCUUGACCAAAGGUGUUGAUUGUUUUGUAGGUGCAAUUUUGUCAAAGAAGGAGAAGGUGAAAAUUUGCAUCCACAAAUUGGUGCUUUCAUUGAGAGAAGAGUCACACACUUAUAGAAGACUCUCGCAUAAAAAGGUUUUUCUCUAUUUUCUAGUCCACUUGCAUUUUUUCGUACGUUGUUAUUAUUAGAAUUUUUUAUUUGCAAAGAUUCUUUGAUAAAACGUAAAAGAGAAAUACAAUGACCAAAAAUUUAAAAAAUUCCACGAGUGAAGAUUCCAAUAUUCAAGAAAUGUGACCACGGCGAUCCACAAGACUAAAUGUGAUCUUAAAGGGAGCGGCACCACCACUACAAGGCUCCACCAUGACAACCAUUGCGGUGGCCACCACGGCAAUCACCCAUAGCGAGGUCCAUAGCUCCACCACCACGGCCCAAGUCGUGCUAUCCAAGGCCCACGCCACCAAAGCCACGGCCCGAGCCAUGUCACUUCAUGCCCAACGCGAGCCCAAUGCGUUGCCAAGCCAAGCCCAAGCUUCUCAUUUGCGAGCAUCACGCGCUGACCAGCCUGCUCUCGCGGCCCAGCCUGCUCAAUUCCCCGACACCCAUAUAUGGGUUUGCUUUCUAGUGUGAGAGGAUAAACUAAUUGCUCUCCAGUGCGAUAAGGGAAACCAAUUCCCCAACACCCAUAUGGGUUUGCUCUCCAAUGUGAAAGGAUAAACUAAUUGCUCUUCAGUGCGAGAGGGUAAAAUAAUUCCCUGACACCCAUAUGGGUUUGCUCUCCAAUGUGAAGGGAUAAACUAAUUGCUCUUCAGUGCGAGAGGGUAAAAUAAUUCCCUGACACCCAUAUGGGUUUGCUCUUCAGUGCGAGAGGAUAAACUAAUUGCUCUUCAGUGCAAGAGGGUAAAUUAAUUGCUCUCUAGUGUGAGAGGGUAAACUAAUUCCCUGACACCCAUCUGGGUAAAGCUCUCCAGUGCAAGAAAGCCACAUAACUCAAAAAAUCGAAUGCUUGAAGAUCAACUAGGCAACAAAUGGUCAAGGGGCAGCAUCUAUUUUUGCACUUAAUAGUUUGCUCAUCCGACACUUUAUCUUUAGCAGCUCCGAUCUUGGUAGCUUCAUCCUUGGCUGCUUCAUCUAUGGCAGUUAAGAAAUCAAACUCAGGAAGUUUCCUCAUUUUUGGCAAGCAGCCCAGACGUGAUAGCCCAAACAAUUGCCUAUGCCAUGCCACUUCCUCGCCCCAUGUCGAACUAAUCCUUGGCUUCAAUCAAGCCAAGCUGCUCAAGCAAUGGCCCCUGCCACAUCACCUCCUUGACCCAUGACAAGCCGACUCCUGGCCCCUGCCAGCCGACUUGCUGCACCACCCUGACGACGGCCCUGUGGCAGCACCACCCAAGAGGAAGACAAGAAGAAUUAAGUUUUUCUUGCAUCGGUGCGGCGCGGAGAAGACGAAGAAAUCAACGAAAGAUGGUCCUUUGCACGGGCAAGAGUAGAAGAUUGCUAGGGGAGGGGAACAAAUAUCCUCUAAGCUUUCUCUCUCUUGUAGGGUAGAAUAAAUCACUCUCCAAAGUUUGUUUCCCUUUCCUAGAAGGAUCUAAUUUCCUAUUAAAAGAGAGAAUCAACAUCAAAAUAGGAAACAAUUCAAAGUUUCUUAGUGCAAGAAAUCUCUACACCUGUUGCCCUUUUUUGCGAGCAACCCAACAGGUGUGGGGGCAUUUGUGAAGCCAAAAAUAAUCAAGAGGCGACACGUGGAUUUUUAGGUGAAGUGGACAAAAUUACCCCUGAGACACACCAGUUGUCCUACACGCGAGCAGUGGACAAUCAUUCUUUAAUCAAGCCAAGAGUGUCCAAAAAAGGUAAUCAAUUCCAAAUUAUCUCAUCCAUCCUCAUCUUAGGUAAUUACUUCAUAACCUACAAAUUAUUCCAUAUAAAUGGAGAUUAAUUGAUUAAUUCCUAAUUAAUCCAUUAAUCACCAAUUAAAUCACCCAUUUUCACACAAAAACCUCUAAGGGCCAGCCACCUCCAUUCCCUAUAUAUAUGACCCGAUUUUUUCUAAAAAGAGGAGGUCUACACUCUUGCAAAACUCCCAAAAACUCUCCAAACACUUUUCUCUCUAAAUUCUAACUUUGGCAUCGGAGGUUCUUCGGCCAAAGCCCCCUCCAUUCAUCGUGGUUGCGUGAGGCUCUUGGCCUUGACCAAAGGUGUUGAUUGUUUUGUAAGUGCAAUUUUGUCAAAGAAGGAGAAUGCGAAAAUUUGCAUCCACACAACUGGUGGAAAAUUUUAAGUUUUAAGUUAUUAACCUUUUAACGCACAUAACCCACUAUUUCUAUAGAGACGUGGUGUAUCACCUCGUGUGACGGUCAUAUUGAAAAAUCCCUCUUAAAAGAGAGAGGAAAGAAAUUGUAAAGCAAUUUGGUUUAAAAAAUUUGGUAUCCUUAGCAUAACAAUAAUAAAAGCUACAACAGAGGAAGUUGGGCUAAUCCAAAUAACUUCGUUAGUAUUUAAAAUAUUUUCAGGUAACAACUAACUAGUGCGAGUAGCAGCAAGGAUUUCCCAAAAUUGAAUGCUGAUUUUCGAUGGAAAGAGAAAGAGAGGUGCUCCUGAUAUGGCAGAUGUUCAUUGGAAAGAGAAAGAAAGGUGGUACCAACUCGGACGCCGGGAAACGUGUAUGAAGGUUUCUUGGGCAUGCUUCGAAUGUUUGGUAUGAGUUUCUUUUAUACUUGUCAAGUGUUUGAUGUAACGCUUGUUAGACAUAUCUCGGCAGCACUCGACAAAUGCUAUUGAUAUCAAGUAUCAUAUUGUUUCGGCAUAUAUCGAUAUUUGUUGAAAUGUGCACUGAAUGAAAUUCUAUGAGAGUCACAUAUGGGGAAACUAUUGUUUUUCAUGUUGCUACUUUUUCAUGUUUUCUUUGUUUUGCUAGAAGACUAACAAAGGCUAAGUAUGGGGGCAUUUGAUAAGUUCAUUUUAUAUGUAUUUUACAUCAAAUUCACUCGUCUUUUCUUAGUUAGUUCCUUAUAUUUUUGAGUUAUUUACUUUGUUUUUGUGUUUUGUAGGAUUUGUCAAGCAAAGAAAAGAAAAAUAGUACAAGUGAGAUUUUAAGUAACAAAUUCGUCAAAACUGCAUGUGCAGAUUAGCUAACUUUGGAAGCAAGUUGCAAAGAGCUUAGAAUAAAUUAGAGAAUGAGCCUUAUAUGCUUGGAAAGCUACGGAUGUCUAUUUUCUGGAGCAUUUCACGGAUUGCUAUAUCAUUUUUAUAGAAGAAGUUAUGGCCGUUUUAACACUGAAAGGUUCCCAAGAGGCUGAGCAGUUUGUAACUGACAAGAAAGCAUUGAAAGCAAUAAAUCCUAUAAAUCUAGCAGCCAAAACUGAUGCAGCCAAGAACAAGCUAGUUGACACCUAUCCAAAUAUAAGAGGAAAUGGAAUUAAAGAUGAGGAUUAAGUGGGAGUAAUGGGCAUAAAGGCUACCUAAAGAGUUUCAAUUGUUUUACCAUUUCCUCUCAUUUAUUGUCAUCACUAAAUGACUGUUAGUGGGGUGAGUUAUGGAGAAGAAACUAGGGCAGCACGCAAGAACAAAAAGGCUGCAGGCUGUAGGUUUCACCAAGUGUCCGAUGAAACACCUCAUUUUAUAAAUUAAUUUUUCUAACGCGCUUCGCGCUCUAUUUAUAAAUUAAAAAUUAAACCUGAGACCCUCCUAAGGUUCGAAACUUGGACACCCCACUGCUUUCUGACAAUUGUGUGGAUUGUAGCCUUUGGGCUGGGUCGGUAUUGGGUUCCAGGUGGUGGUGAUUCACUUGGUAACUUUACCAAAAUAACCAUCCCUUAAUCUGCCACUUAGAUUGCUAUAUACAUAGUUUGACGGAAUUAACAAAAACAAAGUAAAAUUGAGCGAAUAAAGUAUAAAAUGAGAAAAUUGUUGUUUUAAGGUGGAAAGCCACAUCGAGAUCGAGUUUGAUGGGGGCAGUGCAAACACAUGACAUAAGCUAAACUAGAAACUGAAAGAUCCGCAGGUUCAGAAAUCGUGUGGUCCAAUUGGCCCCCUACUCUCUUUCCAAGUACGCUUUUCCUUUAAACUAAACUUUUUCUUGCGUGUCAAGUUCCCCCAUUCACUCCCCUAACAAACCGCACAGCCCGUGAACCUAAACUCCCCUCUCUCCCAAACGCUCAACCGCCUGCCCCCAAUCCAUAUUCCAAUCCCUAAUAUUCAGAUCCCCAAAUUAACGAUCAAAUUAUUAACAAAACAUUAAAUAAUCAUAAACAAAUCACCGCCCCUGGCAUCUUUCACGCCGAAUCUUCACUGCCCCAUUCAAAUUUUCGAUGGCACAACCUGAAAAUUGACGUUUUGAAUUGUUGGGUUUUUUUUUUUUUUUUUUUAUUGUCGAAGAUGUGAGUGAAAUAAGGUUGGCGCGUUUGGGUCCGGUCGUUUCGGGGAUGGUCAGAUAUGGCUCCAGACGGGGAAUUGGUGCCGGUGGACCCACAGGCGGUUGUGGCGGUGAAGAAGAAGUCCUCUCGGAGUUGGGUUUUGUUGGACUGCACCGGAAAAGCUACCGUCUUGGACGUGGACAAGUAUGGCAUCAUGCAGAGAGUUCACAUUCACGCUCGCGAUCUUCGCAUUGUCGACCCUUUGCUCUCUUACCCUUCCGCCAUUCUCGGCCGUGACCGAGCCAUAGUUCUCAAUUUGGAGGUCGUGCUCUUCUUCUUCUUGUUUGUCUUUUCAUUUUUUUUUUUGCGAUGUAAUUUACAUAUUUUUGUUGAAAAUUAUGGUUGUGGUAUUUCUCAUUAAUUAAAUUGGGUUUGUUUUCAUCUGGGUGUGCAGCAUAUUAAAGCAAUAAUCACUGCUGAAGAGGUUAGCCUCUCUCGCUCUCUCUAAAUAUACUCGUUUUCUUUUUCAGCGGAGUUUAUUUGUUUUUGGGUUUUGAGGAAUCACCGAGUUUGAAUUGGAUAGACAUCGGUAUUAGUUUUAUAUUUUUUUUCCGCGGAUAAAGAUUGCUGCUUUAAGAGAGAAGUAUUAAUUAUUUUUGUGGAGAAUUAAGUAAGAGGAGCAGCUAGAUAGAUUGUGCAAAUUCAGAAUGUUGAAAGUAUGUUUCCUAUAAAGUCAAACCAUAGUCCGUCCUUGUCUUCUAGGAAGAAAGAAAAAUAUGUGUGGUGCCUUCUAUGAGCUGGAGCUUUUUGUAGAUAGUGAUUGUUAGUUUGUUAUGGGAUAGGUGCUGCUCCGGGAUCCAUUGGAUGAAAACGUUAUUCCUGUUGUUGAAGAGCUUCAAAGACGGUUGCCUCCUGUAAAUGUCGCACGUGAAAAUCAAACAAAUGGGAAAGAGUUCCCUGCUGUGCAAAAUGAUAUUGAGGCGGGUGAAGAAGAUGGUAUGAUUUAUUGCUUUCAAAGUUUUUCAUUCAAAAAUAUUAUCUAUGGCUGUCAUUAGUGUUCUUGGAAAUAUAGAAAUGUUGAAUAAAUCAUUCUAAACAUCAAAAGUUCUGAGUUCUGGUUUCAUUCCAUGAUUAUCUGAAUGAUAUACAUUAUGCAUUGUAGAGUCACCAUUUGAGUUCCGGGCCUUGGAGGUAGCCUUGGAAGCAAUUUGUAGCUUUCUUGCUGCACGUACGACAGAACUUGAGACUGCUGCUUAUCCUGCUUUAGAUGAGCUUACUGCUAAGGUAGGACUUGACUUUUCUCUUAUUUUUGUUUUGUGUCUGUGUGGAUUCUUCAGUUGCUGCCUCUCUUCUUCUUGUGGCCUUCCAACUGAAAGAUAAAUAAACAAAGAAACUGAAUGAAUGUAGUACUUCAUUCACUAGUUUGGCUGAUUUAGGUAAAUCACUGAUAGUAGCCUUCAGGCAUGUUCUUUGUCAGCAUUGGCUACGUGAGGAAUAUUUCCUACUUAAAGUACUAGAUAUCAAAGUCUAGGAUAAUUGUUUGCAUUUUGGUGUGAAGUUGAGUGUAGAAGAGAUUCGGGCUGUUAUGCUUCACACUUUGGUUAGUUUUGGUAGACCUCUAUCUUUGCAUUCUUGCUGUUAAACUUAAUAUUUGGCUCCACAGAAAUAUUGGCUUGCAUAUUUGCCUGAAUGGUUUUGUAAACUUAGCAUCUUUAGCUAUGAGAGAAUAUUUCUCUCACUUGUUCUUGUAUUAAAGAAAAUAGUCUUCCAAUUAUAUUUCUUCUCCUCGAGUCGGCACUUUUUUAUUGUUUUUAUUUAUUAAAAUAUCCACCCCUUCUGCCUGCAGAUUAGUAGCCGCAAUUUGGAUAGGGUUCGUAAAUUGAAGAGUGGAAUGACUAGGUUGACUGCUCGGGUACAAAAGGUAUAUGAACUUCCUGUGGUCUGUGCAUAACUGAAUAGUAGUUCUUUGAAUUUAAAUGCAAUCGUUCAUUGAUUUGAUAUACUUCACUUUGGUGUUUGGUGAAAGAUGAGGGAGUAAUUUUACUCAUGUCACCCACUAUCUACCGAACAUCACUUCAUUAGAUAGCUUGUAAUAUUUCGUUUGAGAAAGUAAAAUUGUUCAAAUGGUUUGUAAAUGUGCUGGAUGCAAAUAUGCUCCACAAGCUGAAAUCUCCUAUUUUUUUCAUUUUAUGGAAUCAAGAUCCAAAGUUGUAUUGUUUGUGUUGAACCCAAGGAUUUGGACGGCAUUCCUGUCAUAACCUAGUAAAUUUACACACGACUUCAAUUUCAUAUCCUCCAUGUGCAAUCUCUCAGUUCAUCCUAUGUUUUGAUAUUCAAUUCCUGCCUAUGUUUGAUAUUCAAUUCCUGAUUGUUGACCUUCAAAUCCUGAUAAAGCAAUCGUUAUAUUUUGAGUGCAUAUGAGUCAUUAGAUUUUGAUCCAACAGUUGGUGAGCAGAGAUUUUUUUGCUUACCAACAAGUAGGAGAUGGUGAUUCCCUCCCUCCCAAACCCACACUUGCUGGUUAUUGUGUUAAUAAGUUUCUCAGCAUGUUAAACCAUAUGUAUGAAAAUAUAAAACAGUUAUCAAGACAAAAUAUUAAUGUAUGUAAGUAAAUAAGAAUGCCCUAUUUAUUAUUAACCAUUUAUGAAUUUCUGUCCAAAGGCUUAGAACGUGGUAAUGCCUUUAUAUAGUACCGACUGGUAAGUGUUUGAGCACUUCCCAAUGUUAGGAUUUUGGCUUGUCAAAGUUAGUGUCCUAUUUUGUUUAGGAUUCUAUUAGGAUUAAAGGUGCACCGAUUCUUCUUCUAAAAGAACUAAGAAAGAAUCAAAGUUUUCUUGUACAAUUAGAUUGGGAAUCCUAGAAGAUAAUUUGGAAUAGGAAAGAAUUUCUUUCCUAUUUCAUAUAGAAUAGGAAACUUAAUCAGAAAAUAGGCAUGUAAACCACACCCUAUACUAAGGGUUCGGCAAGGCUAGGGAAAGAGUGAGAAAAGCUAGAGACAGCCGCUGGAAAGAGAGACAACUGCGGGAAAGAGAGAGAUUAGUUCUAAGGUUUGCAAAAGUACUGUAUACCCUAUUAUUAAUCAAAGAAGCCGUGGUUUCUCUACCUAGGGAAAUCACAGCUGGACGUAGGCAAAAGUUUUGCCAAACCAGUAUAAGUCUUAUGUGUUUGUAGUUAUUCUCUAAUUUGCGAAGUUUAGUCUAUUGCUGGAUAGAUCAAAGAACAAGAUCCAGAGAGAGUCAGGAUUAUAACACCCUAUAGGUGACUGUAUAUGCAUAAUUACCAAUUAUAUAAGUAUGUGUGUGUGCGCUCUUGAACAUGUGCUGAGGUUCUUAUAUGAGGUCCUUAGAUGUCUGGAAAAGUUCAGUUGUUAAGAUGGCUUUUUUCUGUUAAAUACUGAUAACAGGAAGUUUGCUAUCUGGGUUAUUUAAGGGACAUGGGUGAAAUCUAGUUAAAUUUGUAUAGAUCAGAGUGAAAAUAUACACAACCAAUUUAGUUAAAUUUGUAUAGAUGAGGUCCUCCGUACCUUCAAGUCUAAAUUAGUUGCAUGAAAGUGCGUUUUUUAUUAUUCUGUAGAUCAAUUUUUUUUUUCUUUCUGUUGUGCAUCUCAUUUUGAGUUUGCAGACUAUGCUAUCGAAAUGAAUUUGCCGUGUGGAAUUUCUUAGUCAGAGUUUGACUGAAGACAACCUAUCAUUGUCCGCUUAGUCUUUACUACUGUAAAUCAAGUUAAUUGGAAAUUCUGUAUUGCUUAUUGUAGGUCAGGGAUGAGCUUGAACAGCUGCUGGAUGAUGAUGAUGAUAUGGCUGACCUUUACUUGUCCAGAAAGUUGGCUGGUGCAUCUUCGCCAGUUAGUGACACUGGUCCUUCCAAUUGGUAUCCUGCCUCCCCUACCAUAGGCUCAAAAAUAUCGCGGGCAAGUAGAGCAAGUAUCGUCACCGUUCGUGGAGAUGAGAAUGACGUUGAGGAACUUGAAAUGUUACUUGAGGUAAUAUUGUAAUGAUGUUGCAUACUUUCUGAUUGCUUUAUUUAGUGAAACUAAAUGAUGAGAAUGACAUUGAGAAACUUGAAAUGUUACUUGAGGUAGUAAUGUUGCAUAGUUCUUGUUUGCCUUAUUUUAGUGAAGCUAUAUACUAAACCAGCAAGCAAUGCCUUUGCAGGCUUAUUUUAUGCAGAUUGAUGGCACCUUGAACAAAUUAGCCACGGUAUGUGCUAUUUAGAUGCAAACUUAUCUUCUUUUAUUGGUUUUUGAGGAAAACUUAACCUUGGGAUCUAGCUUCAUCCCACCGUAUUCCAUGCCAAUCAUAAUGUAUAUCACUAGUACAAUCUGCCCCACACAAAGUGCACUGAAGUACACCACAGUCAUAAACUGUCCUGGCCCCAAAAAUGAAUAAGGUGGUCCUUAAACACAGUACGACCACCAUACAUAUUACCUUGAAAGGAACCCCUAGUAAUAAUGCUGCGAAUUAUCUAAUACCAAGUAGAGUUAUAAGUUAUCCUGACUUUGACCUAUCAAAGCAGAAUUAUCAUGAGCAUGAACCUGCACUUGAGGACGUAAAGUAAUCUGUACACUCACACUACUAAGGAAGCGACAUAGGAAUUGCAUGUCAAGAUCUGAUUUUUGAUUAAGAGGAGAAUGGUAUUGAGCCAACAAAUGAAUCAUCCCCUUAAAUUCACUAUAAUAGUCCCAUGUUUUUCCAACUGGUCUCAAUAGAAAAACUCUCAUAGACAUUUUUACUUGGAAUAGAUUUUUUUAUCAACAUUACAACUGCUUAAAUAUGAACUUUUGCAGCUACGUGAAUAUAUUGAUGAUACAGAGGAUUACAUUAAUAUUCAGGUACUUAAUUCAUAAAUCUUAAAUUUUUAUGAUAAUAUUUGUUAAAUUUUUUAUCUAACUUAUGGUUUCAUUUUGCAGCUUGACAACCACAGGAAUCAGCUGAUUCAGGUGCCCUUUUGUCUUCUGAUGUAGUGUAUCAUAUUACUGUACUAUGCUGGAUUCAGUUCCUUUAAUUUCUAUAUUUUCUUUUUACUUUGCUGCUCCAUAUCCACAAGGAUCUGUAUUUUCUAAGAUUACUGUUUAUUUAAUUCACAUUCAUGGUUGCAGCUUGAGCUUUUUCUUAGUUCCGGGACUGUAUGCACCUCCAUAUUUGCAUUGGUGACUGGAAUUUUCGGCAUGAAUAUCCCGUAUACAUGGAAUGAGGGUUACGGAUACAUGUUCAAAUGGGUAGGCAAAGUAUUUAUUUCCGCUGGUAAUCUUGUCUAGUAUGACUGUAAACAACAUGUCUGAGAAUUGAACAUUUUUCCAUUUACAGGUUUGCAUUGUCACGGGAAUUUGCUGUCUUUUUGGUUUCGUAAUAAUCAUAUCAUAUGCUCGUCACAAGGGUCUAGUCGGAUCUUGAACAUCAUAAAGAAGCCCUGAGAUUGAUCUUUUGGAUCUUCUGAAAGUAAAUAAGGUGUCGAAGAUUUUCAGCAAAGCUGCGUGAAGGAGUUAAAAUUUCUUGCUGAAUUUGGUGAUUUUUUUGGGUGUUUCUAACCCAAGGACAUUGCAAAGUUUUAUAAUUGUCAAACGGUCUAAUUAACAGGAUUCGGUCACAAACGCAGACUGUAAAACUUGUCUACAGAACCAUACAUAUUUCUCGAUUUUGGUCGAUAAUUCUUGUUGUGUUGCACAGAAGUAUUUUGAUCAAACAGAUAUAUAUACUGUUAAACUGUAAUAGGCAAUAAUGUCAUACGGAGUGAUUAAUGCAUUCCACAAAACUGAUAAUUUCUCUGAAGAAAUGUAGGCACUAUCAGCUGUAAUGUGACAUGAUUUCUUGCAAUCUGUUUCUGGAGGCCGUUUACGCUCGUGUCAAUUUUCGAGUUUUCAGGUUGUUUUGAUCUAAUCCUUGACCUUGAAACUAUACAUCGAUCGGAAGGUCGAGUUUUCUGCAUUCAGAAAUAGCCAUAUGCUAGAGUUCGGCUAAGCCAACAAUGAGCAGCUUAAUUUGGUAUCGAAUUCGUCAUCCACGAGAUUCGAACCUAAGACCUCUCACUUCUUCCAAGUAAAGAGGAAUACUACCAGACCGUAGUACUGAGUGGCAAUAGUCAUAUGCUAUUGAAACAAUAAAAUUAAAUAGAAAAGCUGUUAGGGCAACCCGUACAAGAAGAAUCAAGCAAGAGAAGCUGCCUAGCACACGAACAAACUAGUCUUACCAAAUACAAUUGGAGGCUUGUUGAUGUCCAAGAAAGAGAAUUAAAAUCCUUCCUUUUCUUUGACACUUUGUGGAGGAAGUUUGUACAAGAUUCUGCUUGACUCGGUCAAAGCCUUGGAUGAGAAAUAUUCUAGCAAAAAUUUGGGUCUAUACUAAUAUGAGAAGUGUUAUUGUUGCUCUUUGAAUGACUUAACCAUCAUCUUAAUUACUUUCUACUAAGGUGCAAGUUGGAUGAGAAAUUUUGAUUCCCACCAAUUGUGAUCCUUUUUUUUUUUUUUCAACUUUGGGGUACCCAUAUCAAGUAUGACAUAUGAGAUUGGAAAAUUCCGAAUAAAUUUGGUUUAGAAGUGAAAUGCAUCUUAAAAUUUUGUAAAUUACGAAUUUAUAUCGGGGGUUUAUGCUUGAACUACUCACAAGUAUUGAAAUAAACGAGACCCAAUGCCCAAAAGACAGAGUUGUUCCAUGGACAUUGAUGGCAGGUGAGCACUAGUAUAUAUUAGGUUCUUUGGGCUUUUGGUUCGAGUUUUCCUAUCACGGCCAAUUUUAAUCUUUUACAUUUUUUUAUCAUAUCCCAAAUUUCAUACUCCAAAAAUUUGAUGAUUAUCUCUCAAAUGUAAUUCUAAAUAUAACUUGAAACCCAAAUGCCUUCAAACCAAUAAUGCUGCAGUGGUGCUUAGUACGAGACAAAAUUAACCACUUUGAAUAGGAGAACACAAUAUAUAUAUCAGAGCCGGCUCUGAGGAUGUGCAAAAGGUGCCACCUCACAGGGCUCCCAAAGUUUCUUUACAUGUAAACAGAUACCUAUUAUAUACUUAAAUGUGCAAGAUAAUAAUAAUCACAACACUAGUGCUAGUGGUGUAGUCCUUCAAUCUUCUUGUACAUGGCCUAGGUUCGAGUCCUUGUAGAACUAUUUUGCUAUUUUUAAGUUUUGCAAAUUUAUUAACUUAAAAAGUUAAUAAGUUUUACACAAAAAAUCAUGCAACAUAUUUCGAACUAAAGACAUUUCAAGACAAGAAACACUCUUGUCCACUCAAAGUGGUGCUCUAAUUUGUAGUAUUUAAAUUUUAUAGAUACAAAUUGAAAAAAAAAAAAAAGUUAAUAAGUUUUACACAAAAAAUCAUGCAACAUAUUUCGAACUGAAGAUCUUUCAAGACAAGAAACACUCUUGUCCAUUCAAAGUGGUGCUCUAAUUUAUAGUAUUUAAAUUUUAUAGAUACAAAUUGAAAAAAAAAUAACAAAGAAAAUACAGUAUUAAAAAAUGAAGGGCCUCCAUCUAAAUCUUGCAUAGGGCCCCUAAAUUCCUAGGGCCGACCCUGAUAUAUAUAUAGAUUUCGUUUCAUAUGCGUGUUAUUUGAACUCGAUGAAAUUUGUGAAAAAAAAAUAUGAUUAAAAUAAAAAAAGAAAAAAAAAUAUAUAAGAAUCACAUUCUAUAACAAUAUUAUACUCUUAAACGGAAGACUGGUCGAAAGGACAAUCUUAUAUUUUAUAUAUUUAUUAUUAGAUAUAUAUUUUAUUUUUUAUUAAUAAUAAAAUGAUUGUGGGUUAGGUGUUAUGCUUCUGGAACGGAAGGAUUCGAACCUCUGAAUGGCGGGACCAAAAACCCAUUGCCUUACCACUUGGCCACACUCCAUUUCUGGUCGACACUAAUAAACACUAAUAUUGCUACUGGUUGUUCGUCAACUCAAGUCUAAAUAUCUAUUAUUUGUAAUAUCCACGAUCAGAUUAUAUUUAUUUGAUACACUGUUGUCAAUUGAAUGUUGAGAAAAGAAACAAAAGAAAAAACAUUAAAUAUAACUAACAAUUCCAAUUUCAAUCAAUUAGACAAUUUAGAAUUAUAAGAAGAAAAAAAAAACUAAGAACAUUCUGUAGUCUUAGUAAGAGGGGGAAGGGUUAAGGAUUUACCUGGUUGAGAUAUCACAUUAUUAGAGGAACCCUAGAUGCUGUCGGAGUAAAGGAUCGUCAAUAAGGGCGUUCUAGUGCGUUGUAGAUUCUUAUCCAUGAAUUUAAUAAAUAAAAAUUUAUGUUGUUAAUGAUUUUCUAUCAAAUGAAUUUAUUUUUUGUUCAAAUUCUAAGUAAUUAAUAAUAAGAAGGAUACCAUGAAUUUUUACGUAUUCUUAAUAGUGUUCUAAAAAUCGGCCUAGGCACUGGGCGGUGGAGCUCCGACCCGAUUUAGACCAAAACGUUCAGCUAGGCGGGGAGGACUUUGGCAGCCGCCUAGGCGCUCGCUAGGCACCUUAGGUGGGUUAGGCGGUGUGAAUCUCGCUGCAAGUUGGAAGAGAGACAAGGUGAACCUCGCUCGCUAGGCGCCUUUUGCAGAUACCGGGUGAAUUUUUGCAGCUUCUCUAUGAAGAUGAGGAAGAGAGAGUGCGAAGAGAAAGAGAGAGAGACUAUUAAACAUUUCAUUCUAUGGUGGAGCAAGUUGGAUUUGAGAUCCAAUUUUGAGGUUCUGAUUUUUCUCAAAGGGCGAAGAAGAAGAACGAAGAUAAGGGAAGAUAGUGCGAACACACAGAGAGAGAGAGAGAGAGAGAGAGAGAGAGAGAGAGAGAGAGAGAGAGAGAGAGAGAGAGACUAAAAGAUCCAAUUUCUGAAAAGGCAAGGAAGAAGAAAUGAAUAGAUUAUAGACAUGUCACUUUCCAAGGUAAAAAGCUGGUGAUGACUUGGGUGAUGUGAAAUAGGGUGGACAGCUACUUCUUGAGUGAUCAAAUGGUUUUAAUUAUAAAAACCACCCACUUGUGUGGGCUUUUAAAUGUUAUGUGUCAUCACCCUCUUACAAGUUUGAGAUAUAUAUUAUUUAUAAAUGUUAAAUUAUUUAGAUAAUAUUUUAUUUUUUUUCCCUAGGCAAGCAUAUUAUAUAUAUACAUAAAACAUUCACAUAUGUAUGUUCUUCUAUAAGAAAUAACAUAUUAUUCAAUAAUUAUUUAUAUCUAAUAUAGUAAAUUUAAUUAAUUUAUAUAAUAUAUAAGAAAUUUACCAAAAUCCGCCUAGACCCCGCCUAGCCGCCUAGGCGCUAGGCGCUAGCCCACCGCCCGACUAGCGCCUAGCGUUUUUUAGAACCUUGAUUCUUGAUAAACCAGCGUUUAUAUAUAGAUGUAGGAAGAUCCGUUUGGGAAGUAAGAAGCCCCUUUGACAUCUCUUCAUCUGCAAAGAAUUCUUGAUGUGAAAACACAGGCUGAUCUUUGAAUAGGAAAAAUAUGAAUAAACCUUAUAGGUUGAUGCCACAAAUUCCAUCCCCAAAAACCAUAUUUUGAUUGCGCCUCAACAAUAUCAAUUGUACUUGAACUGUUAGAUAAUUAUAGUCGGUGAUACCAUCAUUGUUACCAUCGUUAUUAUAGAACCAAACAUGAGAUUUUCACUUCAUACGGCUCCUUGAAGGCCAGAAAUAAAUAUAGGGAUGCAAUGGGGUUAAAUUGAUUGAAUUCUUGUUGAGACUUCGUCAUACGUUAUCCAUUCUUCAUAUAGAAGAAAUAAGUAUUAUUAUGUAUCGACCAAACCGAUGAUUAUUAUUCCAAUUCAGUCAGUCAUGUUUUCAUUCAUUUGGAAUAUGGGCUCUUCUACUUCAUUUUUUAAUUAUUUUUCCCUUUCUUUUUUUAUUCCCUUCCAUAAUUCCUUAAGUCCAUAGGUUUGAUCCUAUAGAAUCUGACCCACUUUAUCAUUGAGCGAAAGGUACGAAAUAAAUCAGAUUGUUUUUUCGAUCAGAAGUAAUAUGUGAAAUCUUUGGUUUUUUCCUCUUUCUCUAUCCCUAUCCCGUCGGUACAAACGUUUGAAUCAAUCGAGAACCUUUUUUUUUUUCUGUAUCUGUAUAAAUGUAUCUAUAUAAAUCAAAUAUUAUUACAUUCCAAUUCCUUCCCGAUACCUCCCAAGGAAAAUUAUGAAUUGUAUCUCAAAUUGACGGGUUAGUGUGAGCUUAUCCAUGCGGUUAUGCACUCUUUGAGAGGAAAUGAAUACAUUUCUAUACUAUUUAGUAAGUGAAAUAUAUAAAACAUAAUCCGGAUUAUGCCAAUCACUUAUUCUACUGGAUCUUACGAAGCCUAUUCAUAUCAUACAUGACAUGAUCGGAGGGUUCCAGUGGAACAUAACAAAUGAUGUCGAGCCAAGAGCACUUUCGUUCUUAUAUAAUAUAAAAAAGUGGUGGAUGUAAGAAUCCACAGCUGAUCAUGUCCUUCAAGAUCCACAUCUAUGAAUUGAAAGGUUCAAAUGACUCUGCAAUCAGUUGUUAGAAUCUAUAGGUCUUCAAAUCGUUCAUUUGAAAAAAAUUGAAACCCUUCUUAUUGAAUGAUCAUGAUACUUCCCAAAAAUCAAAAUUCUUGAUCAAUGGAGGAACAAUAUCACAAUUUUUGUUCAAUAAGAUACCAAAGUGGAUGAUUGACUCAUUCCAUACUAUAAAUAAUCGCAGGAAAUCUUUUGAUAACAUGGAUUCCUAUUUCCCAAUGAUAUCGCAUGAUCAAGACAAUUGGCUAAAUCCCAUGAAACCAUUUCAUAGAAGUUCAUUGAUAUCUUCUUUUUAUAAAGCAAAUAGACUUUGAUUCUUGAAUAAUCCACAUCACUUCUGCUUUUAUUGUUGGAUAACUAGACUGAAAACCGUCUUUUACAUUGGAUGGUUUGGUGUUUUGAGGAUCCCUACUUUAUUGCCCACAACUUUUGUAUUUAUUAUUGCUUUCAUUGCUGCACCUCUGAGAUAUUGAUGGUAUUCGUGAACCUAUUUCUGGAUUUUUACUUUAUGGAAACAAUAUUAUUUCUAGUGCUAAUGAGUUAUAUCUCUUCCCUUGCCCCCAUCAAGAAAUAGAACUGACUAAUCCUAAGGCAAAUGGUCGAGAAACUCAACGCCACUAUUCUUGAACAACUUGGAGUCGGGCCUUCUUUUUGCACUAUUACGGAUAUGAAAAUAAUGGGAAAAAUUGGAUUCAAUUGUCAAUGGAUCCUAUCGUAAUCGAAAAUAGGAUUGAUUAUGGAUUUGAGCCAUAGCACUUGGUUUCAGAAAACCAUACGAUUUUCCCGAUCUAAAUAAAGUAGGUUUUACAUGAAGAAUAUUUUGGCUCAACAUGUUUUAUUCUAUACGGGUAGGGGAAGAGCCCGACUCAGUAUUCUUUGAAAAAAAUUUAGAGAAAUUAGAACCAAUUCAAGAUGAUACGGGUCAACUUCUUCUUCUUGCGCGCUAAAGAUCUUGCCAUUUCUGAAGAAACUGGAGUAACAUGUGAAAUCUCGUUCCUGAAUUUCACUAUUGUAAUCUAUGUAUUUCGUAUGGGCGGGAUUUAUAGUAUUUUCGUGAAUUUAAAUUAAUUCUAGAUUUUAAUUACCUAAUUACAAAGUUUGAAUUUUUGAAAAUAAUUAUUAAAUUCGUAGACCUUCGAGGGUCACUCUUAAUGUUUUUAAUCGGGCUCAACCUCACAAGCGCUUAAGCGAAGGCCAUAUGUGAAUCGGAACAAGAUAGGAACAUUACAGAUGUUUUAGAAGUUUCUUCAAAAAAAAAAACAAAGAAGAAAAUUUAAAACUGCCGUGUGGUAGAAAAGAAAAAAAAGAGGGGGGAGAGAAACAGGUCACUUAACCCGUACAAAACCAACGGGCAAAGCCAUUGGAAUUGGGUGGUCUCCCGGCAAAUUUCCAGCGAGUUGAAGUUUCUCAUCACUUUGAAAUCAUUUCUCAUCUUCCCCUCUACCUAUUCUAUCCCAAAUUCCAUGCAAAAUAACCUUGAAAUUGGGAAAAUCACACCGGUGGGUGUGCGGGUUCAUAGAUGACGAUUCCCUAAAUUUGAAACAAAUUUCUUCGAUUACCACCAUCUAUAGCCUGUUCUUGAGGUCUGGAAUAAAGCCCAAACAACUAUAGGGGCGGUGGAGUACCGGAGAAGCCGAAUCAAAGUCACCCAAAUUUCUAGGGUUCAUGCGGGUAUGGACAAAAUUGGGGCUUUUACCCGCCAAAUUGGACUUGCCACAGGUAUAAACUUUCUUUACUCAUGGAGAUCUUCAUUUCUAUAAAUUUUGGUAAUUUAAAAAAAAUAGUUGAAUUUUUCCAGCAAGUCAGGGCGGCCGACCGCCACCCGUGGCGGCACGUGCGGCGGCGCGUGCGGCGGCGGCCUGACUAGUGGGCCGAUGAUGUUCUUUUAAGUUCAAUUAGAUGCCCUCAUUUCAUAAUUGAUAUCCAUAUGAUGUGGUUUGAUUGUUUGAACUUAGUUUCAUUACGAUACAUCACUUGACCUUUAUAUGAAUCAACGAUCCGACUGUUGGAUCAUCACCAAACCUUAAUGCGUUAUAGAGCGUAAAAUUUAAGGAUAGCUAGAACUGACGAAUCGGGAAUCCAACGUACGGAUCUUCCUGAAUUGGAUUUCUAAGUUUGUAAAAUCAAGCGUUGGCCGCCACUUGAAUUUGUAAUUAGUGAAGAUCCGACCAUCGGAUCAUGAUGAAAUUUUGGUAGGUUGUUUUAGAAGCAUAAUGUGGACCUUAGAAGGUUACGGAUCCGAAAUCCAAUGUGUGGAUUUUCCAUAUUGAAUUGUGUAGAAUUGUAGACCCUACCUGUGACCGAGAGUUGACUUUUGGUCAACAUGUCUUGAAAUGUUCCAAAUACUAAAAUUAGUACUACGGGAGACUUAAGUGAAGUCUAGUGGACCUACAUUGGUUGGAGAGUGACUUGAAUAUUGUGAUAUGGUUAUUACCUUAAUUUCUUAUAUUAAUAUAAUUUGUAAAUGUGCAUUGGACUUAUAAAUAUGAUUUCUAUUGAAAUGUGAUUUUCAUAUAUUUAGCCAUAGACUUAUGUUUAUUAAACAUGAUUUGGCUUGUGUAUUGAUGAUAAUGGUGAUAUAUGGAUGUUUAAUUAUUUCUAGUAAUGUGAAUGAUAAGUAUGAUAAAUUUAUGGCUAUGUGAGAAUUUAUGGCUAUGUGAUCUUAGAAUCCUAUUUGAAAUAUUUUGUAGAACUUAUAUGCUUUUGUGAUAUAUUAGUUGGUGGCCAUGAGAAGUUGAUGGUGUAGGAGACUACGUUGUAAUUCAUAGGGAUUAGUAUGAUGUGGAGAAAUGUGAGUGACUUUAAUAUAUGUUAUAUUGGUGAUUACCCAUGUUUUCAUAAUUAUUAUCCUGUGAGGAUAUGUCUUGCUUUUAUAAAUAUGUUCUUUUUUUUAUUGAAUUGUUAUUUUUAAUACUUAGCCAUCAAUUUAUGUUCAAGAAGUGAGAUUUGACUUGUAUAAUUGAAAUAUGGGUUGAUUUGUAUGAUUGGUAUGUUGUGAUGAAAUGUGAGGCUAGGAGUGGACUAUUAACCAUUGUGAUGGGGAUUUGAUGCUUCGAUAUUGUUUCAUUUCCCGCUUCGUUUAGUUCUAAAUUUAGUAAUUGUGCCUAAUUUCCCUUUGUUGAGCUUUUGUAAAUUAAGUAGCAUGUGCUUGUCUCAUUUCUUUGAGCCGUCGUACAUUAUGGUGUUGGCCUUCCGUGCUUCUGUUGAGUGAUGGUCAGGAAUCGCAUCCACUCGGAUUCCGUUGAGGGAUGAUCUAGAAUCCCUUCUGCUCCGCAAUUUCGUUGAGUGAUGUUUCGGAAUCGUAUCUAAUUUGGGUUUCAUUUAGUGGUUGUUAUACAUUGUACUUCAUGAUUCCGUUGAGUAAUGGUCCGGAAUCCUUUCUACUCCACGAUUCCAUUGAGUGAUGGUCCGGAAUCGUAUCCUGGGUUAGAUAUUGUUGAGUGGUCCGAAAUCCCAUUCUUCGGAGAAGUAGGUUUGGCUUAACUGUGUCACUCUAGCCUUUGUUUUAGUAUAUUAUGAAUAAUGGUUUUGAGAAUAUUGUGAAUUGAAUCAUAAAAGCGGUUGUACGUCUGUGGGAUUCCUUCGAGAUUUUCUACGAUUCAAUUAUGAUUUCAUAAUUUAUGAAUUUAGAAGAUAUGGGAAUGAUUGUUAUUAUUUUGACCAUAUUAGUGAAUUAAUGUGGCUAGAGAAUGAUUUUGUGCGUUGUCGGUUCUUAAAUAUGAUGUAUGUUGUGAAUUGAGAUAUCAUGUUGAAUCAUAAUGAUUUAUAUGAAGGAUGGAAGGGAAAUCUUGAUUUUUUUUCAUGUGGGUUUGUUCAAUGUUCCUUGAGGUGCUACAUGAUUGAAUUGUGAUAUUAUGUUGAGACAUAGUGGUCUAUGUGUUGAAUGUUCGAUUGAAGUGAAAUGGCGAACUACGAAUGGCUUGAUCCCUAAUAAGGGUACGUAGGCAGUCUAAUGAGGAGGUUAGAUGCAGCCAUAAAGUAUAUGGAAAAUUACUAUGCGAUUCGAUUCUUGAGUUGUGAUUUGCCAUAUUCCGAAGGCGAGGUAUGUUAAAGAUACGGGUAUUUGGUGAUGUCACGUGUCGAUUCUGGACGUAUGUCGGGAUCGAGACGUGACAUUACAUCUCUUUUCCAUUUCCAUUCAAGAGUUCUCAUGUGUUUCCAUGCCCAUUCGAGACCUCGAAAAAUGGACAACUUCCUUUUCUUAGGAACACAUACAAGAUUUGUCACUACAAAAAGGAUAAUGGUAAGAGCUGAAUAUGCAACAACAAUCCAAGGGCGUAUACCCAGAAAAAAACUAAGUUCCCACUCACGACCCACGUAGCAAGCUACACCAAGUAAGAAGUGUAGAACAAUUAGCUCAUAAGGACCACCAUUGUAUAACCAUUCAUCAACAGAAGUCGCUUCCCAUAUAGGGUAAAAGUGCAAACCUAUAGCUGCAGAAGUAGGAAUAAUGGCACAAAAAAUAAUAUUGCUUCCAUAAAGUAAAGAUCCAGAAACAGGUUCACGAAUACCAUCAAUAUCUAUUGGAGGUGCAGUAAUGAAAGCAAUAAUAAAUACAGAAGUUGCGGUCAAUAAAGUAAGGAUCAUCAAAACACCAAACCAUCCAAUGUAAAGAUGAUUUUCAAUGCUGGUUAUCUAGCUACAAAAGCGACCCCAUUGGCUUCUGCUUUUGCGUCUCUCUAAAAUUGUAGUCAUGGUAAAAUCUUGAUUUAUUUAAUAAUUAAUCAUCAGGGACUCACCAAAAAUUAUUAAUAAAAACAUUAACAGUAAUGAAGCAAAUCAAGAAAGAAUUAAUAAAACAAAUCAAAGUUUAAUUAAAUUUAUUUCGAUUACAAAAGAGUCACUUUCUAAUACUAAUAUUAGUCUUAGUAAAAAAAAUUCUAAGACUUUUUUUUACUUAUCUUAAUUUUCACAGGCAUAUGUAUUUUACAAAUUAUCACAAACCCAACUUAUUAAGUUAGAGAAAUUGAAAUCCGUAUUUCAAUAUAAUGGAACCCCCCUUUUUCUUAAGAAUGAAAUAAAGGAUUUUUUUUUUUUGUAAGACAAGAACUAUUUCAUUCAGAAUUAGGACCUAAAUGGGUCGGUUUGAAAAUAAAUGAAUUGCUAGUUGUGUAGAAUAUUAUUACUCUCGUUAGACUUAACCUCAACUAAAAAUAAUAAGGGUUCGGACAAUUUUGACCUCUCCAUUUUGGCUUAUAUAUAUUUGACCUUUUGAGGCAAUUAUAGACCCUGGGGAGCAAUUCUGAUUGGUUAAUAAAAAUAUAUUUCAAUGCGAUUUCUUUUUAUUUUUCAUUUGUUUAGCCAAUCUAUCAUGAUAAGUAAAGAGACCCAGUCACUUUGUGUUGAUUAGUUUCUAAAUGUAAGUUUUCUUCUCAUUAAUAGUAAAUUUUUCCUAUAUUUCCCAUACCAUAUCUAGUCUAUGAUGACAAAGAGAUGCACGCAUACAUUGUCUUACAUUCCAUUAAGAUACAUGGUACUAAUUCAAUGACAUAUCAAUUAGAUCUAGAAUGAACAAAAUUUUCUUAUUUUAGGUCUAAACUUUUAUCUUUUGUGAGUGAAGAAACCAACCAUACUUUUGUAUCCCCUUUCAAUUCCAAUUUUAAAAUGAAAAUAGGAUUGAGUAAGUUUUAUUAAAUUAAAAAAAUAGAAAUUAAUAACGAAAUUCAAAUUAUUAUUACUUUCUAGGCCUAUGAUAUCUUCACUUAUGCCACUGUGCCUUUUCUAGGCCUAAGGAGACACAUGUCAGCUCUUCAAAGUCAUCAUUGGGUGUCCUCACUUCGCCAGGCCCAUAUGCUUAAGACCUUGCCUACCACUAGAGAUUUCCUCAAGCGGUCUGUUCAAUAAGGUUUGCACAAUCUUAGUAGAACAUGAACUCAGCUGUUAUGCUCUGAUCUUGAGAUAUCUCCCAGAUUGACACAUGACAUUAGGGUGUAAUUGUACCACACACGCUUCACUUUUAAGGCAUGACUAAAAUGACCUAAUAGUUCAACAACGCAUAACCUUUUAUUUUAUUUUAUGACUGCAUCUAACCUUUGUGUUAAAUUGACUACGUACCCCAAGAUGGGAUCAAGCCAUUCUUAAUGAAACCAUGUGCCAGCCAGGAUUGUCAUUUCGUCAUUCACAUAUAUCACAAUAUUUUGCAACACAAUUCCACAUCACAAUAAUUAAUCGAUUCCAUGAAUAAAAAUGCACAAUAUUAACAUUUAACUACAUUGAUUAACCAACAAAAUCAAAUAUCACUUCAUUACUUCUAAUAAAGCCAACAUUCCCAAGGUUUGCCGUAGUUCUCUACAUGAAAUCCAAUUAUCCGACAUUAUGACCCUAAGUUACAACCACAAGCAUAAAUUUGAGCAACUUCCAUGCACACGAAUAUAUCACUCCGGACCACGCAACAGAAUCCAACGAAGAUAGGGUUUCAGAUCACUCAAUGAAACCAAAUAUGGAAAGGAAUUUCGGUCCACUCAAUAAGAUCCAACUCUAGAAAACAUAUGGCCCCCCAAUGCAGAUACACCAGACUAAAAGUGGGCAAACGGGUACAUGAACCGCAGGUCGGGGCGGGUACGGGCCAGUUCCUGUUUUUUAAUAGGGGAAACAGGGUGGGGCGGGCUGAGGCAAUGACAUAGGUGGGGCGGGCCGGUUCCAGAUAUAUAGAAAAAUAAGGCCCCGUACCGGCUCGUUUGUAAUUGAAAUGGAAGGCCCAGAUUGAAAAUAAACAUACCUUCCAAUCAUAACUGUUGGUUUUUACCCUAGUAUCUCUGAAUCUGAUCGAGUCUAUCUCGACCCUCGACCUCUCCGUCUCUAGUGACCUCGUCCCCUCCCAUGAGUCCCUCCCUUCCACGGUUCCACCACCCACACUCCGUCACUCCCCAUCAGUCAUCUCCUUGCCCACCCCCGACAUCACCGCUGUUGUGAGUCUGGGCCCUGACGACCACCACUGCUGAUCUUUUUCUCGAUUGUUCUCCUCGACGACAUGUCACCCCAGACCUAGAGAACCCAGGCACAUGCACCACCCAUCUUCUCGAUUCUCUUUCUUUCCUUCCCAACGACAUCACCGUCGUCGCGACUCGCAAUCACCAACACUCCACCGUCGCCAGUUCAGGUGAAUUAUUUAACCUCUUUUUUUUAUUUUAUAUUUUAUUUUUUAUAGGUUCUUUAACCUCUGAUGUUUGUAACUUUGUAGUUUGAACUUUGAUCUAUUAGGAUGUAUGUAAUCUGUGCUCAAUCUAUUGGGAUGUUCAUGUUUGUUCUUGCUGAUUUGGUGGAUUUUCUGAUUUUUUUAGCUUGUUUAUUAGGUGUUUUAAGAGUUAAUACUUAAUUGAGCUGAAUCUUCAUACCUGUAGAAGAAGCAGAAUUUAUACUAAAUUUUUACUCUAAAGGUUCAUAUUAAGGUUAACAGUGUUUUCAUAAAUUUUUAUUGUCACAAUUAUGUUCAUACAAACUCAUGUAUUGCUGAUGAAUUUGCAGGAACUGUGUUCUACUUUAAUGGUAGUGUUUGCACCAUACUUGACCAAUCCCGAAACUACUGAGCACCGAUCAACGUUAUACCGUCAAGGACCCAGAAGAUUUUCCAUCCAACCAAGAGGCCAAUCACAGCGCGACACGUGUCGACAUCAGAAGCCAAUCAUAGCGCGACAUGUGUCAACAUCAGAAGCCAAUCACAACACGACACGUGUCAAUGUCAGAAUGAAACUAAAAACUCUCUUCUAUAUAUAGAGAUCAUUCUCUCACAAUAUUUCCUAAUGUCAUUUGUACUAAAUCACUCACUAGUACUUACUAAAGGAGAGCUUAAACCUAUGUACUUGUGUAAACCCUUCACAAUUAAUGAGAACUCCUCUACUUCGUGGACAUCUGGGUGAACCACGUACAUCUUGUGUUUGCUUCCCUGUCUCUAUCAUUUAUAUACUUAUCCACACUAGUGACUGGAGCAAUCUAGCGAAGGUCACAAACUUAACACUUUCUGUUGUACCAAAGUCCUCAUUGAUUUUGUGCAUCAACAUUUGGCGCCGUCUGUGGGAACGACACUUAUUCCCACUCUUUUCAACUUUGUCAAGCUGGUUUUCACCAUUCGUACACUCUCUUUUAACCAUGCAUCCCUCUUCAACAUGGGGAGCGAAGGAAGCCACAGCACAAAGAAUGACACCCUUCUUGCACCUAGUGCGAAGCAACAAAAGAAGGAAGGAAAGAAGGUUGCUCUUCAAGCUAAAGUCGAUGAGCUAGAAACUCAGAACAACAAGAUAGCAAUAAAGAAUGAGGUCCUCCAGGAGCAGUAUUAGAAGCUCUUUGAGACACUCUAUGAAACUAGGUGUACUCAAACAUGCUAGCUCGUUGCCUCUGUGAACAUCAACAAUCAUCUGGGUGCCCUCCAACACGGAGGGUCACCUCCCUUCGACAUGGGUAUCCCUGAUGAGGAACGAGCUAAUCAUCAAAACAUUGAUCAACAUGAGACUUCUCUCAACCCAGAUGCUUCAACCCGAAGUAGGAGAAGUGGAGGAAGACACCUCCUUGCAAAAAGGUUGGAAGGAUCGAAAGCCGUUUAUUGUGACUGCCGAGACUUUCUAAAGCAACGUCGAGAGAAUCCCCUCCACAUAUGCUUGAAGAUCAAUGACCCAAUGGUUUUUGAAAGACUUGGUCCCCUCCCACGACCUAGGUCAGCUGCCAAUCUAGGGAAGGAAUGACAGGUUCUCGAGGAACAUGAAGGUACAGGGGACUUUGAGGUAUUCCGACAGACUCACCUUAUAAGUCAGUACGGCGAGUCCAAGAAAAAACCACACGCCCUUGCUCAAACUUUCCUACUUCUAAGAGCCGAUGGAGACUUACGAAAGAAAAUUCUAGUGGUACAUGACUCCACUCAAGACCCCCUUGUCCUACAGCUCAUUGAGGAAGUAAACAAGUUGAAGGCCAAACGUUAGGCCGAGAUACCUAACUGGAACCAACCUAGGCCUGGCCCUCUUUUAAUGAAGAUCCUCGACACCCCAUUCAAGUGAAGACAAAACAAAAGCUUGGUUUACAACUCUAUACUGGAAGAGAGGACCCAAUUGAACACCUUAACCUCUUUGAGUCCACCAUGGCAUAUCGGAUACACAUCGACGAAGAACGAUGUCUUCUCUUCCUCUCUACCCUCUCUGGCGGAGCUCUAAACUAGUAUUGCUGUCUUCCACCUGAAACAGUAGACUCAUUUGAGGAACUGAGGAAACUGUUUGUCUCUCAACACAUCUUCCAAACCGAUCGCUUGCAUUCUACAGAUGACUUGUACACUAUUCACCAGAAGCCGGACGAGUCACUACGAAAGUAUACCGGUCGCUUCAGCCAUGAGUAUUCUCGUUGCGCUGAGGCAGAUGACAAGACCGCCCUCAAGGCCUUCACGGCAGGCCUACGUGAUUUUUUCUUCAAGUACAUGAUCAAUGCCAACACUUGGAAGACUUAUUCUGAAGUGAUGGCACAUGCUUACAACCACGCCUCCGCCGAAGCAAGGACAUACCAAGGGAACCCCUAUAUGGUUAACCCCUAUCAACAAGUGGGAAGUGGAAGUCAAGUUCUACCAAGUGAGGAGAUCUUGGCCAUUCAGACACCCAUUGCAUCAUCUCCUGCCUCAUUUAGCUACUCGCUAAGUCACCAAAUGUAUCUGUCUCUUAGUAAGAGGAAUGAUUUUUACUUUUAGCAAGCCCAUUACAACAAGAGGGAUAAAAGUUCGUAUCAAGACAACCAGGGGUGAACGUACCGUCGACUAUUAUGACUAUGAGGCCAAACCUCACUCUUUCAAAGUGGAGGACUAGGUACUGAAAGAAAUGCUAUUAUAAGAAGGCAUACACAUUACAAAUGUUUUGACUCUCAACCGCUUGAGAUCUUUUGUCACACAAGUCAUUCGGAAAAUAUUUAAAGAAGAGGGAAUUCAGAUAACUUCUUCUGAGUCUUUUGCGUUCCUAACACUGGAACAUUUGGUCUACGCUGACCUACCCUUAUACUCCAACUCAGAGCUUCAACAUGCGUACUUUGACACAAAGUAUGUGAUACUAAGUGUUACAACCAACAUGGUUCACAUAUCAAAAGCAUGGAUCCCUUCAUGCAUAGCAAAACAUUCAUAAGCAUCACUCAUAUCAAUCAACAUAAAUAUCAUACAUUCCAACACAUUCAUACAUAAACAUCAUACAUUCCAACACAUUCAUACAUAAACAUCAUACAUUCCAACACAUCCAUACAUAAGCCAACUGUGCUUCGAAAUGGUUCAACAUACUUUGUGUCUUCGACACUUACUACAAUGUGCAUUGACACCUUGCCCUUAUUCUCACCAACCAAGUGAUGAAAUGUGAAUAAGGAAUUGAUCUUCAUGCCACCAACCAGGUGAUGAAAUGCACAACCCGUACUCUAAUAUCAUUUGGCAACUUGCCACUCACGCCACCAACCAAGUGAAGAAGGAACUCAUCUUCGUGCCACUAACCAAGUGAUAAAAUGUACAACCCAUACUCUCCUUCAUGCCACCAACCAGGUGAUGAAAUGUACAACCCGUACUUUAAUAUUUUUUGGCAACUUGCCACUCAUGCCACCAACCAGGUGAAGAAGGAACUCAUUUUCGUGCCACCAACCAGGUGAUGAAAUGUGAUGAAAGGUGAUGAAGGAACUCACCUUCGUACUACCAACCAAGUGAUGAAAGCAACUCACCAUUCAUUCCACCUACCAGAAGACGAGUGGUACAACUUGUACAUGUGAACUCCUAGCAUUCACAAAAUAAUCAAAAACCCUCAAGCUUGACAACUCAACUAGGGGAUCACUUAUGCCCAACAAGAGUUAUAGUCACCAACAAAGUCUUAUUGCAAGCCAACAACAACUUCAGUGCCUAGCAUACGAAGAUCAAGCUAUUUAGCCCUCUUGCAUCUGCUUCAAACAUUUCCCCUCUGUAACAAUGCAAACACUACAACUCGUAGAAAGCUUCACACACUUUUGAUCAAGACAGUGUGAAGCAAAACCAAUUUAUGGUGCCAACAAAAGCUUCAUCAAAGGAGUUCAACCACAAUUCUCAAAAGCUUCACACACUCUUGAUCAAGACAGUGUGAAGCAAAACCAAUUUAUGGUGCCAACAAGAGCUUCAUCAAUGGAAGGCAACCACAAUUCUCAAAAACUUCACACACUCUUGAUCAAGACAGUGUGAAGAAACCAAUUUAUGGUGCCAAGAAAAGCUUCAUCAAUGGAGGCCAACUACAAUUCUCAAACUUUCGAAGCAAAUUCAAAACUGUUCGAAGCAAAUUCAAUUUAUAAGGUUCAUCCAAACUUUCGACUACUACAAGGUGUGGCUUGCAUCACAAUCUCUUGCUCAACAGUCUGGAAGCAAAAUUUGUAUAUGUUGUCUCUCCCACAUUUUCAAAUUUCUAGUUUCCCAAAACAAAAACAAAAAAAAAAAUGGGAAAUUCAACAAAGCUUCAUCAAUGGAGGACAACUACAAAUUCUCAAAAGCUUCACACUAUCUUGAUCAAGAUAGUGUGAAGCAAAAUCAAUUCGUGGUACCCAACAAAGCUUCACCACAAAAGCUUCACCCACCACAAAAGCUUCACCAACAAAAAAUUCACCAACAAAAGCGUCACCCACAAAAACUUUACCCACAAAAGCUUCACCCGCCACAAAAGCUUCGCCCACAAAAGCUUCACCAACAAAAGCUUCACCCACAAAAACUUUACCUACAAAAGCUUCACCCGCCACAAAAGCUUCACCCAUUACAAAAGCUUCACCAACAAAAACUUCACUCACAAAAGCUUCCCCCACCACCAAAGCUUCCUCCACCAUAAAAGCUUCACCCAUAAAAGCUUCACUAACAAAAGCUUCACCUACAAAGCUUCAACACAAAAGCUUCACACUAUCUUGAUCAAGAUAGUGUGAAGUAAAAUCAAUUCAUGGUACCCAACAAAGCUUCACCUAUAAAGCUUAAAAUAUAUAUAUUUUCAGAAAUUUGAAAAUUCAAAAAUUCGAAAAUUUGAAAAUUCGAAAAUUCAAAAAAAAAAAAAAAUUUGAAAAAAAUUGUCUAGGCCUCCUCUUCUUUGGGCCUAACAACUUUCAUAACAAAUAUAUAUGAAGGAGGAGUUUUGGGCUACCACUUAGAAAGGAAAUACCUCAUUCGUCAACUCCCUCGACCGGAGACUUGGGGGACUCUUACCAUGGAAGAAAAUGCCGAUAAUAUCGGCAAAAUAUCGCCAAUAUUAUCAGUUUUUUGGGACAUGGAUAUUUUAAUUGGUAUCCGAAUGGUUUUCGUCCAAAUAUCGUGAUAUUUUUUUUAACGGUGCAAUCGGACUUCCGAGCCGAACGUCGGAGAAGAACGCCGGAGACGGUGUGCCUAUUCCCGAGCCGAUUUCAUCCCAAAAACCUUGCAAAAACACGAUUUUUAACUUCAAUUUCACACAUAAACUUCAAAUUUCACGUAUGCAAGAGGUAAUAAACGAUUCAACAUAUGUGAUGUCGGUUUAGGGUUUAGGGUUUCAAUGGAAUCUCACCUGAAAACUUGUUCAGCGGCGCAUCGCCACAGACGACUGAGCCAACUCAGACUUCGCCUGAGCCAACUCAGACUUCGCCAGAGCCACGAUCAACGGCGGCGACACCCAGAUAUCGAGAGGGAUUUGAGAUUGUCGGACUGAGGAGCAGAAGGCCGUGGUGUGUAUGUAGGGGAAGGGAGAAGAGAGAUCGAGAGAUUCUGUGUGUGUGUGUGUGUGCGUGGGAGAAGGGAGAAGAGAGAUCGGAGAAGGGAGAAGAGAGAUCGAGAGAUCUCUGUGUGUGUGGGGGGGAGAAGGGAGAAGAGAGAUCGGAGAAGGGAGAAGAGAGAUCGAGAGAUCUCUGUGUGUGUGUGUGUGUUUGGGAGAAGGGAGAAGAGAGAGCGGAGAUCUCUGUGUGUGUGUGUGUGUUUGGGAGAAGGGAGAAGAGAGAUCGGAGAUCUGUGUGUGUGUGUGUGUGGGAGAGAGAAGGGAGAAGAGAGAUCGAGAAGGAUCGAGAGAGAGAGACUGAGGUCGUGGUCUGCGUGUGUGAUGUUUGUGUGUGUGCGUUGUGUGUGUGUGUGGUUGCGUGCGUUGUGUCAUUUGUGUGUGUGUGUGUGGGUUCCUCCUGUCAGGAGGACACAUGACUCACUCAAUAUUCCCGACAAGUUUUACAAUUAUUUUGACAAUUUGACAGACUCACUCAGUAUUCCCGACAAGUUUUACAAUUAUUUUGACAAUUUGACAGACUCACUUUUACAAUUAUAAUUUGUAUUCUUUUCAGACCAUGGAUGGUGGUUUCAUUCAAAACCGUGUGCCGAUAUUGUUUUAAAAGGUGGAGUAUCAGAGCCAUUGUGAUAUUCUUUCAAAGCUGCAUUCUUUCAAGAGGUCGAGUAUCAUAGCCAUUCAGAGCCUUUUCGAUUAUUUUAUUUCCCUUACCCCUCUCAAAGUCAUUCCAGAUCCAUUCCAGAGCUUGAACACAAAGGGUUCCAUAUUUAAAGUAAGUUUACAAACUUAUAUUUAUAUUCUUAUAAUUUAUACAAUAACAAAAAAAUUUGUGUGAACUCGUAUGUUAAUUUUUUUAAGUAAUUAAUACUUGAAUGUUAGUUUUUGUAAGUAAUUAAGUAAUGUUAACAAUUACAUGUUAAUUUUUUUAAGUAAUUAAUACUUGCAUGUUAGUUUUUGUAUGUAAGUAAUUAAGUAAUGUUAACAAUUACAUGUUAAUUUUUUUAAGUAAUUAAUACUUGCAUGUUAGUUUUUGUAAGUAAUUAAGUAAUGUUAAUAAGUAAUUAAGUAAUGUUAACAAUUACAUGUUAAUUUUUUUAAGUAAUUAAUACUUGCAUGUUAGUUUUUGUAAGUAAUUAAUUAAUGUUAACAAUUACAUGUUAAUUUUUUUUAAGUAAUUAAGUAAUGUUGUAUAAUUAUUCCCUAGGAUAAUUUUAAUAUGUUUAAUGUUAUUUAUUAUUUUAUUUCCCUUACCAUUUUCAAAGCCAUUCCAGCUCCAUUCCAAAGCUUGAACACAAAGGGUUCCAUAUUUAAGGUAAGUUUACAAACUUAUAUUUAUAUUAUUGUAAUUUAUACAACAACAAAUAAAUUUGUGUGGACUCGUAUGUUAAUUUUUUUAAGUAAUUAAUACUUGCAUGUUAAUUUUUGUAAGUAAUUAAGUAAUGUUAACAAUUACAUGUUAAUUUUUUUAAGUAAUUAAAUAAUGUUGUAUAAUUAUUCCCUAGGAUUAUUUUAAUAUGUUUAAUGUUAUUUAUUAUUUUAUUUCCCUUACCAUUUUCAAAGCCAUUCCAGCUCCAUUCCAAAGCUUGAACACAAAGGGUUCCAUAUUUAAGGUAAGUUUACAAACUUAUAUUUAUAUUAUUGUAAUUUAUACAACAACAAAUAAAUUUGUGGACUCGUAUGUUAAUUUUUUUUAAGUAAUUAAUACUUGCAUGUUAAUUUUUGUAAGUAGUUAAGUAAUGUUAACAAUUACAUGUUAAUUUUUUUAAGUAAUUAAGUAAUGUUGUAUAAUUAUUCCCUAGGAUAAUUUUAAUAUGUUUAAUGUUAUUUAUUAUUUUAUUAAUAUUAGGUUUUAUUAUCAAAUAGGAUAAUUAUUCAUUAAUAUUAGGUUUUUUUAUUAUCAAAUUGGAUUAUUAUUCAUUAAAUUAGAUUAUUAUCAAAUUGGAUUAUUAUUCAUUAAAUUGGAUUAUUCAUUAAAUUGGCUUAUUAUCAAACUGGACUAUUCAUUAAAUUGGAUUAUUAUUAAAUUGGAUUAUUAUCAAUUUGGAUUAUUAUUCAUCACUAUGUUUUAUAUUAGGAUUAUUUUUAAGAUAAUUGGAUUAUUAUUCAUUAAAUUGGAUUAUUCAUUAAAUUGGCUUAUUAUCAAAUUGGACUAUUCAUUAAAUUGGAUUAUUAUUAAAUUGGAUUAUUAUCAAAUUGGAUUAUUAUUCAUCACUAUGUUUUAUAUUAGGAUUAUUUUUUUUAUCAAAUAGGAUUUUUAUUCAUUAAUAUUAGGUUUUUUUUAUUAUCAAAUUGGAUUAUUCAUUAAAUUGGAUUAUUAUUAAAGUGGAUUAUUAUUAAAUUGGAUUAUUAUCAAAAAUGAAUAUUAUUCAUCACUAUGUUUUAUAUUAGGAUUAUUUUCAUGAAACAUAAUUAUCAUCAUUUAUAGUAGGAUUAUUUAUAUUAGGAUUAUUAUCAAAAAGGAAUAUUAUUCAUCAUUUAUAUUAGGAUUAUUUUUUUAUCAAAUUGGAUUAUUAUUCAUUAAUAUUAGGUUUUAUUAUUCCAUAUUAUUUUUUUAAUUACUUAAAUUUUUACAAUCAUUUUCUUUACUUCAUAUUUAAUUCUUCUGUAGAAUAACUUUAUUAUUUAGGUUCUCUUAUAUAAUCGUCAUCACUACUAUAUUUUUUGGCCAAAAAAUAUUUGUCUAAUUUUCAUAAAAAAUAAAUGUAGGUACAUUUACGAUGUCCAGUGGAGCUACUAAACGUGAUCCAGCUUGGGAACAUGGAUACCCAAUAGACGAAAACAAACAUGGCAUAAUUUGCAAAUAUUGUGGUCGGGUAAUGAAGAGUGGCGGAGUGACACGACUUAAGUACCAUCUUAGUGGAUUAGAUCCAGCAAAAAAUGUCCAACGAUGCGAUAAUGUCCCCCCAGAAGUGAAGGCAUUCAUCAGCUCAUUAUUAAAAAAUAAAAAACAGCAGAAGUAAAAGAUAACACAGGGAAUGGAAAAUAUUCGAGCUGGGCUACGGGGAGAAGUCUAUGGCCAAGAGCUUGACAGUGAUGAUGAUGACGAUAAGGACGAAUGUGAUGAUGACAUGGGACCUGAAGAACAACGUAGUUUGAAACAAGCAUUACGUGCCUUCAAACAGUCAGCAUGGGAAAGAGAACACCUUCAUAAAAUUCCUAAUAGAGCACAAGGUUCCGGGACAAGUGGUGGUGCACAAAUGAGACGGGGAGGCAGUCUUAGAGAAUCACAACCAACACCACCAAUAGCCCCAAGUUUAUAUAAGUCAUCCAAAGCACGUCAAAAGAGUGUUUGGAGUUAUUUCACUGGAGGUAAUGUGAAGGAAGGAAUGGGGCGUCUAAUUAGCAAGUUCUUUAUCUAUGAAAAUGUCCCUGCUGCGAAGGCAUCAUCACAUCAUUUCAAAAAUAUGGUAGUGGGAUGUCAACAAGCUAGUGUUGGAGUACAACUUCCCACUCCCUAUGAGAUAAGAAACAAAUAUUUGGAUAUGGAGUAUAAAGACAUUGGCGAGUAUGUUAACAAGUUGAGGUCAAAGUGGGAAACUAAUGGUUGCACAAUCAUGUGUGACGGAUGGACCGGCCCGACCAGAUUGUCUAUCAUCAACUUCAUGGUAUACUCCAAGGGAAAGACAAUUUUUUUUAAGUUUGUUGAUGCUUCAGACCAUAUAAAGAAUUACAAGUAUAUUUACAAAUUAUUGAGGGAUGUAAUCAUGGAGGUGGGAGAGCAUAAUGCUGUCCAAGUCGUGACCGACAACGGUUCUGCAUUUGUCAAAGCUAGAAAAAAGUUAAUGAAGCGUCAUAAUGUGUUUUGGACAUCAUGUGCAGCACAUUGUAUUGAUCUCAUAUUUGAGGCAAUGGGGAAGACAGAGAAUGUUGCUACUGUGGUCAAAAGAGCUAGAACGAUCACAAAUUAUAUUUACAAUCACGGUUGGUUGUUGGCAAAGAUGCGUGAAUUUUGCAAAGGAGAAAUUAUUCGUCCAGGUACCACUCGAUUCGCCACCAACUAUAUUGCAUUAGACAGCAUACUCAAGAAGAAAGCAGGGUUGAAGCAACUAUUCACUAGUGACGAUUGGGCCAACCACAAUUUGAGCCACUCAAAUACAGGUCGUAUGGUGGAAAGUAUAGUGCUUGAUCAUGCUUUUUGGACUCAAUCAGAACAUGUGUGCCAAGUGUUUGAACCUCUUUACAAAGUUUUACGGAUCGUUGACACAGAGGUGUAUCCUACUAUGGGGGCAGUAUAUGAGUUGAUGCGUGUAGUGAAGGAUGAAUUGGAAAGAAAACAUGGUGCAAGGUGGGUCAUAAAGAUAAUUGAAGACCGAUGGUAUAAAACAUUAUACCACGAUUUGCAUGCAGCAGGUAUAAAUUAUAUCAUAAUUUUGCAAUUCGUUUCUUUAGUUGCAUAAGUAUUAUUUCUCUUAUUAGAGUAUGUGUUUCUUUGAACAACAUAUUAUUUGAAUCCCCGAUACCAAUACAGACCCGGUGUUGGAGAUGAUGGUAACCUUAUACGUGUUGUACAUAAUGUAUACUCUAAAUUAGACCCUGCAUCACCAGCAGUUGGCCAAUUUGGAAAUGAGGUAGACAAUUACUUAAAUUAUAAUAAUUACUUUGUUGGAUUAAACUAACACGAUUUAUUGAAUUCAGCUAACAUGGUUUAAAGAUGCAAGAAGAACUUUUGGAGAACCAACAUCAGUUGCUGCUCGAACAAAUAUGUCUCCUAGUAAGUAUAAACAUAUUUCACUAUAAGUUUAUAAUAGAAUUUGUUGGAGUUAUUAGGCUUAUCAACAUUGUUUUUCAUUGUAGCUGAAUGGUGGAUCAUGUAUGGGAUCGAUGCACCAACUGUGAGAAAGUUAGCAAUCAAAGUAUUAUCACAAACAGCUUCCUCAUCUGCUUGUGAAAGAAAUUGGAGCACAUUUGCACUCAUACACACAAAGCAAAGAAAUAAGUUGGCUCAUAGUAGCUUGGAAAAAUUAGUUUAUUGCUACUACAACAUGAAGCUUCAAAUUCGAGAUAAGGAAGCAGAAAUAGAUCAUGUCGACCGUGGGACCCACUAGAUGUGUUUGAUAUUGUUGGUGAAGAUGAUGAUACAGAGGGUAACCAACUUUUUCAAUGGAUUAGACCUCUUCAUCUAGAUGAAUGAAGGCAACCCAGCUCACAGAAUUGCUGAAGAAGCACGUAAUGAAGGGAUAAAUGUAGAAAGAGUAUUAGAGGAGGAGGUGGGAUCUAGCAGCGCUGACUCUUUGGAAGAACUUUUGCGCCCAAGACCAAGAAACACUGGAAUUCCACCUUCUUCCAAUCCUACACAACCACAACAUCGUGUUGAUACUAAUGAUAGCUCUAGUACAAGAUCAGGAGACUCAUCUACCACCGGAGGUGGGAAUGAUGAAGGACAUAGUAGAGCUGGAGGUAGUGGAGCUGGAGGUAGUGGUGGUGGAUAUGGAAACUAUUAUGGACCACCACCUUUCGGAUAUAUGAGCCCCUUCACUGGUGAGGCAAACUUCACGCAUGCAACACAGGAUGAUGACCAUGGCAGUAGGCGGGCAGGACCAGGAAUUGGUGCCAUAGGGAAGGACUAUACUCGCAGAGAAAGAGGCAAGGGGAUUUUGUCAAGUCAAGAAGAUGACUCGUUAUCUAGAACUUCAGACUCUGUUGGAUUGGGAAGUAGUAACUAUGGUUAUACUCAUAACCAACCAUUUCCCUACCCUUCAUAUCCCAUUCCUGUUGGGAUGGAAUCGAGCGACUCAUGGAAACAAUCCCAGACUCAAUCUUCAAAUUAUUUUUCUUAUGGACAACCUCAACCAAUCUCGGAUCCAUAUGGGUGGCAUGUUAACAAUUACAUGCAAAACUAUUUUGGGGAUUUAUCAUUUGAUAACUACUCUUCAUAAUACACUCAUUCUACACGUAGAGAUGAUGAAGAUAGUGAAAAUUUUGAACCUCAUAGAAAUUUAUGUGGUACUAAAGUGUAAAAUAUUGUACUAAUUCAUUAUAUAUAAAUGAUUAUGGUGUGUUUAGACUUCUUUCAUUAAUUACUACAUAUUUUCUACACUCACAAUGUUUGUCAGCUCGCUAUAUAAUCAACUUGAUAAUGUUAAAUCCAUCAUGCAAUGCAUUUCUUUCCAAUUUUUUGUGAUAAACUAAUAGAUAAUUAACUAAAUAAACAUCCUACAAAGUUUCAAUAAAAAUUUCCAAGUUUUUCUUACAAUUUCCGUGGUUUCCAUGUAAUUUUUAUCGAUAUCGAUAUUUUACCGAUAUUUCCAUCGAUAUUUCCGUGUUUUCGAACUACCGAUAUUUCCGAUAUUACCGAUAUUUUCUUCCUUGACUCUUACCAUAUGCUACUGCAUCUUGAUACUCGGAAGUCUCACGGCCACUCAGUGACUUGGAUUUUUCAAGUCUCCAACCGAGAAGUUUUCCUCACUCAGGAAAUUAAGGGAGCACUACCUCAACAUACAUGCUUCACUCACAAAGCUUCAACAUACAAGCUUCAACCAAAGAAAAAUUCAAAGAACUUAGUGAAGAAGGCUUUGGUGUAUUUAACACAAUACGUUGAAAUGAAGCAAAGCUUAUUUAUUGAUAUCUCCGAUAAGUUACAAAUAUGUACAUAUACAUGAAUCAAAAUAAACAAACAAGAGGGAGCCUUCAUAAAGGUUGCUCAGGAGAAGUCUCAGCAGUCGGCAGAACCCCAGAAAGAGGAGGCACCGGAGGGUGAUCAUUCGGAGCCUCAGUACUGGGCAGAACCCCAGAAGGAGGAGGCAUCGAAGGUUGAUCAUUUGGAGCUUCAGUACGCAGUACAGCCCCAGAAGACGAAGGCAAUAAAUGCCUUUAGAACAAACUCACAAACCUCUGAUGAUCAAGUAAAAUCUGACCAUUAGAUUCCUGUAGCUGGUCAUGCUUCCUCUUCAUGUUUGUAACAUAGUCAUGUGCGAGCCUAUGCAACUGUUUAUUCUCAUGCUUGAGCCCUCUGAUCUCCUGUUUGAGACUUAUCACUUCAGCCGCCAAUGAUUCAACUUGACGGGUUCGAGCAAAUAAAGCGUUGGGCCAUAUUAAACACAGAACUUGCACACUGAACACUGAGAGCCAGAGAAUCCUUAACAGCCAACUCAUCAGACCGUUUGGAAAGUAGUCUGUUAUCUUUAGGAGUAAGAAGGUUUCUGGCUACCACCGCAGAGGUCAUAUCAUUCUUCAUCACAGAGUCCCUAAUGGUAAGAGGACCAGUAGGGGAUAAGAAGGAUGGGCGCCAUAUGUUGUCUUGAGAAGGCAUGGCUGCCUCUUCACCAAAGUUCAAGUAAAAACGACGAUCGGAUGGGCCAGACAUUCUUAGAAAUGAUGAAGGAGAAAUGAGGUGCGAUAAAUCUCUUAAGUAUAAAAAUAAGGGGAAAAUUCCUACAAGCAAUAACUCUCUGAAUGUACUUCUUGCACACAAUUGGUGCCCUUAUAAAAGAAAGGGCAAUAAGGCCGUUGGUUCAAAAAUCAAAGAGGCACCACUUUCCGGAUUCCGAAGAGGCACCACUUUCUACACGCAACAUCAGCUUCUCGGGUACCACAUAUAACUUUGCCAAAGAUCUCUGACAAAGUUUAAACACAUAAAUUUUGAAGGUCCAGCUACCCUACUAUUACCCACAAGGGUAAAGGAACAACAAUACUGCUUGAUAACUAGAAAGUCCCUAUAUGUGUCAACCUCCGUGCUCCGUGGCAAGGCAGACUGGCAAAAAUGCCCAACCUUUACUCACAUUCGAGAAAACACUCCCAACAAGAUUGCUUGCUCAAAAAUCAAAGAGACACAGCUCUCCGAAUCUCGAGAGCCAAACUCCCAACAUGAUUAAUUACUCAAAAAUCGAAAAGGCACCGCCUUCCGAAUCUCGAGAGCCAGACUUCCAACAGGAUUACUUGCUCAAAAAUCGAAGAGGAAUAUCUCUCCGAAUCUCGAGAGCUAGACUCCCAACAGGAUUACUUGCUCAAAAAUGGAAGAGGCACCGCUCUCCGAAUCGAAGAGCCAGACUCCCAACAUGAUUGAUUUCUCAAAAAUUGAAGAGGCACCAUUUUUUGAAUCUCGAGAGCCAGAUCCCCGACAGGAUUGCUUGUUCAAAAAUUGAAGAGACACCGCUUUCUGAACUUCGAGAGCUAGAUUUCCUUGGAUAAAGCUUGUCUGCAAUCUUCACACGCAACAUUAGCUUUCCAGAUACCAUAGACCACUUUUUUAAAGUGCUCUGACAAAGUUAAAACACAUGAAUCUUGCAGCUUUCACUACAUUGCUAUGACCAAGAAGGGUAAAGGAACAGCGUUACCAUUUGCUGUUGGGACAAUUCCUAUAUAUGUCGACCUUCAUCCUCCACAGCCUGGCAGACCUGCAAAUAAAAAAAAUGCUCAACUUUUCUUCACAUCCAAGAGGGCACUCUCAGCAGAGUCUCUCGAAAUACUCAACUUCUUUUCCCCUGAUAAUACCUCUGCAAACAAGCCACACCAGAGCAAGAGUAUCUCAUAUCAUCAGGGUUAAAAGCAAGAGGAUCCCAUAUCAUGUUUUUUCCCUGUCUUUUCCUUUGGCCUUGUUCUAACUUGCAAGACAAGGAGAAAGAGAGCAAUCAGUCAGCACUUGGAAUCAAGCUUCCAGUCAGGAACUCACUGCCUGGAACCCCUUGCCUGAUUACUUACCUGACAUUGCUCUCGAGUACUCAUCUUCAACAUUUUAUGCUUCCAGAGAAGAUACCACAUCUGCCUGAGGAACAGAUAGGACAAGUGAAAAAGAUACAAGGAAGCAUGUGGAGACAAGUGUAAGAGAACACAUGUUGAUACAUCCAAUACUUUGUCAACAGCAAAAUUAUCACAUAUCAUCAGGGUCGAACGUACUCUAGAUUUGAUGGAAUUGUUUUGACCCUCAAAUUCUUGAGUCGGCCUUAUAAUCUGAAGGAAACCAAAAAACCCUUUAGCCCAAUUCAAGAAUAAACCUGUGGAAAGUUAUUUCUUCAAAAGCAAAAGUAUCUCAUAUCAUCUUUUCUCCAUUUGCUUCUCCUUAACAUUGUUGCUGUUUACGACAUAAGGAGAAUGAGAACAAUCAACCGGAAGCUGAAGUCGAACCUUCGAUCCAGGUUGCUUGCUUGGAAGUUUGAUUGCUUACCUUGUAUGUUACCUUAUUCGGCAAAUCUCCUAGCUCGGCGACUUGGGGGACUCCUACUAUAGGAUUUGUAUCGCACUUAACCAAGCUUGAAACUACAAGUAAGCUUCAAGUGAAAUUGAUACAUUACCUUGUGCAUCUUCAUCAGUUAAAGAUACCACCCCUGGAUAGAGGAAAAGUACUUCCAGAGAAGAUGUCACAUCUACAUAUGAGACAGAUAAGGCAAGUGAAAAUGAUACCACACUUCGGUACUUAGAAGUUACGUGAUUACUCAAUGGCUUGGAUCUUGCAAGUCCCCAACCGAGGAGCUUCCCUCACUCGGGAACUUAGGGGAGCACUGUUUGUACCAUACUUGACCAAUCCUAAUACUACUGAGCACCGGUCAACGUUAUACCGUCAAGGACCCAUAAGAGUUUCCCUCCAACCAGGAGGCCAAUCACAACGCGACACGUGUCGACAUCAGAAGCCAAUCAUAACGCGACAUGUGUCAACAUCAGAAGCCAAUCACAACAUGACACGUGUCAAUGUCAGAAUGAAACUAGAAACUCUCUUCUAUAAAUAGAGAUCAUUCUCUCACAAUAUUUCCUAAUGUCAUCGGUACUAAAUCACUCACUAGUACUCAUUAAAGGAGAGCUUGAACCUAUGUACUUGUGUAAACCCUUCACAAUUAAUGAGAACUCCUCUACUCCGUGGACGUAGCCAAUCUGGGUGAACCACGUACAUCUUGUGUUUGCUUCCCUGUCUCUAUCAUUUACAUACUUAUCCACACUAGUGACCAGAGUAAUAUAACGAAGGUCACAAACUUAACACUUUCUGUUGUACCAAAGUCCUCACUGAUUUUGUGCAUCAACAGGUAGUAUGGUACCAAUUAUAUAUAUAUAUACAGAUGGUUCUCACUUGGGAUCAGUUGUUGUGUAAUGGUUAAGUUAAUUAUCAUUGGAUUUUGUUAGUGUUGUAUUAUAGAUGGACCAGUCUUUGUGUGUGUGUGUGUGUGUAUAGUAUGGUACCAAUUAUAUAUAUGCAGAUGGUUCUCAAUUUGCCAUAUUCUUUAGUUUCAACAUCACUGCUAUAUUUGGAUUUUGUUGUUGUUAUCUGGUUUUGUUCUUUAAUUUUGUUUUUUUUGGUCUAUGCUUAGAAAGUUUAAGGUUUAUGGUUUUGUUCUUUGGUCCUGUCCUUGUGUGUGUGUGUGUGUGUGUGUGUGUGUGUGUGUGAUUAAGUGAUUUGUUUCCUUUUUCAUUCUUGGUGGUUUGUGUGUUCAAUCGUUUCUGCCCUAGUUCUGGUAUGGAUUGUAGGAGUAAUGACAUUAUUUGUGCUUUUUUGAGGUAUAGCAACUUGGGAAGGCUCUUCUUUUUUUAAUUAAUAGCUUCUGCAUUUUUGUUUUGGCCAACAUAGAGCGCUGUUUUCUAUGGCUCUUGGUGAUCAAUAGGGUUAGGCUUGGUAUCUAUUUUAGUACAGUUGGGAUUUAAAUAAUUAAAGAUCUAGUUCAUCAUAAGAAGAUAAAGAUAAGAAGUAAAUAAUGAAUGUUAAAAAAGUUCUAGUGGCUUGUUUCUGUUCUAGCUGUGUUGGUUUGUUUUUAUUUCAUUGAAUCUGAAAUGUAGGGUUUUCUGUAUGGUGUUGUAGUUCGCAGUCGCACAGUUUUGGGAUUGGAAAGGUUGUCGCCAGAUUCUUGAGGAUAAUAUGAUGUUGGACGUUAAAAAUGUCAUGUUUAUAUUCUAUUUUUGCUUACAAAUUCAAUGAGGAUUGUUGUUGGAACUGGGACAUUGGAUGUGGUUUUGGAUGUUAGUUUGGAAUUUAUUGCAGAUGUCUUAGACUUUCGGAUAUUUUGUAUGUUGAUUUGAUUUUUAGAUGUUGGACGAUGUAAUAUUGUUAUUUUGGAUGUAUUGUUAAUCUAUGAACUUGGAUGGAAUCAUUUUGGAUGUAUUGUUUUUUGCAAUAUGUGCAAUUUUUUUUUUCAAACCAAAAGAAAAAUAGAAGGGGGACCCAUGGACCCGGCUCGAACCGGCCCGUUUCAACCGGGCCGGGUAAGGUCCGGUUCCUAUAUUAGAAAAUGUAAUCCCCAGCCCGGCCCGUUUCCUUUGAACCUAGGUUCGAUCCGAUCCCUUCAAAAUUGGGCCCGGCCCAGCCCGUGCCCACCCCUACACCAGACGGAAUCAUAAGCACAAUAUGAAAGUGUGGUCUCUUAAUACGGAUUAACCAAGCAAGACCACCUAUGGAUCUAAUGUGACCAUGUAGGCAUUGACCCACCCAUUGAGGAUUAAUCAGGCGGAGUUUCCCUUAAAAUGCAUGGUCCUCCAAUGCUGAUUAACCAAGCGAAACCAUAGUCAUGCAUUCAAUAGCGUGGUUCCCCAAUGUGAAUUAACCACGUUGAACUACUUUAUGUAAAUAAUGUAUCAAGGUAGGUAGUGACCCCCUAAUGCGGAUUAACUAGAAUGGACCAUAAACAUACCCAUAAUAGUGUGGUCCCCAAUAAGGGAUUGACCAGGCGAAACCAUCCAUGUACCACACUACUACAUGGUGCAGUCUGAUCAUCACACAUCAUAUAUCUUAUAUUGUACAUCAUACAUCAAUUCAACAUAAAUCACAAUUGUAUACGCACACAUUAUCGAUUUCAUAAGACCAACAAUAUCUAACCACAUAGACCUACACGUUUUAAGGUAUGUUUCUAAUAUGGUCCCCAAUUUAUCUACACAUACUAGUAAUCAUCCAUUUCCAAUACUCUCAUUUAGAAGUCCAGUAAACACGUAAAUCUCAGUAAGAUACCUUGCACACAAACCGAGGUGUACAACUCUCGAGAUGACACGCAAGCCAAGUAAGCCCACUACGCUUUAUCGGGUCUCUAUCAACGCUAAUUCAGCAUUUAAGAAGGAAUCAUAACAUGUUGAUAAAAAAUGAAUCCUCAAUCAAGGGUCCCCGUCUAGAUUGUGAACCUUAAUAUUCUAAUUCAGAAAAUUCGAGCAUUGGAUUUCCGAUCUAUAAUUCUUAAGAUCCUAAAGUAUACGCAUGACAUACUAAAGUUUUAUGAUGAUUCAAAGGUCGGAUCUCCGCCUAUCAUAAAGGUUAAGCGGUGGCCAUUUACAAAAUUGGGGCGAAACUUGGGUCUUAUCAAAUAGAUUCAGAGUAUGUAAAUUAGCAUAGGUAGACAAAAUGGGUCAUUCAGCUAACGCAUCAUUACAUGCGGGGGCCCACGACUCCCCAGAAUUCGAACAAUACCAAAGCCGAUUCAUAAUAUGUCAAAAUGAAGCUUGUGAGCUAUACAAAAAUCUUCAUACCUUCGCCAGAGUGCGAAUUGGCCGGAAGUCGUUAAAAUUCGUCCGGAAGCCAUUAUAUCUGAGAAUGGGUGUACCUUCAUCAUGGAUUCGUUAAAGCUCGAACGUCCAAACCAAAGCUUAAGUUUUAUAGCUGGGGUCACGAUGAAUCAGUCGGUGGUGGUGUUUGGCGUCGAGGUGAACGGAUGAGGUAGAUCUCAGGUGUUAAACACUCAAAAACUUGAGCCUUGAUUCCCCAAGAAUGGUGAUUAAAUGAACGAAAUAUUAGGUGAAAAAUAAUCCUUGGGAUGAGGGGAGUUGAACCUAGGUAGAGAUCAGGAUCUAUUUGUCGGAAAAAUAUCGGAAUCGACGUCAAAAAAUUUUGCAGGAAAACGGGUCGGUAACUGAGUCGGGGAGGGAAAUUGGGUCAAUUAGCAAGUUGGCUUUCCUAAAUAUAGAAGUUCCAAGUUAUUAAAAUGCCCCUGCCUUUGCUCGCUUAUUUCUCUUUCAUUACAACUUCAUUUCGCCAACUGUUUUCUCCUAUAUGUUUGUAGGAUCGAGCUCUAUCUAAAUAUACUUAGUGUGACCCCAAAAGGUCUACUAACUUUUAAUGACUAAUUACGCAAAAACAAACAUUGUAACUAGUUAACUAAAAUUUCUCAAAUUAAUAAAAAUAAAAUCACCUACAUACAAAUUACAAAAUUUAAAAUAGUGAAAUUCAGGAAAGGGGUUUCACAUCAGCAUAAUCCUGGUAGAACGUUGAGGUUAGCCUACCAUGGCAUGCAACCUUAUUGUUAGGCUGCCAACGAGGAGUCUCUCCUAUCGAUAAUCGCCACUUACUACUUAGAACUCUAUCAAGUUCAAUUUCCCUCAAUCUAUUUCUGACAUAGACAUCGAAUGCCCUUUGGUGGACACACUCCCCCUUUGCUUGGGUGUUUGUCAUUAGCCUAACGGUGUUAAUUGUUUUGGAGGGGUGAUUUCGUCAAUCUACCCUUGGUGAAAAAUUGCAUACACAGCUAGAGCCUACCUAUUCAACCCAUUGUGUCUCGAGUUCCAACUCUCUCCCUUUCCCUAAGUGUAGAUUGUGUAUAAUAGCAUUUGUGAUCCAAAACAAAACAAGAACAACAUUGCUUCUUGUUUGCUUCUUUUUAUUUUUUAUUUUUUAUUAUUAUUAUUUUUUUCAACCGAGCCCCAUUCAUUCAAUUUAGACUUAUGAUUUUCUUUCAAUAAGGUGAAGACUGAAAUGAAAAAAAAAAACUAGUAGAUUGACAACAACAUGAAUUGGUUGUUAGAAUCUACGAAAACAAGAGUCUUUAUCCUGGUUUUAAUUACUGGCUUUAUUACAUACCAAAUCAGUUACACGUAGCAUCCAACGUAUCCAGUUUUCCAGUCAAAAAAGCGCUUAUAUACAUUCACCAAACCUGAAAAAAAAAAGAAAAUGAUAAACAUAGCAUGACUAAAAGGAUCGAGAGUGAUGAGAUUAGGGUAAAUGGUUUCCAGUAUGAAAGGAUCCAGAGUGAUAAGCAAAGCGUAGACCAUAAUAAGACGCGAAGGCAGAAGGACGAGAAAUUGAUUCAAAGUUAGGUAAAUCUAUACCUCUUCCUCCUUAUGUUUGUAGGCAUGUGUCAAUAGUUAAAAAACAUAGAUAUGGAAGAUCUUGAACUAGAUUUGCAUGUCCUCCAUGACUCCUUUCUUGUUAACUUUCGCAUCCAAGAUUUGCAUUGUGUUAUUUUGGCUGCAAAGUCAUCAAAAGAUGAUUCCCCCAAAAUGAUUUUCAUAGAUUUUUGGAAAAAAAAAAAAAACAGUAAAUUCAAUUACUUUUUUUUUUUCUGCGGAAAAAAGAAAACAUCGAAUUUCCUCAUAACACUCAAGAUCUGGCUAUAGGCUCCCCAUGGUUCAAUUUCAAUUAGAAGAUAAUCAUCUGAUUAUUUGAUUCAACUUCCUAUCGCAAAACCUCCUUUUCGUUUCUGUUUUUAGUGAAUUCCUUAUAUAUAUUGAUAUAUUUCUUUCUUUCGGAGAAAAAAAGGUUUAUGAAUUCUAAUUAUAAUUAGCCAACACACAUAAAUCUUUCUUUGUUCAUGGUUAGUGAGGUGAAAUUAAGUCGAGAGGAUUCGGUCAGCUCUGAACCGGAGGCCGACAAAUAUGAGUCAGUGGGCUGCCACUUGGACGCACAUUUGUCUCUGCAUGUAACCAAAACGCUCGCAUGAUUUACAUUUGCAGUCAUAACCGUCCCACUUUUGCAUCCUAAUUAUCAAUUUCUCUCUUUUUUUUUCUUUUUCUUUUCACAUGAGGUAAAAAAUAAAUAUUUGUUCAAAUAGACAAAGUGUAUCUAUUGGCUAAAGAGUAAAGACCAAAUUUACCCGCUUCACUCUUCAUUUUAAUCUUGCUGUACAUUUCAUGUUUUCCACAUAUUUUUCCGCUCAAUAUGUAAUUGACUUGUUGGCAUAAAAUUUUGGGGCUUGUUUGGUAUAAUAUUAAAAAAAAUUCAUAAUUUAAAAAAAAAAUAUUUCUUAAGAACAAUUUGCUUUACAUUCAAAAAUUUGUUUGGUAUGAAAUUCAAAAUGAUUUUUAAAAUUUAGUAAUUAAAAAGAUAAAGACAAUCUACAGCAACUCCCCGUUGAUUUGAGAGAUCUAAAGAGAGGGUCACAGGAAAAGUAGAAGAGAAAGAAAGAGGAAAGAGAGAUAAGGGUAGAGAGAGGAGAGAGAAAUAGGAGAGAGAUUCGAAGGGGGGGGGGAGAGAUGAUCAGUUCAGAAAGGAGAGAUGAUCAUAAGUGAAGUGAAGAGAGAAAUUAGUGGGUUUAGAGUUUAAAAAACUCUAAAAUCUCACUUUUUGUGUUUUCUAGAAAUAUGCUAAUUUUUAAGUUAGUUUUGAGUUCAAUUCUUAAAACCCAAACAAAUAUUCAAAGUUUAAGUGUUAUUGAGUCAAAAAGUUGAAUUAAAGUAGAAUACCAAAUAUUUUCUUAAAAUUCAGAUCUUUAGUUUGUUUUGCUAAUGAGUUAGAAGUUGAGUAGUUUUAAGUCAUAGUUUGUCAUGUUACAUUGUUGAUUAUAAAUAAGUGUUGCAUAAGUGGAAGAAAUAUAUAUUUAAAUACGUAACAUUUAUUAUUUAGUUAAUCACAUAACAUGUUAAAUUGUGCGAUAACUCAAAAGAAUUUUGAUAAAAAUUGUCCAGAGCUACACAAAUCAUUCAAAUCUAUGAUAGCUAGACUACCACAAUGCAACCAUAUCCAAAACACAAUUCAUGUUGUGGAACACUUUUUAUAAGUAUUUGUUAAAAAAUAAAAGGAAACUAUCUAUAUCAUGGGAAAUGACUUCUACACCUCCCUUUCUCUCUUAGCCCUUUUUUAUUUUUCUAAGAAUUAGAUUGAAUAAAUCAAAGAAGAAUUAAAUGCAGAAUGAGAAAACUAAAGUGUGAAAAUCACUACCUAUAUCAGUAGUGCCACCAUUCUCACACCCAUCAAAUUUUAAAGAAAUGCUACUCCUCUUAUCACUUUCCUUUAUUUUGUUCAAUACUUGAACAGUUUUUUUCAUAGAAUAACAAGGCUUUGGUAGAAGAAUAGUUUCCCGGAAAUAGAUUUUGCAUGUAGGAUAAUAUUGCUGUUUCUUUGGUGUGGAUUAAUAGAUAUUGAACAUUGUACAUUAGGUAUUCUUUCGGGUGGAUUAAUCUAUGUUGGUGAUACAAUGAACCAAGUUUACUCCUCAAAAUCACAAACUAAACACACACAAAUUAAUAUAUUGUUUUGUUGGCUGCAUAAAAAUGCAGGAUUUUUCUUCCCCCAGUCUCCUCAUAUUUGAACGCUAACAAUUAAUACUAGGACUAGGACUUUCCAAUUAUACUUGGAGAGAAAUACCAUUUCAUAAUAGUGUGACAUCCUGCAACCCAAGGGAAACUUAAAAUGAAAAUUGGGCAACAAAGAAAUGAAACCCUAUUUGGUUUUUGGUUCCGAUAUAAUUGAGAAAAAUAGAAGGUUUAGAAACAAACCAUAACACCCCAAAAACAUGAAAACAUCCACUCACAAAAAUAAAACUUGUGGGCGUACUUUAAGCCCAUAAACACCACCAGCGUAUCGUACCAUGUUAGGAUUUGUUAUGUAUAUUUCUGUCUGUUUCAGCAAACUCACGCAUAGUUAUAGUUUUUCAUGCGCGCGUUCGUGUUUGUAUGUUUUUGCUUUAUGAUUUUUGAGAGGAGGUGAGAUUGUAGCUGUUGUGCCUCGAACAGAUCAUCAAUCCAACCCCAAUCCCAUUGUCCAAAUCGAACAAGAACCCUCUUCGAAUACUCCAAAAUUUCUAUCCACUCUGUUUUUUGUGUUUUCCGUCUGUUUUUUUCUCGGCCACCAAACACGUCCUAAUAGCUAUCAUCAUUCACCAACACAGAGUCAGGAAACCCCGUACUAGGUUUUGUUUGCGCGCUCAAUUUCUUGGUGAUAUGAUUCCUGUUUCUUGAUUUUUCUGGUCAAGAAUAUUGAAGGUGACAUGCACCAGGUGUACGUGAGUUGCAGAAUAGUUAAAGAAAGAGAGUAGAACUGCACUGGUUUGUGUUCGUUGACAUGAGUGGUCAGGUGGUCAAGAGAAACAGAAGGGAGAUCGAGGCAUGCAUGACAUGUCCACUCUGCGAGAAGCACUACUGCGAGGCCACUACCAUAUGUGAAUGCCUUCAUACAUGUCAGUACCCUCUCUCUCCCUCCUCAUGUUUCAUCCAAUAUUAUGUUUUUUUUUAAUCGGAUUUCAUGUUUCUUUCUUGAAGUUCUUCCUUUCCUCGAUAUGGGUUCUUUGUUACGUUUUCGUGAUCAGGGUUUUUAUUCAAUUUGCGUUUUGGUUCUAAGUUUUUUUUGAAGAAACUGUAAUUAGCACUUCAAAAAUAUCAUUAUGCGUUAUAUCUUAUAAAAACAUAAGAGGAAACUUGCAUGUCUAUAAGUUCAUGAUGAGCAUUUUGGAGUGUCAAUAACAACUCCCUUUUGGAAUAUGUCAAUCUACUAAUCAUUGUUUGCUAUUUCCUUGCAUAUGUGUAAUGAACGACUUGGACUUCAUGGUUGCAUGGUCUAUAAAUUUAUGUAGUGUUAAUAUCUUGGUCACGUUUCACUAUUCUGCACUGGACAAGACAAGACCUAAUAGCAAAGAGUUGCGGCUAAGUUUUUCGAAUUUACUUGGCAAUUAUAUUUCCAAAGAAGCACUAUCUCUAUUUUCCAUCACAUAUUAGACUCCAGUUAUUUCUUAUGUUUCACUGGAACAUUGUUUGGUAAUCCAUAUUUUUUGUUAUCUUUCUUCGCUCAUUCGUCCCAUACCGUCUUAAUUUCUGUCUAAAUUCAUCUGAAUAAUAUGGUUAUUUGAAUCAUAUGGAGUAAGCUGCAUUAUGUGUUUUAUUUACCUCAGUCUCUCGUAUAAUCAUCUGAGCUGCAUAUUGAUUGUUCUUCUAUCAGUCAAAUAUGUGACUUGUCUCUUUUGGUUUCAAGAACAGUUUGCAAGAAGUGCAUAUACUCAAAGAUAGUAGACGAAGAGUUGGACUGCUGUCCAAAAUGCAAUACUUAUUUAGGGGUUGCUCCAUUGGAAAAACUCAGGUAUUUGAAUUUGGUCAUCAAUAGUAGUCCUAUGUUUAUAAAUGUUUAAACAUCGGUUACUCAUUCAUGUUCUAAUUUUAUAGCAUGCUAGAAGAAUGGUUAUACUGUAAAUUGGAUUAUUGAUCGCGUACUUUGUUACCAAAAAAAGAAAGAUUUGAUGCACAGACUGUUUAAUUAAUAGUACAGGCCCUGGACACUGGAUAAAUUGAAAAGCGUACAGUUUAACUACUAUAAUUUUGCGUAGAACCAAUUGUUCAGACCAACUGCUGUGCUGGGAAGGUAUUGUGUAUUCAGCAAGGGACAGAUGCAAAGUGUAGUUUUCUUUUUAUUUACACUUCCACUUUUCAUUACAUUCAACGUUUAGUUACCAUUUUUUGAAAUUUCUUGAUGAGCAAACAUACAGUGGCAAGCAGGUUCACAUUUGAUGAGGGUUUCCUAGAUUGCUGAUAUGGAAAGGUUACUUUUAAUAUCUGUGUUUAUUUUACGUUAAUCUUUUUGUUUCCUUGUCUGCAGGGCAGACCCCCUUUGGGAUAGUAUAACAGGCAAGAUCUUCCGUCCUGACACAGAAAAAGUCAAUGCACCUGCUGACCACAAUGUGCAAGAUACAACGGCGGAGCCCCUUCCUUCCGAAACAAAAAUGGUUAAGGCACUUGCAGACCUCAAUGUGCAAGAUAUAACAGAAGAGCUGCUUCCUUUCGAAAGUAGAAAGUCCAAGGCACCUGCAGAUGACAUUGCGCAAGAUAUAGAGAUAGACCCACUACUGUCCGAAAGGAAAAAGGUUAAGGCACCUGCUGUGUCUUCAGCUCCAAUCCCAGCUAAAAGAAAAGAGAAAUAUCUCUCUUCAUUGGUGAUAAAUUCACCUCAAGUAUCAGGCGGACCUGAGAUGAGUGGACGAAGAAGGUAUCCUACACGAAGGAGAGUUCCUCUACGAGAGUAUCCUUCAUUUCAGGAGCCUGAAAAGAAAGAGGAAGAUUUCCAUGAGAGAGUUAAGUCACCUCAGACACUAAAAAAAGAUGCACUAUAUACCAGACAGGUAAAAGAGGAAAAACAAUAGUCGGUUCAAUGCAUUUGCUUCUCCAUUUUUAUCCUCUCAAACAUGUUGAGUUAUGUUGAUGCAGAACUCUACUGAGGGAUCAUUGAAGCAGCACAUGCUUAACAUGGAUGUGGAGGACAAUUCUCAACCCGAAGAUGUGAGACCUGAGAUCUGGAAACCAUUAGACAGCCUGGUUGAAGCGGCAAGAAAAUCAAGUUCUGAUAAGAUUAAUCUGCUACUGCAACUUCCUGUUUCCGAACCAAUGUUGCCUGAUGCGCUCAACAACGAAGCACGUGAGGUGAAGCCCAUUAUGGAAUAUGGUAACAAAUCCAAAGUCGGUGGAAGUAUGAAUCAAUCUAAUCCUGCUCCAUCGGGUUCAGGGAGUUUUAGGAAACCACAACGUGGCCGCAAAAGAAAACUAGCUGUACCUGAGGGACUCAAUAUUCCAGCACAAUCUUUGGUUGAUGCAAAUAAUAAAUGUGACAGAAUAUUACGUCCAAUUUGGUUCUCGUUGUUUGCUUCCAAUCACCAGUGAGAUUUUGUUUCCUUAGCAUAAACCAAUAACUGAUUUUGGUUGUUUUUUCCCUCUUCAUGUAUUGAGUUUGACACUUUUGAAUUGAUUGUUGCAGGGAAGGCUUUCCACCAUUGCCGCAGUUACCUUCAUUUUACUUGAGAGUCAAGUAAGUUUCAUUAACCUCAUGCCCUUCUAUUUUCUUGCAUUUACUGUAUUUGCUGAUCCCUCACCAUUUUGGUUGUCGGAAUGGAAGUCUUGUUGUUUAAUUGUAUCUUUCCCUGCACCAUGAAUUUUUCAGUCUCGAUGCAAAGUUCAUGGCAAUAGAUCAUAUCUUACAAGCAAUUUGAUUUUUCGCUCGUGAUUCAUGAUAUGCUCAACUCAAUAUCUAAGAGGCUUCCUAUGGUGUUUAGAUAACAUGAAGAUACUGCUCUGGUAUCACAAAAAAUGAAAUUUGUUUCUACUGCAAUCUUUUGUUACUGCAAUUCUGCAACAUAUGAUAUGCAUUCAUGAAGCUUUUUAGGCUUUUACAAAAUAUAUCAUUUUCCAGAUGCCACAUGUUUUCGAAGGACAAAAGAAAUAUCCUUUCCAUUUUUAGUUGUUACACAACUGUACUGGCUUUCCAUGGAUCGUUGUUUAGGAAUAUUUUUCAGACUUGUUUGAAGAAUGCAUGUGCCCUUCUUUUUUCUCAUGCCCCCUUUUCUUGGAGACCACUCAGGGAUUAUACAUGGCAGGAGUAUACAAAAUUAAUCCUGUGGGACUGAACUGACCAUUAGAUGAAAAUGCUCUCUUACCAUUUUCCGGCAUUGUCUAGUGUACUUUUUUUUGUGUAAUAUCUUGCAGGGCAGACACUAAAUUCGGUUUUGUUUCUCGAAAUUCUCUAGGGAUGGUAGCAUACCUGCUUCUUUCAUAAAAAAGUAUCUGGUCAAAAAGCUGAAUCUUACCAGCGAGGAUGAGGUAACAUCAUCUUUGUCCCUUUUCAGUUACUACUUUUUGUGCAUGUAUGAAACUUAGAACUUAGAUGGUGAAGAAAAGGAGAGGAGAAGCGUUUUUCUUAUAUCGAAAAUGAAGAUACAUUGUCCUGCAACAAAACCAAAUUUAUCCGUUUUAUUUCUCGAAAAGAAAAGAAAAGAAGUGAAUCAGAGAUAUUCGAUUUGUCCAUCACUGCAUACUGUUCACUUGAGAUUUUGGGUAAUUUGCUUUGGUGAUAAUCUGCCUUGGUACAUAUACUUGUGGCGAGCAGGAGAAAGCACUAAAUUCAUGAAUUGUUUAUAUCUGAUAGUGACAUUUGAAACUAAACUUGAUGAUAAACAUGCGAAAACUCAGUUGAUUUGAACACUAAGCACAAACACGAUUUAUCUGUGCAGACCAGCAAAAUUAUUAUGCUAAACAGACUUUUUAAAUUCAUGAAGUGUGCCUAAAUUUGAUACUGAGUUUCACUUGAUGCCUAAUGCAGGUGGAGGUCACAUUGCGCGGUAACCCAAUAGUUCCGACAUUGCAGCUGCAUAACUUAGUCGACUUGUGGUUACAGACAACACCGGCUUCACAAAGCAUUCAGAUCUCCAUAGGAAGCUCUGCAAAGGAAUACGUGAUGCCCCUCAUGUAUGGUCGAAAAAUGCUGCCUCGGUAGCUUUAGCUAUUCCUGUAGUCACAAUUCUGUGAAAGUGAUCAGUCCAGGCAACGGCAGUCUGAGCUGCCUUCACCGUGUUGUUCUCCGCAUGAAAAUUCAUUUGUUCUUUCUUUUCAUCCCCGCGUGCAUAUACUUGCUUUGCUUGCAGUGUGGUGUUCCCGGUACUUCUUACUCUAAGCAGGUUUUCGAGUUAUACUUGAACAGGAUCUGUUCUUUAGGAUCGUAACUCUGUAUCAUGGUUUCUAAGUUUUUGUAGAAUUCUCUCGUCGAAAAACAAUAGAUUUUCAAAACAGAUGAAGCUGGUUUAAAUUAUAACUCUUGGCGCAAUAUCGGUUAAUAGGAAUAUACCUAAAACAUUUCUUUUCCUCCUUUCUGAUAAUUUCAGAAGGGCUUAAAUGUUAACUGGAAUCUUACAUCUACUUUGAACGAGCAGAUAAUGCGAAUGGCGGACAUUUGGGAAUACGAAUGUGAAUAUUCCGUAAAUGUUAAAACUGGGGAGCCCCAGUGCCCAUGGACAAACUGAUGAAUGGUUUUUUCUCAAUUUUCACCACUAAUGAAAAGGAGCUAGCAUCGCACAUGAUUACCCAGAAAAUUGCAGUACACAACUUACAUGCUUUUACAAUGCAUGAACCGAUACAGCUACCUACUCUGUACCCAUUUGUUCCACAUUUACCAUGAGAAAGCACUGAUGUAUACAAGUUUCUCCGUUAGAAGCUGAACAAGUAGAGUGCGUGAACAAUUGCAGACUUCAGAAGCAAGGCGCAGCAUCUCAAACUGGAUCUGCCGGAUGAAGAAUGAAGAAAUGCCACCACCUGCAAUGCAUACAUUGAAAAUAUACAUAAAAAUGAGCGAGAAUGCAUUAGCUCAAUCGCCACUCAUGGGAACACUUGACCUAAAAUGUUGAAACAAGAAAUACGGUAAGCAUAACAUGUCAACAGAUCAAAUUAACAAAAUAGACUUGGGGGCCAAUACUGGAAGGUCAUAUUACAACCCUUCCUGACUAACAGCCAAAACUAAGAUGAUUAUAAAUUAUUUCAAAAUUCCAUACCUGCGAUUGUGUUUUCUUCAUUCACUGCAAAAUCAGAUAUAACCGGCGUAUGACAGCAUACAUCCAAUGGCACCAGUUUGAGAACUACGAUUAACAAUAAACAACUCAAGAAACAACAAUAAGUGAUUGCUAGUGAUUACAAUCAUUUUUUUUUUUCCAGAAUGUGAAGUAGGUACCAAACUCUUACAUAUCCUGGAAACAAAUUCAACCGUAAUAACUAGCAAUCAAGCAGCAGCAAAUGAUCAGCCUAGGACAUUUCCAAGCCAGAUGUGUAUUUAUCCAAAGCAUUCAUAUAUGUAAAAAAUGCAUGUUUUGGGUAAAAAGCACUCGGCUCAAUUCAAUCCUGAUAGAGAAUUAAUUCAUCGAUUAUUUCUCGAGGUUAAAAAAAAUCAUGUCACUGCCCUUUGUACGUGUGAUAUUGCCUAAAUCAUACGACAUAAAAAGAUCAAUUCUCAAGAGCAGCGGUACUGCAUAAACCAGUAGCUCCUCCAUAUGGAUGGAGAGCGACAAAACAGAACAUAGCUGUCAAAGAUGGAUGAUGCCUCAUUUAGACCCAAAACCGGACAACUUUUUCUAUCAGGAAUAGGUAACGGGUAGAACGGUUGAUAGAGUUACCAGUGCUAAACCACCCCCGUCAAUAUGAAAGAUGCUGACAACAGAAAUAAAAUUAGUUUUAUCUCAUAUCCCUAAAAUUCAAUGGAUUAGUCUUUAAUAUCAUAUCUAAGGCUUCAAAAUCAAGACUAAAUAACUUUAGCAUGAAUAUGAAACGACAUAUACAUGAUGAAAGUACACAGUACAGAUUUCAUACGCCAAGUAAUUCAUACGAAUACAGAGGAAUUGAGCUGCAAAAUUACCACAGAACACAAGGCGCUCAUCCUCCCAGCUUAUCCCGUUUAGCCCACGAGCACAUUCACUUCUUCUCCUGCGCAAUGUACUCCCGAAUUCUCUUUGCUUUCUCUGUCAUUUCCGCAAGUGCCUCCUCCGUCUCACCAAUGAUCUGUUUUGGCAAAUGCCUCUCCAAAAACCCAAACCACUCCCCGAGCGUCAUCUUCUCCAAGUCACAGCUCACAUUAACACCCGAACCACUCCCACUUCCAUUGUCGCCCUUAAUGCGAUUCCCGCUUCCAUUUUCAACCUUUUCGCCAUUCCCACUUCCACUUUCACCUUUUCCACCACUCUCUUCUCCAACGCUGAACUCUCUAUCCGCCUCCUCAUGUCUCUCUUCCUCCAAUUUCACCGCUUUUGAAGCUUCAUUGUCAAGUUUAUAGCACACCGGUUGCUCUUUUGGUACAUUCUUCCCCCUCCUUGCACCACCACGUGUCCUUUUCGGCAAUCCUUCAGCGUCUACACAACAGCUCUCUGCAAUCUUCCCCAAUUCCUCAUUCUUCGUGAUCCGAGUUUGCCUCACACUCACUUGCCGUGUCAAUUUUUCCUCCACAGGCUUCUCCUCCGCAACCUCACUCUUCAAAACCCUAGCUUUGGGCGGUCGACCCCUCCUCUGAUUCCCCUUGACCUCAAUUUCCUCGACACGCCUCGGGUUCCGUCUCAGCCGGCUCUCUUCGUAGCCAUCGAUCUUAACCUCAAUGGAAGUGCACUCGCCGAUUUUGAUUUCGUCGCCGUGGCUGAGAUCCAGCGGCGUGUUUGGGGGGACAUUGGUGCCAUUCAAAAGGGUUCCGUUUGAGGAGUCAAGGUCUCGGAGCACCCAUUUGCCCGAUUCGGACUCGAUGGAGAGGUGCUUGGAAGAAAUGCCGGAGUCUUUGAUCGGGAUGUUGUUGCAGCGGCCGUCGCGGCCAAUUCGGACCUUGGAUCCGGGUCGGAAGUGCCGGGUGUCGCCGUUCCAAUUAUGAAACCCCGGGCCUCGGAGCAUUUUCAGGUUGAGAGCUAAGGGCUCCAUUGUUUCUCUGAGUCUGACAGAAGAAAGGAGGGAAAUUGUAGAAACUAUUUUAAAUGCUUUUCCGUUUUCAGAGUAAAUACUAGCCUCUUGCCACACUUUUUUUAUUUUAUUAUUAUUUUUUAUUUGAUAAAAUGUAUGUAUUGUUUUUAUAUUUUCCUUGUUAUUAAUUUUUAGUACAUGGGUUUUUUCAUGAAUUCAUUUUUUUUUUUAAUUUUAAUAGGAAAAAAGCAAUUUGGAUAUUAUGAAAACUUCCUUCUUUUUGCUUUCUUUCUUUAUGUUUACUAACUUCUUUACACGCACUCACGCUCAUGCGAGAGACAUUUUUGCAUCACGGAUGUUACGCUCUUCAAAGAUGUGUUGCUUUAGAUAUUCUUAAGUGAUUAUUUUGUAGAUUGUAUGUUUGCAUACAUCAUAACAAUUUUUAUUAUUAUUUUUUUUUUCAAUAAUUUCCUUAUGAUUUUUUUUCUCUACAGUUGUGUUACAAUGAUUAUUAUAACCAAGUUUUAUAAUUAAUGCACAUACAAACCUUAAUUUUCUCUAAUCACGGGUGUCAUGCACCACACAGUUUUAAAACACAUUAGUGGGGUAAUUUCUUUGGUGGGAUAAAGAACCACUAUCAGGUUUUCUUUAUCAUGGACUAUUAAACAUUUGUCAUUUUUUUUUUUUUACUUUGCAUAAAGUAAUGAUUUAUAUGUUAUUCAUGCAAUCGUCAAUCAACAUGGAAUUUUAGAUGCAACUUCCUAGCUAAGGUCCAUGAACAAUAGUAUGUAAACAUAAACAGAUGAUCCACAUAGUAAACUGAAAACGAAAAUCGGUUUCCUUCCAAUUAUUCAUCUCUAAAAACAAAUUUGGCACAUGGGUAGUUAUAGUUGAACCUCCCACUAAGCUGAGAUGUGAUCGUGGGAUUCCUACGAAGCAAACUGCUAACUGGUUUGUGCUUAUUCUUCGUAGUCUUUGAAGGUUCAACACAUAUAGUCUUUGAAGGUUCAACACGUAACCUCGUCCCCCCCCCCCCAAACCUCUCUUUUUUUAAGUUUUCCGUUUUCUUUUUCAAAUUUUUAUAUUAUCCUUUUUCAAUUGGUUUCUCACUACAGAAAUAGUUUGAGCACACUUAUCUAGAUAUUUAUUUUUUAAUACAAUUUUUUGUUUAGUUAUGGUUUUUUACUAAUCUCUCAUACAAUUUUGUACUAUUUUCCUUUAAAACAACAACGAAGAUAAAUGGGAAAACAUAAACUAUUCCAAAAAUCUGAAAAUAUGACAUGUAAUUUCAUUUCUAAAUACAUGAUGAUAACAUUUAAUGUCCUUAAAUCAAAAUUUCCAGAUUCAUAAGUUUUCAGUCAAAGUUAUAGGCUAGCUAGAAAUGAACUCCUAAUAUAUGAAGCAAAGCAAAAUAUGGACAAUAUAUACAUAUGUAAACAUAGCAUCUACAUGUGAAAUCAAAGCCAUGCUUGCCAUCCAUUUGCUUGCACUUGAUGCUUUAGAUUUUCAUGGUUAAUCUGCAAGCAAUGAUGAUAAAAUAAGAAGUCUAACUGAUUAAGAUGGGAAUAAUGCACUAUAAUGCACAAUCCUAAAUAUAAAGGUUGUAAGCAAUUUAACCUAAAUACCUUCAAUUUUGACAAUUUUCCCAUAGCAAUACUUUUACUCUAGUUACUUUUAGAAUACUGAAAGAUAAAUAAUUUGUCAAGUUUGAGGUAACAAAUUGUAAUCAUGUUUACAAAAUUAAAUAGUAAGAAAUGUUACCUUAAGCUUGUACUUUAACGUUUGUACUUUGAGACGGGUGUGAUGUUUGUAAAAUUGAUAAAAAUGCAAUUUUAUUUCUAUUUGAAAGUUGAAUGCAAUUUGAAUUUAUAGUAUACUUCUGUAUGGAAAUAAGAGAAGAGUUACCGUAUUUGGAAAUGUUGUUUGGUCACUAUUAAUCUUUUUCUUGCACCCAUAAAUUGUUUUUUUUUAAUUUUUUAAUUUGAGUUAAUUAAUUUGUAGAAUUUUUUUUUAAUUUUAUAAUUUGUGGUAAUUAAUUUGUAAAAUAGAGAAUGCCAUUAAAAUAAAUAGGUAAGAAAUGGUGUUGUACCUAAUUUGUUGGACUUUAUUCCAAAUACUUAUUAUGUGAGGAGUUGUUGAAGGCUUUAAUUCUUCUACAGCUACAGCCUUUUUCAUGCGCUACUUAUAUAUUAAAGGUAUAUAUAAUGUUAGAUUUCUUGGAAAAAAUUUAAUAAAGAAUUUAGAAUACAUACUGCUCAUGCUUCUUUUUCCAACCAGGUGUAAAAAUAGAGAUACGUUCGUUUGGAAUCUUAUCAAUAAGUAGUUCCUUCUUCAUUUUUUGUGGGUAUUCUUGUAAAUAUCUUGAGAAUGAAAACAAAUAAUUUUUUUUAAAUACUUUUUAAACUUUCUUUUGUAAAAUCCACGUGGCAUCAUAUCAUUGGAGUGGUAAGGUUUAAACGAGUGCCACAUCAGGAGAGGUAAGGUUACACGUGUGCCACAUCAGCAUACAAAAAUUGACAAAAUUGAACAGGAAGGGUGACAUUAAUGUUCGGUAGUAAAUUUCAGGAAUGACAGUAAUUGGUUUUCUAAUUCAAUAACUAUUUUGAUGGGGUAGAUCAAUUUCAAAGACUAUCUGUGAUAAAAAUAGUCCUUUUGGUUUAUUUCUAAUUUUGACUCAAGUACAUAUAGCAGAUCGUCUGAACUUGUUUCCUACAAAAUACACUUACAAUACGUAUGAAAAUGAAAAGUAAUCACCACAGCAUACAUAAACGAUUACUACAAAAAUUUGCAGUUAAACUUUCACAAUUUGCAAGGUUCCAAUGUAUACCACGAUGGCACCGUCCGACAAUGCGACCCAUGAUUUACCAUGAGAAAACAAUGGUAUAUACAACCCCAAAAAUGUGAUCUGAAUCGGGAAGAAGUGCCGAACAUCAACUACGGUGGUGGAUACACAAUUUCAGACUUCUGAAGGAAGAACGACAUCACAACUGGAUCUGUUGGUUAGAGGUUGACCCCCAUCGGAGGCUUGUCUGAGACACAGGUACCUGAUCGAAGAACAAAGAAAUGCUACCAUCUGCAUUGCAUACAUGGGAAAUACAUAUAAACAAGCAAAAAUGCAUUAGCACCAUCUCCAGUUCAUGGGGAGCCAAUACUUGACAUAAAACGUUCAAACAAGAACUGCUGUUACAUAUAACGUCACAACGUCAUAUGCACAAAAUAGACUCGGGUCAAUAUCAGAACAGAAAAAAAUGCAAGUUUGGGUAAAAAUCAUACAGCUCAAUUCAAUCCUGACAACUCUUGAUAGAGGAUUUUCAUAUUUAUAAUCAUGUCACGGUCCCACGUAUGUGUGAUAAAGCAUACGGCAUAGACAAAUUAAUUCCCAAGUGCUGCAAUGUUACUCUAUUUGGUAAAUGGCUACCACAACACACCAAAGGAAAGGAAAUUAUGCAAGAUACAUUUCCCCGAGACAGAAAGGACUCAAAAGGUCGUACCCAGUGCACAAGGCUUCCGCUUUACGCAGGGUCUGGGAGAGGUGAAUGUCGGCUAGCCUUACCCCCAUUUAUGGACCGCCAAAUGUUCACAUGAUUAGGAACUUCAAUGCUAUGUAGCAAACCAAGAUUUGAACUAAGGACAUGCAAAGAGUUAUAAGGGGUACAUAGUGAGUAAAAUCACAUAAUCUUCAAAUAGGGCCCAUUCUUUUAAAAGACACCGUUGACAGAAACGUAAAUGUUUGCCAAUUAUUCAUAGGUAAAUGUUUGUCAAUUAUUCAUAGGUAAAUGUUUGUCAAUUAUUCAUACAUAAAAUUUUCCAACUAUGGGUAUAUAUUCAACUUAAAUAAACAAAGUUCCGAAUGUUUUGAUGCAAUCAGAAAAGUAUAAGUUGCAUGAAAAGGCUGCAUAAGUACGACGAAGAACAUGUUUACAUAUUCUGUACACGAUUUAUAUGCCAGUGACACACAUAUCAGCAUUGCAGUAUGAAUGCGGUAUAAGGUAUCAUCGUGCCACACAUUAUGCCUAGCAAAAAUGUUAAUUGGAUUACGAACGCAACUGCAACAAUGCAAUUUUCUGCAACUGGGAAUGCAUGAAUGGAGGCAAAUCACAUUGGAUACAGUCAAUCAAGAAUUACCAUAAACACGAAAUUAAAUUCCAAAAACAGAUGAAUAGCGCAAAUAACAAUGAAGUAAUCAAAUUGAAGGAUAUCAAUUAAAGCCCUAUACUUCCCUCUUGUAAGCAAUUAAAACCCAAAAUUCCAACCAAAACCCAACAAAAUUUCAAAAUUGAAUUUCAACAAAGCCUAGAAGAAAAAGGGAAACCAAAAUCCAACCCACCUUAUAAAAUUUGGAGAGAAACAGUCACAUAAUGGUGUAAUUCCCACUUGGGUCAGCAUCAUCCGAGAGCAGAGCCCCAUACGGCGAUUCCUGAUCGUCCAUAACAAGAUCCUCCGUCCCCCUAAACACCGCAUGCAGCCCAAUCAAAACGACCCCAAUCACCCCCGAAACGACGACGUUGACCCACACGUGAGUCAGGACCAGAGCCACAACCGUCACCACCGCAAGAACAACCAUCACGACUCGGUCCGGGACCACAAACCCGAACACCUCGAGGGGCUGGUCACGCGAGAAGUAGAGCACGAGCCAGGCGGCGAAGACGAUCAAGAAGACGAUGAUGGAGAAUGGGUGGUAGAGGAGGCUGAGGAAGAGCACGAUCAGGGCGAUCAGGGCGUAGUUGGAGCGGAAGUGGGUCAAGUUCUGGGCGAGUCGGGUCGUCGCGUCAGAUAGACCGGAGGGGAGGCUGAGGGCGGUGGGCUCCAGGAGCUCACCCCAUGGCCGAAGCGUGGCCCUUGCCGUUUGUGUCGCUUCCUUGAACUGGGAAACCAAUCCAGCAGACAUUGCGAGAUGGGUUUCUCGAAAGAAUUGAUUUUUUACGGCGGAGAGUACUGGAAAUCGGGCGGAGGAAAUCAGAGAGUUGGGGUGUUUGUGUUUCCUGUGGUUUCAAUCUCUCCUCUCGCUCGCUGCUAAUGGGAAAAUGGCCUUCGGUCAACGGAGUUUGACCUCCGCUAGGACUGGAUACUGUUAGCCGAGGGUUUAUUUAUCACAAGACUGAAAGUUGGUUCAUAUAUUUGGGCCAAAUUUAUUGGGUUGGGCUAAUUUCCUCCAUAUGGGGCUUUUUUCCAAAAUGUUCAAUGGCCGGGGGUUGGACGGACAAACAACAGAGGUUUCAGGCUUGGACAAUAUCUGGCGUUGGAAUCUUUGGUUCUUUUCUUCUAAUUUCUUAUACGAAUUGGUAACCCGACUCGAAAUGAUACGAAAAUAACAAAUUUCGGAUUAACACAUUAACUAAUCAGGUCACACGUUCCGAGCGAGUUGGGGAGGCCUAUUUACUAUUCUAUUUAAUAUACCACAUUGCAGAUGCUAAGACAAUUGGUAAAAGCAUCCAAUAGGGAGACUAGAUGCCUUGACCAACAAUGGGAUAGGGGUUACCAUGCCUUUCGGCUAUGACGCAACUACUUUGACGGUCGACCCAAUACCAAACGAAUAUACCCAUAAAGUAAAAAUAAGAGAAAACUAAGAUGAAGUUUAAAAAAAGGUCUUAUACAAGAUUAAAAAUUGAUUUUAGUCCUUAAACUCUAUUUAGUGCAUAUUAAAUGUCUUUUUUUUUUUAUUUAUAAUUUUAUGGUGUUCAUAAAUUAAAGGAUUAAUCUUUGUUUACUAUCCUAAAGUUUUUUUGUUUUCAACAUUUGAUACAUGAAAUUUUUUUUAUCCCAGAGUGGUACCUAAAAUUAUAAUUUUAGGACAGUUUCAUACAUCCGUUAAGGUUGCUAUUAUGUCAACCGUUAAAUAGUGACGUGGCAUCCAGGUGGACAGUGACUGGACGCCACGUGACAUUAUGGGCCCAUGUGGAUAUUAAAAUUUUUUAAAAAAAUUCAAAAAAAAAAAUUAUGGGCCGUUCAACCCCUCCUCCCUUCUCCCUCCCUUAUCUCCUCUGCACCCACCCUCCCCACGUCUGCAACCCAUCCCCACGUCGUCAUCUUCUUCUUCGCCCAGAUCCCGCAAGAAUCUUCUUCGCCGCCAACAACUCAGCCACCAUCUCCAUCCCCGCCUUCCCCUCCUCCGAACCCGACUCCUACCCACUUCCAGUUCCAAUUCACCCUCUCCCAAUUUGCCCACUUCUUGUCCGAUUUUCGCGCCACUAUUGAACCCGAGCCCGACCCACAAAGAUGCUUAGAUUCUGAAAAAGAGAUGACACAAAUGCAAGAAAUGGAAAUCAGUGUGGUUUAGAGAGGUUAGAAACUGAGCAAUUUUUGGAUUGCUUUUUGGUUUGAUCAAUUUAAAGAAAUGAAAUUCUGAGUCGAAUUUCUUGUUCGUUAUAUUCGAUCUCCGCUUGAGAAUUUUAAACUUAAUAAUUGCAAAUCAAGAUACAAAAUUGACAUGAAUUUCGAAUUGGGGUUUUGGGAAAUUUGAGAAGUUCUUGGCGAUUGAUAAGAAACUUCAACUCCAAUAUGUUCUUCAUUAUAAUUUAAACUUGAUUAUACAAACAGUAAACACAAAAUUAAUGAAUUUGAAAUUUGGAAAGUGAUUGAAUUAUAAAUAAAAAAAAUUAAGUGAUUAAGCUGGAGGAGGUCCAGCUGGGUUGCUGGGUGUGGUGGGUUUGAGUUUCCCUUCUUUGAAUGUGUCUUUGGCAGAGACGUAAUAUGCAAUGGUGAACAAUCCAUGGAAGAAGCAUAAGAUCCCUCUGAUGGACAGGGAGAGGGUGAAUGGUGGGGCGAAUAUCGGUCCGGAAGUGGGCAAAUUAGGAGAGGGUGAAUUGGAAUUGGAAGUGGGUAGGAGUCGGGUUCGGAUGAGGGGAAGGCCGGGAUGAAGAUGAUGGCUGAGUUGUCGGCGGCGAAGAAGAUUCUUGCGGGAUUUGGGCGAAGAAGAAGAUGACGACGUGGGGAUGGGUUGCAGACGUGGGGAGGGUGGGUGCAGAGGAGAUAAGGGAGAAGGGAGGGGGUCGAGGGAGGAGGGGGUGAAAGGCCCAGAUUUUUUUUUUGUUUCUAAUUUUUUAAUAUCUACAUGGGCCCAUAAUGACAUGUGGCGUCCGGUCACUAUCCACCUGGAUGCCACGUCACUAUUUAACGGUUGACUUAACAGCAACCUUAACAGAUGUAUGAGAUUGUCCCAAAAUUAUGACUUUAGGUACCACUCUGCAAUGAAAAAAACUUUAUGUACCAAAGUUGAAAACCAAGAAACUUCAAGGUAGUAAACAGAGAUUAACCCUAAAUUAAAUUUUAUGAAAAUAUUAUAAAUUUUAAUUCUCAUUAUGGUAAGUAUCAUAUAUAUGAAAAUAUUUUCGUAAAUAUUUUUCGGUACACAUGUUUUCGUAUAUUUUCUUAUAUGCCACUAAUUCAUUACAAUAUAUUUAGUUAUGAACAUUUCGGUACACUAGGUUAGUAUAAUGUGUUUAGGUAAGGACAUUUCGGUACACUAGUUUAUUAUAAUAUAUUUAGGGUCUGACAUUUUGGUACACUAGUUUAGUAUCAUAUAUUUAGGUAUGGAAUUUUUCGGUACACUUAUGUUUUUGCAUAUUUUCUUAUGUGCCACUAAUUCACUACAAUAUAUUUAGGUACGGACAUUUUGGUAUACUAAUUUACUAAAAUAUAUUAUGAUACAAACGUUUAAGUAUACUACGAAGUAAAAUAAAUAUAAUGAAUUAAUGUGUGUAUAAUAAUAAAUAAUUUUAAUUUUAAUGUAAUGACAUUAAAUAAGAUAUCUAUUAAAUUUUAAAACAAAAAUAUAAUAAAAUUUGAAUUAAUUACACAUUAGAGGACUAAAAUCAAUAUCCAAUCUAACACCAUGUUUUUAUUGAAUUUUAACUUCUUCAAGGAUUAAAGUUAAAAAACCCCUAAAAAUAAAUAAGAAAAACAAAACUUCUUUUAUAAAAAUAACUACAAAAGCUUUACAUCGUGUACAAAAUAAUAAAAACUCUUAAAUCUCUUGUCUAAUACAAUCUCAGCUUGUCUAACAAUUAUCUUGUCAAAUAACUCAUCUAUAAAAUAAAAGGUGAGGGGUGAGCAAUAACUACUGUUGCCCUGUGACUGGAAUAUGUAGUAUGCAAGUCAAGCGAUGCCGUUUUACAAACGCUAGAAAAUAUACAUCAUAAAUAGAUCAAAAGCUUUAACAACAAAUAAUUUCAUAUCACAUCAUCCCUUUAUGUGUCCAUUGUAUUCUUUAUCAAAAGUAACUCACCACGUGACCCAUAAUGGCCAUUUCGCCUUAAUGUCCUUGUGUGCAGUUUACAUUUAUCCUCAGACUAAUGCAACACUAAAGUUCUCAUGCUCUUAAACAUUUCCAAAUAAACCACAUAUCACCAUAUAUAAUAACUCCAAAAGUAUUUCCACCAAGCAACAAGCAAUAAAACCAAAAACGGAUAACGCAGCUAAACUAUAAGACAAGUAAGACUCUCCAAACCAUACAAGUGCAUGGCAAGCCCAUGCAAAGGGUUUGGUUAAGAUAUGUCAGAUUCCACCAAGUAUACAAAUGGAACCUAACCAUACAUGCCCACCGAUUAUAUCUUCCAAAUCGUCUACACUAACGAUCUACCCUUCUCCAAUUCAACAUGCUUGGCUUGAAAUAGAGAGAUAUUUAGAAAUUAAAUAAAACCCACAAUAAUUCGUAGUUUUUAUUUAUUGAAAAUAAGAACAUUUUGAAAUAAAAUAAGAACAUUUUGAAAUAAAAUAAGAACAUUUUGAAAUAAACCACUCACCUUGAUAAUUUGAACUUUGACAAGACAACCCAACUAACAUCUUCACACACUUCAAACCCUAGCUCUCUUUCUUUUCCUAUUCUCUCUCCCACCCUAGGAGAACCAUAUUGUAGGCACUGCAUGCUGUCGUUCUUUUGCAUGAUGUAACCAAUGGGGCAUGCUCCUAUUUAUAGGAGAUUAGUCAGCUAUCAAGGGGGAUGUGAUCAAAUGGUUGGCAAGAUACUAGUGACACCUAAGGCGGCAAAGAAUUAGAUGAUCUUCGAAUCUACUACGUGGUGGUCAAGUAAAUGCAUGCAAAAGGUGUCAUGCAAUAUGAAAGAACACCUGCCAUCUUCCUUUACGCGAAAAGUGCUCAUAAGAACUUUAAAACCUCAAUGUAAGAUAUACACGUAGAUGUAAACCAUUGUGCUGUUGAAGCUUAGAGAGAUAGAGAGGAAGAGUAGAAGAGAGAAGAGAGAGAGAGAGAUAUUGCUUCAACAUAUUAUAUUUUUCAUGACAUUGUAUGAGAUCAGUGGCGAAGCCAGGAAUUGACAGGGGGAGGGGCAAAAUUAAAAGAUUGUAAGGUUCAAAAGAAUAGCAACAACCAAAUCCUUUUAUAUAGUAAGGUCUUCCAUAAUUUUUCAAUACAAACAAAUUACAAUUGUUGCCAGCGAGAUUUCAUAUCAUGAAAACUUCGCAUAAUAUGCUCAUUAUCAAUAAAAGCAAAUACAUCUCUCUCAAUGUAAACAAGCAUGCUAUCACUCAACCAUUGAUCUCCCAUUUUGUUACGUAAUGGUGUUUUCACAAUCUUCAUAGCAGAAAAAGCUCUCUCUACCGAAGCGGUUGCAACCGGUAACACCAAAGCCAAUGUAAGAAGCUUAUAUACUAACAUAUAGCUUGCACACCUUCCGGUCUUCACCAACUCCUUUGCAAGAUCACAAAUUCCUCUUAAUGAUGAAAGCUCACUAUGCAUCUUCAUAUCGUGAAUGUAAUUGUCAAGUUGAAUGGGAAGAUUUAUGAGGUCCAUACGAUCAAAAUCUUGAGGAUAAAGUUGGGCUAGACGAACAAUUUUUGCUUUGUCAAAAGAUGCAAAAUUAUUCACCGGACUCAAACAUGUCAUACAAAGAAGCAAUUUGGUGUUUACCUCAUUGAAGCGAUUAUUCAAUUCAUUUAAUUGCGUAUUAAGGACUUGAAAAUAGAGAUCCACAAUAGUAAUAAAAGUUUGUGAGUCUUGGAGCUUUACACCUUGAUUUUCCGGGUACGAAACGCAAAUCCUCCAUGUUAGGAACAACAAUAUCAGGUUCUUCACAAAACUUUUGUACAUCAUCAAGCAAGUCCCCAAAAUCAUCAUCUCUCAAGGAUUGUAGUCUUUGCUUGCAUACUUCCACUAACAUCAUUGCAUUCAAAAUAUCUUGAUCUUUCUUUUGUAAUGCUUGUGAUAACUCAUUUGUAAUUCCCAAUAUAAGUCUCAUAAAAAAAAGGUGAAACACAAAAUCAAAGUUUGUAUGUUAUGGAAUAACUUACUUGCUUCUCGGAAAUUGUCUUGGUUGGUAUCAUCUUUAAUCCAUUCAAGCACCUCCACCACGACUUCAAACAUGACAAUAAUACUCACUAUAGUACCAUAAUGUGAGUUCCAACGUGUAUCACAAGAACGCAUGAGACUACUCUCUUGAUUUACCCAUUUCAAGAUCACCAACAUCAAGAGCUUUCUUAAUUUGUUCUAGUUGUUUCUCUCUAAAUGUAUCACGACGCUUACAUGAUGAUCCAAUAGUAUUGACCAAGAUACUAGCAUUGUUAAAGAAAAUGGCGACACCCUCAAUUCCCUUUGCAACGGCUACAAGAGCUAGUUGAAGUUGGUGUGCAAAAUAAUGAACAUAAAAUGUUUGAGGAUACUUGUUCAAAAUCUUUGUUUUAAGGCCAUUUAGCUCAUCUUUCAUAUUACUAGCUCCAUCAUAGCCUUGUCCCCGUAACUUGGACAUACACAAAUUUGUUGUAGCAAAGAAUCUCUCAAUAGCCUCUUCAAGUGAGCUACUAGUUGUAGAGGUGACAUGUUGCACACCCAAAAUGCAACAUUUUUUGAUAUACUAUACUUCAACCACUUAAACUUAUCAAACCAACCGAUGAUAAAACAUCUUUUGUCACUAACUUUUCUUGGCAUGAUGUGGUCUCUAGGUUGACAAUGAUCAUUUUGGAGAUAGUGUCUACAAAUUGCUUCACGAUAAUUAGGUGGAUAAUCAAGCAUUCGACGUCUAUGUCUAGGGUCUGCAAGAAGAUUAGCCAAUAUUUCAUCCAACUCAGUGGCCUCACUUUGUUGUGACCUACUAGGAAUAUUCGAAUGAGGACUUCUUGGAAUAUUUGAAGGAGAAGAACUACCCAAAAUGUUUGAAGGAGGAGUUAUGCAUUGUUUCAUAUAAUAUCGUUCCAUUACGUAAUUGUAAAGUAGAAAGAAAAAAAAAAUUCUUAGACUUUUAAUCCUAGAGUAGACUAUACUAUAGUAUGCAUAAUAACUAAUCCAACCCCAAUUAAUCAAUACCAAUAAGCAUACAAAUUAUUCGAUAAAUAAAAAUUCAAUUCAACUAAUCAUAUGAAUAAUUGUAUACAUAAUACAUUAUGUAAUAAUUCAAUUCAAUAAUCGAGAAUUCAAAUUUUAAUUUUUACCCUAUAAAAUAAUUUCAUAAUUUCAUAUCAAUAAUCAAUAAUCAAUAAUCAAUAAUCAAUAACUAUAUUAGUGCAUUUAGUGCUUUAUGAUGUGAAAUAUAUAAGCACACAAAUUAAACCCUCUUUUUAUCAAUUGUAGCAAGUAUGUAAGUAGGGAUCGUUCUAGGCCGGGGAUUAGGAGGGAUUGCCAAAUCACUUGAAAACUGACUCAAAACUUAAAAAGAAAGUUUAAAAGUUUAAAACACUAAACUAGACUCAAAGAAUGCAAAACUAAAGUUUAAAACACUAAGAUAAACAAAAAGAUUCAAAACAGCAACCAAAAGACUCAAAACUGCCUUAAAAACACAAUCUGGGCAGUUUUGAACACUAAGGAAGAAUUUGGACGAAAAUAUGUUAUAACUUGACUCAAGACACUUAAAAACACAAACUAAAUUGAUUUCUAACACUUCAAAAUAAAGGGGGAAUUGGUUUUGACGAAUUUGAAAACAAAACAAACUUUGUAAAUCAAAACAGAUUGUAAAUGAAUUUGAAUGAAACUUAUGGAUGGAAGGCUAGCUAGGAGGUUCUUCUCUACACAUGUCACACUUGCAUACAAAACGAUUUCCAGUUGCUUUUCGAUAAACUAUGAAUACUCAAUGCCCCAAAUUAACCGUGAAUUGCACUAAUUAACCCUCAGUUUUUCCACAAGUUAUUGGGUUGGAUGAUUGCAUACGACAACCCAAACAUUCCCUACAAGUUCCCUACAUGAAUUGCAUAAUAGAGAUACAAGCAAGAAUCAUUAAGUUCUAUGAAAAACAUAAGCAUUGACGAGGCGAGGAAUAUCAGAGUUCCUUGGUUUCAAAUCAGACUCCUUCUGCUGGGUUGAUUUGAUUGUGCAGUCUGCAUUCUUCUCUGCUUGUUUCUUCUGCACGGCAAGCAGACACGAGGUAGAGGUGUUGGUCUGUUUCUUUCUUCAAUCUUUCCAAGUGCCCACCUCUUGCUUUCUUUCUCCUUGUCCCUAGCAGAGGAUGAAUUGGUAAAUUGUCUCCACAUGCUUCGAGAUAUCAUUUUCACUUCCCUUAUCUGUUCCCCAGGCAGAUGUGGUAGACGAAGCGGAAGCAUAAGAUGAUGAAGAUGAGUACUCGAGAGCAAGGCUAGGUAAGCAAUUAGGAAAGGGUUUUACGCAGUCGGUUCUUGAUCGGAAGAUUGAUACCAAGUGCUGGCUGAUUGCUCUCUUUCUCCUUGUCCUAAAACAACGACAAGGAGAAGGACAGGGAGAAAGCAUGAUAUGAGAUACUCUUACUUUCAACCUUCAUGAUAUGAAAUACUUUUACUUUGGAUGGGUUGUUUGUAGAGGUACCCCAAGGAAUAAGGAACACUGAGUUACUCAAGAAGGUUUGUUGGAAAGGCAUUCUCGGAGAUGACGGAAGGUUAUGUAUGUCUGCCUUGUCAUGGAGGGUGUAGGUCUAAAUCAGUGUAUGGUUCGACGUCAAAACCUAGAACACUGGCUUCAUGAAUGAGUUGGAAUCUGGCCAUCAUUCUUAGAUUUAACCAUUAGGAGGCCGUAUAGGUCGUUAGCUGAAUUCUAUUUGUGAAAUUCCUGCAUGUAUUCUAGAGCCUCACCAAAAAACAACAGAUGGCGAUUCUUUUUUACUUUAAUCAAUGGCGAUUACUUUCAGCCUCAUUUCUUAAAUGCUCGAUACGAGCCUUCAUUUCUCCAGGCUGAAGAAGAAGUUUGAUUCGUUUCUUAGAUUAUUCAAUCUCAAUUUCAAAAUUGCAAUCAAUUACCUUCUUUCUUUGGAGUAACUCGGUCAUGAUUGUCGAAGGUUGCCGAUUAUCCUCUUUUCUUGCGGUCUCUUUAAGCUACCACUUCAUGACUGAAACUUCUUAUGCUGUUCGUAGACAGGCCAUGCAGCCCAUCCUCUGUCAACGACAUUUUUGGGAUUUAGACAAAAUGGUACACGUACCGGCAAGAAGAUUAUAAUUAUGCCACUGGUGGUCUCAUGGCUCAAGUGGUUUGAAAGUUCGUUAGGUCGUUGAUGAACUUGAACUUCCAGAGUUGUAUACAUAGUAAUCUUUAUCAUAAAAUGGCCCUUCAAAAUCAAGGCGCCGUCUAACUGAAGGUGAUUGGUAAUUCUACUGUUGAGGGUCGAGUCUAUCAAAAACCCUUUGAUGUCGUUGUCUUGAGGUAAGCACUGGUUAAGAUUUCAUUAAAACCACAUAUAUGGGUUCGACCGAUGGUUUCAGUAGUCUUGGUUCAGUUAUGAUGACUUUUGAUUGGCAUUUACUACAUAAGAUUAUCGGGCUCUCAGUUUCAUCAAAACUGGAGACAGAUGCCGGUUCGACAUACACUAAAUUAGAGAAGAACCUGGGGGGUCAUUUUCGUUGUAAAAUUGAUUUUCAAGUGGCCGAGGAUUCUGUUUUGUGACGUGAUAAAUCUGGAUGUACUCAGCUUUUCUUUUUUUUCUUAUCCUUCGGCAAAUGGAUGUCCACCAUACCUAUUGUUGCCGAAGGGAAAUGAUCAGCAUCGACUAACAUCUGUGUCUUCUCUGGGAACUUUAGUUUGCCAUUAUCGAUCCAGCUUUGAAUAGCAUCAUGGAACACAAAGCAGUUAUUUGUCGUGUGUUUGUUUGAGUUAUGCUACUUGCAGUAUGUUUUCCCUUUUAAUCUUCGACCAUAGGAAUGUCAUGCCCUGGCUGAAGCUUGAUGAUCUUUGUAAGUAGUACCUGGUCAAAGAUAGCAUAGCCUUGGUGAUGUCAAAAGUAUAUACCUUUGAUGUUUUAAUGACUGCUUCAACAAAGGGCCGAGUGCGUUUUGACAUCUUUGGAACUAGCAUGAGCCAGUGCCUUGUAUACAUAAGGUUUGUUGAUUACUAUCUCGGUCGUGUCAAUGCUGACAUAUUGGGACUCGUCACCCCCGACUGAUGCAUAUCCUUCCAUUGGGUUCUUAUAAAUUGUCCCACGGGUUAGAGUUUUCAAAAUCUUUUCAUCUUUGAGCGGAUAAUCAUAUUGCUCGACAUGUUGAGCUAACUUAUACAUAUCUUGAAAGUUUGCCACUAAGUAUUUCUUCUUGUAUUCUACAUCUAGGCCAUUUUGGGCAAGCCUAACAAAUUCCACCUCAGCAAGGGGUACUCGACACCAAUUCCUAGCCGAUUUGAACUUGGUAAAGAAUUCCAUCGGUGACUCAUCAGAUGACUGUGCCAUCCUAGCGAAAGAGGAGACUGACACUUCUUAUUUUGGUCGAUAAAAUUGUUUGUGGAAUUUCUCAACCAGUUCCUCCUAAUUUUGUAUAGAGUUCGGUGGAAGGUUAAUGUACCACGUAAACGUUGUGCCUGUCAACAAGAAAUUAAACAGUCGUCGUUUAUAAAAAUCACUGUUGACAUCUUCACAUUGGGCAAUGAAUUUGGCCACAUGUAUAAAUGAGGACAACGACGAUUUCCUAGUGAAGAAACUGAAAUCUGGGAUCUUGAAUCCUCGAGGAUAUUCAAGCCUUUCUAUAAAGGCUAGAUAUGGAUGAAUAAAUUUUGGAAAUUUCAACCCUUUUUUCAAGGUUGAAUCAAUCAUCUUCUAGACUUCAACCAUAAACACUAGUGUUGCUUUUAUUCUUUGGCCGAAUUCAGCCGAACUAAUGCUUGGUUCACCGUAUGCUUUCUCAAGAUCGAUUAUCUUAGGUCGAGUGAGUUUUAUCUUAGCCGGUAUUAGCAGCAGCCCUUCUUCACCCAAAGGAACAUUCUUGAUAAAACGCUGCCUAGGUUGAUUAAUCGGCUCGUUUUGGUGAGCUUUGUUAACUAGAAUUUCGAGCAGCUUGUUAUUCAAAACACUCUUAUCACGUACUACUUCAAGUAGGAUUUUCAUCUCUCAGCCAAACAUUUGCCCAAACUACCAAGAUUGUUCUUCCAAUCGUCGUCGGAGAAAAGAUUUAGGUGGACCAGAGCUCUCAUCGUCGUCGUCGCAAUCCUCUACCAGACCUUCAAUAAAACCAUAUUUUGCCAUCUUGGUAAUCUGGAUGAAGACCACGGCAUCAUGAUUUUGAUUGCCGAGAUUAAUUUCCUUCUCUCGGCGCACCGUGCCUAUGGCUUCGGGUGUCAUGGCAACAUGAGGGUCCUACGCCUACGACGCAUACUGGACUCUGAACUAUAGGUGCUAAACUGGUGGUUGGUUGAUCCAUAGUUGUUUUCUUUUGAUUGACCGUGUUUCAACGGUCAUGAACUUCAUAGCCUUAGCACUGGGUCCCACUGGAUGUGCCAAAAUGUUGACUCUAAAAACUACUUAGUCUACGUGGUGUGCAUGCCAAAUAAUUAAUAAACGAAAUUUUAAUUUGCAUUAAAUAUACCAACUUUUUUAAUCUAAAAUGUACCGAUUGUUCUUUUAUAUAAAUGUACCCAUUGUUUUUUUCUAUUAUAAAAUGUACCCAUUUUUUCAUAUAAAGUGUACCACCUUUUUUGUAUGAAAUAUACCAACUUUUUUGAGGAAAAUGUACCUAUUAAAACUACCAAUUUUUUUGCAUGUGAAAUGUCAUUAAUAUAAGUAAUGACAAAUCAUGUCAUUAAGAUAAAUGAUACUUUUUUAUAUAAGUGUAAUUUAUUUUAUAAUAUUUUCAAUCCCACGAAUCAUGGUUUUAUUUAAAAUCUCAUUUAAUAUAACUAUAAAUAUCAAAUUUCAAUUUAAAAUUAUAAUAACCUAUAUAGAAAUGCAUUAUUGUAUUAAUUCCAGGGACUUCAAUAAAAAACUAAAAAUCAACAAAGUUUUAAUCGAAGAACGUUGAUAAAUAGGGACCACAUCCAAAGUAGCCCUUAGUGUGUGUGUGUGUGUGUGUAACACACCUUUGAAGUUUAACUUUCUUUGAUAAAUUUUUCCCAAAUUUUAAUCCAAGAAUUUAUUUCAGAACCAACAUAAUUUUCAAUAAUAGAAUGUAAGAUUUUAAGACAAUAGAUUCGCCACACACUGAGAUUUUAUUACAUACUUUCAUUAAGUAGAAUGUAAGAUUUUGUGAUAAGCACUAGUGUAAAUAUUUUAAACUCAUGAUCAGGUUGGUUCAUUGGAUUAUUCUAGGGUUGAGGAGUAUAUUUCUAAAAAAAUUAUCUAAAUUGGAGUAAAAAAAACUGUUAAAUCGUGAAUUUUCUUUUCUAACCGUCGAAUGAUUUCGUUCCGUUACCUAAUCUCCUAAAGUUCAUUUUUGGUGAUUUUUAGUGUAUGUGGUCUUGCGGACAGUUGAAUCAUUGAAAUUAGUUUCGUAAACUGACUAUUAUGUCAAAACAAUAGAUUCAACAAACACUUAGAGUUUAUUCUAUACUUCCAUUAAGUAGAAUGUAAGAUUUUGUGGAAACCACUAGUGUACAUAUUUUAAAUUGGUGAUCAGAUUAGUUCAUUGUAUUCUUCUAGGGUCGAGGAGUAUAUUUGUGAAAAAUCAUCAAAAUCAGAGUUAAAAUAAACGCUAAAAUCGUGAUUUUUCUUUUCUAAACGUCGAAGGAUUUCGUCCCAUUAUGUAAUCCUCGAAAGUUCAUUUUUGGUGAUUUUUGGCAUAUGAAAUGUUAGAGUAUAUCCAAACAAGUUUUACAGUUUAUAGCCAGUCAUCCUGGCUCUUUCCCUGCCACCCGUUAGCUCGACAAAAUGUUCGUCAAGCAAAAGGUCCACAUAAUACGUACCAAAUUUUUCCCUUUGUGCGAAAACUUUGCCUGAUGAAUGGUACUUUACCCCUCGAACUACAUUUGUUAGACAAAAGUCAUUGAAAAGACAAAAAUGGUGACCACUUUUGCUUGAAACGUUUAGUUGUGUCAGGCAAAUGACCUUUACCUGGCGAAAGAUUGUCCAUCCGGCUAAUGGUACUUUCUAGUAGUGAAUAUAUGUAUAAUACAUACAAAAUAAUUUACUUUGAAAAUAAAAAAAUGUUGUUUGAUUCAAAAUUAAUUUACUUAUAAUUUACAUAAGUAUAGGUAAAUUAUUUGUACAAAUAUAUAAUAAUAACAAAAUCUGCCUAAUAUAUGUAAUAAUACAUGCAAAAUAAUUUACUUACAAUGAUGACCACCAAAUAAAAAAAAUUGGGAGACAUGAUUGUAAGAUAAGUAUAAAAAUAAUGUGGAAAACUCAUGAGUGGAUUAUUUUGUAAUAGUAAGGCACUUAUUUCCCAUAUAUGGUGGAUAAUUGAAUCCGUUAACAUAAUUAUAGUGUUGUGACACAUUUGUAAAUAUUUUAGUAAUAGUAAGUCACUUAUUUGUCUACUUGGCAAUUAAUAUGAAAUUCAAGUUUUAUUUGGAGGUUUAAAAGGUGAUGAGUUUUUGUCUAGAAAUAAGUUGCAAAAGCUUAUCUCUAAACAACUUUAAACAUCAUUGAUAAUAGUUCUUUUGGUAUCAUGUCGCAUUAUGAUGAGUUAUUGAGUAAUCGGCAUCAUUCAAAUUUAGUUUUUAUCAAAUUAAGAGUUUCUACAAGUCUUUGUUAUAGUAGGAACAAGAUCAAGAACACAUCGUUGAAGUUUAACUUUAAUAAAUUCUUCCUAAAUUUUAACCUAAGAAUUUAUUUAAGAACCAGCACAAUUUUCAAUAGUAGAACAAAUGUGUGGUAUUCGAGCAACAUGAUUUCCAGACCUCAUCAUAAAACAUGAUUCAAACCUCAAUGGUCUUCUCAGUUUUAAUUUCACACCUUACCUAUCUUUGUCCUUUCCCCAAAUCCUUAUCAGUAUUCAGUAAGCAUGUGAAAAUUUAAAAAAAGGUCGUACCCAGUGCACAAGGCUCCCGCUUUACGCAGGGUCUGGGAGAGGUGAAUGUCGGCUAGCCUUACCCCCAUUUAUGGAGAGGCUGCUCCCAACAUGUGAAAAUUUAAAAAAGGGUAAAAAUAUAAUUAACCUGUCGUAUCACUUUCACCUUCUGAUUUUAGGUUAUAUCCAUACACGCGUUAUGCAUGUGGAGACGAGAUGGCAUUGUCACGAAGGAUGCAGAGACUACAUUUGGGCCACAAAGACCAUACAAAAGAGGUAUAUAACAUCAUUUUCACCAGUUUGCACUAGUUUUGGUCGAGGCGAGAUGGCAGGGCCAGGUGGUACGAACACAAAAGCAGUGCAUUUCAGCCUUGCGUUUUCUCUUCCAACACUUUACGUACAUGAAAACAAAUCAAUUAAUUUCCUGAUUUCAUACUGCAUGCAUUCAGAUCCAAAACGUGCUGCACAUGUUUUAUGUCCUCAUCGCUAGCUCUUCACUGGUAGGAAAUAGAACGCUUGGUGAAUGCAGUGAUCGAAUGGGAUCAAGAAAUAGGCAAUUUAGAGUUGACCGUAAAAUCAAAAGAACGGAACUGCCAGACCUCAAGAUUUUUCAUUCUUGCCUUGUACAAAAGCGUGUUUUGCUCAAAUUUUCUUUUAUUCAUCCUCAAAUGUACAACAUAUAGUAAAUACGAAUUUUCUUUCAACUUUGGUUUAUGUCAAAUUAAGAGUUUCAAUAGGUUUUUAUUAUAGUAGGAACAAGAUAAAUAACAUAUCCGUUGUUAACUUUCUUUUAUAAGUUCUUCCUAAUUUUUAUUUUUUUGAACAAACGAUAAUAUCUACACCAAGAAUAUAGGAGAGUGAGCUAAAUGGCAUAAUGAGUAAAAUAAUGUGAUUCAAAUCGCCUUUGGCGAGAUUUUAACAUAAGAAUUCGGUUUUAAUUCACAUCUUAUCUAUCUUGGUCCUUUCACCAUAUCCUUAUCAGUAAGCAUGUGAAAAUUGUAUAAGGGUGAAAAGUAUAGCCUGUUGUAUCACGUUCACCUUCUGGUUUUAGGUUAUAACCAUUCAGGGAUUAUGCAUGUGGAAAAGAGGUAUAUGCCAUUAUUUCACCUUUUAUGGUAGAGACGAGCAGGCAGGGCCAGGUGGCACAAACACAAGGAAGAUUAUGGAUUUGUGGACGUGCCUUGCGUUUUUUUUUUUUUACGUAUAGAUCCAAAACGUGCUGCACAUAUUUCAUGUCGGCAUUGCUAGCUCCUCAUAUAUAUUUAACGAGGACACCGAUAGGAAAUAUAGCGCUUGGUGAAUGCAGUGAUCCAAUGGAAUCAAUAGAUAGGCAACCACAAUCGUGACCUUUUGAGUUUAUGGUUCAUUUUGUUAUAGGGAGUUGUGCAGACCCAACAAGACUUGUGAGCACUAUUUGAAAUUUCUACUUCACACUUUAUGAAUGGUUGAAAAUGCUUGAUGGAUAAUCAACCGGCACUCCCAUAAUUUGUGUGAACAUGACUUACCUCCUAUAGAGGGAGAAAAUGUACAAGCCAAAGAGGGUAAAUGAAGAAGGGCUUAACGCAUGGGACAACGUCUAUGGCGUCAUCAAAACCCUCAAUGGUGCUGCUAGAGAGUCUAUAUAUCUUUUUUGUUUCUCUUAUAUGCCUUUAACACUGAGUGCAAUUAGUUUUGUUCUUUAAAGAAAACAGAGAAGAACACAAGCCAAAACACAUAUGCGCUGCCUAAAUUCUAUUGAUUCAAGUGAGAGAUAUUGUUAACACUUUUAAAUGAAUCACUCCAUUAUCAGUUGUACUUUCAAAACUUUCUUAGUAAUUUAAAUGAAUUUAUAAUUAUUAUGUCAUGUGCAAAUAUAAUACUAUACGCAGUUUUCUUAAACUCAUUAUAUGGCCAAUUUCUUUGACAUGUGUAUACCACGAGUGUUUGGAUCCCAUGCCAAGAUAAUUCUAGUCUUUUUGGCUUUAUUUGCCUAAAAUAUUUUGUUCUCGUCUCAUUCAUUAAGGCAUAUAUCCACUCUGUCCAUAAAUUGCACAACAGUUCAAUUUAUUUUUGUGUAGUUAAGAAAAUGCAUUUAGCUCCUCAAAUUUAUUUUCUCUACAUUAAGUCCGACAUAAUAUUUUUGCUUAAAGAAUACUUAGUGACUAGGAUCCAUAAAUGUAAACUCAUUAAUUAUGAUUUACUUUACCCAUUUUACAUUUUUUAGAUGCCUGGCAUAUCCCUAUUGCAUGUAUGAUAUGCACAAUUAAUUCUAUACAGAUUGUAAACACAAUUAAUUCUAUGCAGAUUGUAAGAGGCAUGACUAAUGAUUUUGCAAAAGAAAAAAAGGAGAAAAAGACAUUAAUGUUACAAAUUUACGAUUACAAUAAAUCUUGGAUAUUAAUGGGAGCUUUAUAUAUAGAGACAAAAACUUUCACUACAUUUCAACUUUGAAGGACCUCCACUAGUUUUUAAACAUGUCAAUGAGAGACAAAACAUAAAAAUAACUAAAGCCCAUCUCAAAGACAUGGAAUCAAUGUUUUAAAAUACCAGCCAUACCUCUAAGACUUUAAGGCUGUUACUAGAGCCUAGCCCUCACAACUCCAACAAGUCAAUAUGUGCCAUAAGCUUAACCCAUCCUCGACUAUUUUUACAGAAUCAAUUUUCAAAAUAUAGGUAAAAUUAGUUUGAAUCCCUUUUACUGGAAUCAGUUCAAUCAGUCAUCGUCAUGAGUGGAUAAUUUUGUAAUAAUAAGGCACUUAUUUGCCAUAAUUAUGGUGCAUAAUUAAAUUCGUUAACAUAAUUAGUGUGUUGCGACACAUUUGUCAACAUUUUGGUAAUAGUAUGUCACUUAUUUGUCUACUUGGAAAUUAAUUUCAUAUUCAAGUUUUAUUUGGAGGUUUAAAACGUGAUGAGUUUUUAUCUAGAAAUAAGUAUUGCAAAAGGUUAUCUCUAAACAACCCUUAAAUUUCAUUGAUAAUAUUUCUCUAAGUAUCAUGUCCCACUAUGAUGAGUUAUUGAGGAAUGGGCAUCUUUCAACUUUGGUUUAUAUCUAGUUAAGAGUUUCUGUAAGUCUUUGUUAUAGUAGGAACAAGAUAAAGAACCCACUGUUGAAGUUUAACUUUCUUUUAUAAAUUCGUCCUAAAUUUAAUCCAAGAAUCUAUUUAAGAACCAACGGACAAUUUUCAGUAGUAGAACAAAUGUGUGGUAUUCGAGCAACAUGAUUUCCAGACCUCAUCAUAUAACAUGAGUCAAACCUCAACGGUCUUUUCAGUUUUAGAUUCACACCUUACAUGUCUUUGUCCUUUCCCCAUAUCCUUAUCAAUAAGCGUGUGAAAACUGAUAAGGAGAAACAGACAUUAAUGUUACAAAUUUACGAGGCAGGAUUUAUGAUUUUGCAAAACAAAAAAAAGCAGAAAAAGACAUAAAUGUUACAAAUUUUAGAUUACAAUAAAUCUUGGAUAUUAAUGAGAGCUUUAUAUAUAAAGACAAAAACUUUCACUACAUUUCAACUUUCAAGGACCUCCACUAGUUUUUAAACAUGUCAAUGAGAGACAAAACAUAAAAAUAACUAAAGCCCAUCCCAAAAACAUGAAAGCAAUGUUUUAAAAUACCAACCAUACCUCUAAGACUUUAAGGUUGUUACUAGAGCCUAGCCCUCACAGCUCCAACAAGUCAAUAUGUGCCAUAAGCUUAACCCAUCCUCGAUUAUUUCUACAGAAUCAGUUUUCAAACUAUAGGUAAAAUUAGGUUGUAUCAUUUAUUACUAGAAUCAGUUCAAUCCGUCAUGAUUAUUUUUGGAGAAUCAGUUCAAUCAGUCAUCGUCAUGAGUGGAUAAUUUUGUAAUAAUAAGGCACUUAUUUGCCAUAAUUAUGGUGCAUAAUUAAAUUCGUUAACAUAAUCAGUGUAUUGCGACACAUGUGUCAAUAUUUGGGUAAUAGUAUGUCACUUAUUUGUCUACUUGGAAAUUAAUUUCAAAUUCGAGUUUUAGUUGGAGGUUUAAAACGUGAUGAGUUUUUGUCUAGAAAUAAGUAUUGCAAAAGGUUAUCUCUAAACACCCUUAAAUUUCAUUGAUAAUAUUGCUCUAGGUAUCAUGUCCCACUAUGAUGAGUUAGUGAGUAAUGGGCAUCUUUCAACUUUGGUUUAUAUCAUGUUAAGAGUUUCUAUAAGUCUUUGUUAUAGUAGGAACAAGAUAAAGAACCCACUGUUGAAGUUUAACCUUCUUUCAUAAAAUCGUCCUAAAUUUAACCCAAUAAUCUAUUUAAGAACCAACGGACAAUUUUCAGUAGCAGAACAAAUGUGUGGUAUAUUCGAGCAACAUGAUUUCCAAACCUCAUCAUAUAACAUGAGUCAAACCUCAACAGUCUUUUCAGUUUUAGCUUCACACCUUACCUGUCUUUGUCCUUUCCCCAUAUCCUUAUCAGUAAGCAUGUGAAAACUGAAAAAGGGUAAAAAUUAUAGCCUGUUGUAUCACUUUCACCUUCUGAUUUUAGGUUAUAUAUAUCCAUACGCGCGUUUGAACGUGGAGACGAGAUGGCAUUGUCACAAAGGGUACCGAGACUACCCUUGGGCCAAAAAGACCAUGUAAAGGGAUAACAUCAUUUCACUAGUUUGCACCAGUUUUGGUAGAGACGAGAUGGCAAGGCCAGGUGGCACGAACACGAGGAAGAUUACGGAUUAGUGGAAGCAUUGCAUUUCAACCUUGCAUUCCAACACUUUACGUACAUGAAAACAAACUAAUUAAUGUCCCGAUUUCACACUGUAUGCAUUCAGAUCCAAAACUUGCUGCACAUAGAUAUUUAACGAGGACACUGAUAUGAAAUAGAGCGCUAGGUGAAUGCAAUGAUACAAUGGGAUCAAGAAAUAGGCAAUUUAGAAAUGACCACAAAAUAAAAAAAAUGGAACUGCCAGAUCUCAUGAUUUUUCAUUAGGAGACUUUGGAUGACGUUUGUAGCUAUGAAUAUUCUUUGACUAAAACCUUAUUGGUUUUCAAAUUUUUAUCGAAGUCCUUGAAAUUAAUGUGAUAAUUUAUUUCUAUGUAUGUUACUAUAUUUUUUAAAUUAAAAUUUAUAGUUGUUUAUAUUAAUGAGAUUUUAAAUAAAAACCAUAAUUUGUGGGAUUAAAAAUAUUAAAAUAUAAAUAUACUAUUGUGUGUGUGUAUAAACAUGGGUACAUUCAUCAAAAUUAACCAAAAAAUUAUUGUACCAAAACAUGGGUACAUACUUUAAAAUCACAAAAGGAAAAAAAAAAGAUAUUUGGCUUACUAACAUUAGUAAAUUUCUUCAAUGAAACUUGACAUGGAUACAUUCUCAAAUCAAAGAAAAAAAGAAUGUACGUACCCAUAUAAGUUUAAAAAUUGAUUUAAAAAAAUUGAAUAGAUUUUAUAUAAAAAAAGUACAUUUUACAUAUAACAAAUUGGUGUAUUUAAGAAUGAAUACAUUUUAAGAUUAAAAAUUUGAAAAAGUUACAUGAAUGGGUACAUAUAAUUUUUUAUUUAUUUUGGAAAUCUUUUGAAUUGAAAAAUAGUUAGGAGUUUAAUAAAGGUGUGGGUAUUAAAAUUCUAAAUCAAUUAUUAAUUUUAUUUUAAAAAAUUAUGUAACUAACAUGUAAAUUCAUUAUUACAUUAAUGUUAGAACUUUGAUCAAAAUCUGAAAACUAAUAAGGUUUCAGUCAACGAACAUUAGUAAUUAGGGAUUGGAUACUAAUUUUUCUUUUUUUAUUUUUGCUUUGUACAAAAACGUAUUUGGCUCAAUCUAAUGUUGAAGAGUCAAUGAACCUGUGUAGAAUAUUUAAUACCUAAUUGUUCAAUGAACCUAAUUAACACUCAUCCCCGGCAAUACACUCCGUUGGCCAAAUAUUUCAAGGAAAUAUUUUUUAAUCCAAAGCACCGCUAGCCCGACAAGAAGUUCGUCAGAAAAACUGGACUAAAAUCAUUUUAAAUAAAAUUUAAUUUUUGCACGACGACAUAUUUUGGUCGGGUCAAAACAUUUUCGCCACGCCUCAAUGGUCAAUGCAUACUUACUCGAUGAACGUUCAUGGGGUGAGUUUAUAUUGCCCGACGAAUAUUUAUUUUCGUCAGCAAAAGUGUCUUUAAUUUUGUCCAACGGGACUCUGUCGCCUUAAACCCUUCGCGGCGAACUCCUUCCUUACGAGACAUCGUCUCCUAAGUUGUUUUUGUUCUGUUGUAUAGAAAGGAGGAAAUGAACAUGCAUGUAACGUGCAAAUACUUAUUCAUAUAUGGUAUGUUGUGUUUAUUAUAACUUCUUUAAAAUAAACACUGACAUUGGUCAAACUGAAUUACAACAAAUAUCCUCAAGUAUUAUGCUUAAUAAAAAGUACAAAAUAAAAACAAUUUCCAUGUAAUACUACAAAAAAAAAAAAAAAAAAGGCAAUUGUUAAACGCUGACAUUGAUCAAACUGAGUAGGAGAAUACAAAAAACGAAAGGCAAUUUGUUAACCCAAGUAGGAAAAUACAUCAAUUAUUUGUAUCCAUUGAAAUCCAAAGAAUGAAAAAAAGAUCAUAAUAAAUUCUCCCUAUAUGUAUAUUGCCUCAUAUUUAACCUACUAUUUUUCUUACAUGAAUUUAUUUAUUUAGCUAAAAAGUAAAUAAAUAACAUUCAAAAAGGAAUUUAAACCUCUCAAGACAGCCGACAUGCAAUUGGCGUCCUCAUUUUCAGAUUAAAUCCCGUUCUUCUAUGUAUUACACCAAUACUGAGGUUGUAAAAUUUCGAUGGCCAUUAUAUAAUCUACAUUCAGUUUUUGACUUUAUUAUUUGUUUCUGUUUCAGUGUAUAUAACUUACCCGUGGAGAUAAUAAUGAACAAAGAACUUGAACCAUAUUCAUUAUUCACAUGUUUAAUUGUUCUGAUCUUCAAUCCACACCCUUCACGUGGCGACAUCGUGUAGAAAUGGUCCCCACUUUGAGGAUAGUGUACAAGCUCAGGUUAUAAAUAGGGCAGGCAUAUUGCAGGUGCUGCACUCACACAAGCCAAAUACAAUUACCCAGAAGCCAUCGUAUUCUUCUCUUUCCUGCCUUCAAACCCCCAAAGAGAGUCACAUGCUAGGUCUAGCAAACAUGUGGGCUGCCAAGGUGGCCUCAGUAGUUACCACUACUCAUCAACACAUUACUUGGCGAUCAUGAGCUUAGCCUAUUUACCAUGUCUGACCAGAAAAUCUUGGGAACAAAUUUAUGGUACUCAUGUUCAUGUUAUGCUAUGAAUCCUUUGAUGAUGAUUCUCUUUUCGGCAAUCACCGAAAAUAUCCUUAAGCGUGCUACCCAAAUUGUUGACAAAAUUGUGCAGGUAUAUAUUUUUAGCUUACAUGUAACGUAUGCACGAUUAUUAAACUGUCAAAUCAUUAUUAUAGUAUACCAAAAUUAUGUCACUAAUUUUAACCAAAUAACAUAACAUGCUCUUUUUUUCUUUCUAUAUUUUUUUAGGAGAAGUGAUGGAAUAUUUACGAGACUAUUUUAUAACACAAUAACAUAAUAUGUUAUUUUAUCUAAGAAAGCAGUACUCGUGCACUUAACUCACUUCUAUGUUACUUGUGCCUUGUUUCAGGGUACCCAAGUGCACGUGGAGAACAUAGAGGAGAACACACCCAAAGCAGGCUUCAGUGCACCAUUGUGCACACUAAAGUCCAUAGCCAGCGAGGUCAUUACCUGGGAAAUUAAAUACACACACACACACACACACACACACAUAAUGAUAUGUAUAUUUCUUGUAACUUUUCAUGUAUAUUCUUGAAUAUUCACACUAUAUCAUGGUUAAUCUUAAAAUUUCAGAUGCAAUGCAAGCCUCCUAGUGAGGAAGUUGCCCACAACACAACCCUGGCCAUACUGAACAAGCUAUCAAGCUAUUCAUGGGAAGCAAAGGCAGUGCUGACUCUAGCAGCUUUUGCCAUGGAAUACGGGGAGUUCUGGCUCCUCGCCCAGCUUCAAGAAUCAGACCGACUCGCCAAAUCAAUUGCAAUCCUGAAGCGAGUCCCCGUGCUCCUCAAGCCUCGACCUGCACAAGAAAAGACAAGCAGUGCUUGAACUUAACAAUCUGAUCAAGGCCACAUUGCAAGUGAUUGAGUGCAUCGACCAAUUCGAUAAGCUUUCCAGCUACGACCCAAAAGAUGUCCCAGCGUUGGCGCUAGCAAUGGACCAUAUUCCAGUUGAUGUGUACUGGGCUGUUGCCACUGUUGUUGCUUGUGCAACUAAGAUCACCAUCCUCACCUGUAAUGAGUAAGUUCUCCAUUGACCUUUAGGAAAUCGCUCUUUUUGCCAGACCGUGCAUCUGGUUGAAGUGAAGUUUCGUAAUCCAAAUUCACAGCCUAACAACUUAAUUUAGCAUUGGUCUGGCAAAUAAAAAUUAUUUGUUUAGUAGUUAAUAAAAUGACCAUGGUUGCCUUCGUUUUAGGGACAAGGAGCAUGAUCUAGCCCCAUUUGCUCAAAAAAUUCACUAUGUCCUAAACAAGCUUAAGAUCCAGCUUAUUGUCUGCAGAAAACAAAUUGGUGGGUUAAAUGGAGAUGUUUCAUUUGGAAUUAUUUUCUGUACUUGCACAAAUGAAACGCUCAAGAUAAUCUUUGUUUCAUGCAUGCAGAGGAGGCAGAGACUUACCGGAGGCUAAGGAAAAUCUUCCAAACUCCUACUGAAAUCAUGGAGGUUUUCAAGGCCCUGAUUUUUACCAAGGAAAAUGUCCAGCCGCUCGUUGAUGGUUCUACUAAACAAAUGGUUUGUUCUAGUCACAGUACUAUAAUGUGUAAUUGAAUUAUUUUUACCGCUGGCACUAUGUUGCUGCAAGGAAAAUUAAAGUUAAUAAUAUGACAGUAACGUACCAUAGAAAAAGAUGGCAGUAAAGUUGCUUAGGAGUACUUUUUUGUCAUACAAAAUUUCCAACGUAAUUUUCUUGGCAUGACUAAUUUAAUUGGAACCCUAAAAUGUCACGUGGAAUAUUAAUCUUUAAUAUGCAUGUUUGUAUAUACAAUUCAGUUUUUUCUACUGAGCUCCUAUGUGAUUAGUCAUAAUACUAUUUGAGCACGUAAAAUAAACAUCAUUAACUAAACACUAAAAUAACAUCAUUAUCAAAUAAAGGUGAGUGGUGCAAAACCAUUGUAUGUGAGACACACCUUUAAGGAGGAGUAUUAGCAAAGAAAAUCAGUUUUUGGUGACAUGAUUUUUCGGUUAGUCAAAUUGCUACUUAUUAAUUACUUACAACGUGCAUAAUUCAUUUAAACAGGUUAAAAUCGAUAUCCUGAGGAAGAAGAAUGUGUUGUUCAUUUCAAGCCUAGACAUCUCUGAUGAUGAUAUCUCAAUCCUCAAGCCCAUCUAUGAUAUGAUAAAGAAAGACAAUCAGCACAAGAUUGUGUGGAUUCCGAUUGUGGAGCAUUGGGACCGAUGACCGCCGAAAGAAGUUUGAGAGCCUCCGAAAUAAGAAUGCCAUGGUACACAGUCGAUUGCAGAUCUCGGUACACAGGCAUCAGAUCAGAUUCAUCAAGGAGGAGUGGAACUUCAAGGGUAAGCCCACACUAGUGGUGAUGAACCCACAAGGAAAGGUCGAACAUCCCAACGCUCUCCACAUGAUUAGGGUUUUGGGGAGUCAAUGCUUUCCCUUUCACAAAGGCAACUGAAGAAGAGCUCUCACAAUGGUCACGGAGAUAAAUGGAUUGGCACUGUUGUCCAAGGGGUUAGCCAAUCUGUUACGGUAAUUUUCCUUUUAACUGUUUAAAUAUGAGGACCGCUAUUUCAACCACAUUUACUUACCACAUUAUUAACCACCUUUCUAAUACAACUUAAUCUUACAUAUAUAAGCGUGGAUACAAAAACACAUGUUAUUUUUACCGUACCGCCUCUUUAAUAAAGGUGUAAUAAUAAUGAAACAUAUUUUUGGCAAGAAGUAUAAAAUAACAAAACAAAUUAUAAUUGACGGAGAAGUGUAAAAUUGUACAAGACGCAACUCUCCCUUUAAUAGAAAUUAGUAUAGAAUAGCAACGGUCCUUAAAUCUAGAAUACAUUUCGUUAGUUAAGUUUGUGUGGUUGAUCUAACUAUGGCUUGGUCAAACAGAUCAAAGAGGACAAGUACAUUUUCUUCUAUGGUGGCAAAGACAAUGGUUGGAUUCAAGAGUUCACAAAGAAAGCAACUGCCCUUGCAAAUGAUCCCAUCUUCAAGGAGGCAAAGAUUCACAUCGAGUUGUUCUGCGUGGGAAAAGGAAGCAAGGGAGAAGAUGACCAUGGCAUCCUCGGGAAGUUCUGGACUGGCAUCGAAAGCUUGUUCUUCACCAAGGUUCACAGGCCAGCCGACCAAGUCGGUCAAGAAGUCCAGAAGCUACUUUCUUACAAAAACGAAAGUGGAUGGGCUGUGCUCAGCAAAGGGCAUUCUGUGGUGCUCACCGGCCACGGUGUCUCGAUCUUGAGGGUGGUAGAGGACUUUGACAAAUGGAAGGACCAUGUGAAAGAGAGGGGCUUUGAGUUUUGCUUCAAGUCAUACCAUGAGAGGGUUCGCACUGUGAGUCGACCUUGCUGCCGCCUUGAUAUUCCGGGCUCUACCGGGAAGGUUCCAGACACCAUGAAGUGUCCUGAUUGCCACCGGAGCAUGGAGACUUUCAUCAGUUACAAGUGUUGCCACAUUGAUGGUCCUACUGCACAUCACUAAGUUCUCGGUCUCCUUCCCUUUACUACUUCAAGUGUGAUGUUGGCUAGUCUAAUAAGUUCAGAGUAGUAUGUUGUAAUAUCUAUAUAAAGGGCAACCUAGUUAGCUCAUGCAUGGUGAUACUUGAUGCCUAAUUAAUGGGGACUAGUAUGCUUAUGUAAUUGUCUUCCUGAGUAUGUUUUCAUGGUAUGUAGCUGCUACUUUAUGUAAUGUAAUGUUUAUUUGAAUAAUUUGAGAUGUCUACAUUUCCCUUGGUGUGUAUAUGAAUUAUCACUUACUUCAAAUUGUUCUGACUUAUAUUUGAGGAAAAUAACUUCAAAUCUAAGUCCUUGGACGUUUUAAAAAUUCAAGAAAUCAUCAAACGUGUUUCCAAGCUGAUUGAUUGAAGUUCCUUCAUCACCCUUGCGCGCAAUUACAGUUAGUAAAAAAGUUGAGUUUGAGGUUACCAACUUUUCGUAAUUAGCUUAGCUAAGUCCCACUAGAACCUACAUUAUAAAACCAAUUAUCCAUACAAAACUUGUAAACGAUUCAAAAUAUAAACCAUAUAUAAUGUAUGUGUUUAGAGGGACAAAUAAAAUAAAAUGAGAAUCCUAGUUGCUGUUAAGGAAUUUGACUCCGAGUUUGGCCAAUUGAAUAUAGGUGUUAAAUUUUCUUCAUGUCUAAUAGAUUUGUCAAAUAUUUAUUUUAUUAAUAUUUUGGGCCCCAUAGUUACAUUAAGUAUUAAAAAAUAAUUCAAAUUGAUUUUAGUUUUCAUCCUGUUAGUUGUCAAUGGAACCCAUGCAUUAAAAAAUAAAUUAAAGGCAUUUGACUCCAUCUUUGUUUGUUGUAUAAAAAGGUAGCUAGAAAGUAAGGAGUUAAAUAACUCAGCUGCCACGUCAAUUAUGGCAUCUCCAUUAGAGGAAACCUUGAUGUCUAAAUUAUUAUACUUCUUUACCGACAAAAUUGGCAUAAUUGUUGAAAUAAAUACUCAAAAUUGAAAACAAAAUUGAAAGCUUACAUAAAUCAAUCUUCAUGUACCCCAAGGUCGGUCUCAAGGGUAUGCAACUGGUGCCACCGCACAAGGCCCCGAUUUUUCUUUUUGACAUGUAUGUAUAUAUUGUAGAAAACUAGCAUACUAUGUAUUUAGCGCAAGUGGCAUUUGUGCUUGGUUUCUUGUCCAAUUGUUGGAAACUUUUGUUUACUUUUCAGUUUUUAUGUACUAAAGGCAUGUUUACGUAUAUUGAAUGAAUUUCUAAGAAAGGGGUACCAUUCCUAUAUUUUGUGUUACUAAUAACCAAGGAUUUGACGUAAAGCAGCUCACCGUUCCAAGGUUUUGAUAGGAUUGGCGCUCAGCCGAUGUGCUCCUUUAGUUUGUUGAAUGCCUGUUGACAUUCCUCCGUCCAUUCAAUCGUUCACAUAGCUCCAUGGAAUGCCUUGAAAAUAAGUAGGCACCGGUCCGUUGAUCUCCAGAUGAACUGGCUCAAGGCCGCUACUCGUCCGGUGACGCUCUACAUCUCCUUCUUUGUUCAUGGUGAUGCCAUAUUGAUGAGGGCCUAUAUCUUUUAUUGGUUGACCUCUAUCCCUGUUUGUCUUACCACCCCAAAAACUUCCAUGAGCCGACCGCCAAGGCGCAUUUCACAGGAUUCAACUUCAUCCCGCAUGUGUUGAGGAUGUUAAACACUUUAGUUAGUUCUGCCACAUGCUAGUUUUCUUUUCUGCUCUUCACAAGCAUGUCUUCCAUAUAAACUGUAAUACCCGGAAAAUUUAAAUAUAUAAAUAUGUGAGGAGCAAUAAAAAAAAUAAUCGAUUUAUGGUUGUGAAAAUUUAAUUGAGAAAUUUAAAAAAAAAAUUUCUUCUAGAAAUUUAUAUAAUUUAAGUCGUAAAAUUUUAUCUGGAUAAGGGGAAAAGACGAAAAUGGCCCUAGUUGGCUAAAGUUAAUUAUACGAGGACAUAUUUUAUCCUCAUAUUUUCUAUCGUAUUUCUUGACAUAUUUGGAUAUAGCUCGACCUCACGAACACGUAGGCGCAAACCGUUUGUGAAAUGGAAUUAUAACGAAUAAGUUUUUAAUGAACGAAGUUAGGGGCAAAAUGGUAAUCUAAUCAUUAAUCUGGAAGGCUCCAGAUUUGUUGGAGAGUGGAUAUGGUGCCAUGUGUGUGGCUGAGAUUGAAGGAAUGGAAGAGAAAGGAAAAGGGGGCUGCCAAUCGAAGAAAGGGAAAAAGAAGGGAGGGCAAAUGAGAGGAGAUAGCAAGGAGGGCAAGGAGAAAGAGUGAGAACUAGCCAACCACACCCAUGACCCGGUUCCAUAUUGCGACCCAGUUUCAAAUCGAUUGUGUUUGUUGAUUUUUCCGUCGUUUUCCAGCGAUCCAAGGCUUGCCACAUCCUGUGCUUGACUCCACGACCCUCCUUCAAGUUCCACCCCAAACCCGAUGGUUUUUUAUGGUGGUUUCUUGGAAAUAGCCCCAACGACGCCAUGGGGAGACUGACGGAAAUCUGCCACUUCUAAAGGUGAUUCCUUUAAUCACCACUACCCCUAGACACCUCUUGAACCCAAGAACACACCCCAAACAACUAUAAGAGCGGCGGAGUACCGGAUGUGAUGGAUUGAAGUCACCCAUUUCUAGGGUUUCCGGUAAUUUCGAGGGAAAUUGGGGCUUUUCCCGGCCAAAUUGGACUUGGCCACAAGUAUAAAACUUACUCUACUCAUUAAGAUCUUCAUUUCAGUAAAAUUUGGAAAUUUUUAGAGUUAGUUGGAAAAAUUGGGUUUCCGUUCACCGGAAACCGCCACCUACAACGGCGCAUGGCCAGAGGACUGAAGCUGUCCUUUUAAGUUAAUUUCGAUAUUCUUAAUGCAUUUAUGAUAUGCAGUUGGUGUGAAUCAUUUGUUUGAACCUAGUUCCGUGAUUGGUAGUCACUUGUUUGAUUUUGGAAAUGGAUUAAAAGCAACUGGUGAACUACAAAAGGCUUGAUCCUGCAUCAAGGUUACGUAGGCUGUCUAACAGGGGUUAGAUAUAGUCUUAAAUAACUGAGAGUAAUCUUUUGUGGGAAUGUGAUUGAAGAAAUGAAAUUUUGAUGAUUAUUUGGAAAUUAAAACUGAUGGUUUAGUAAGUAAAUUUUUGGUUAGAUUUUGUGAGUGAUUAAGAAAUUUUAAAUAAAAAUUGUGAUCAAUUGGUAGUUAAUUAAACAAGAGUUUAAUUUUGGCCUACCACCGAAAUCAUUUUCCGAAAUAAAAUUUUAGGGUCGGGGCGUUACAUAAACCUCCAUCGUCUUCCCUACACGUCUUAUUGUCUUGGUCGGUCGAGUGCAUGUAGAUCUAGUUGUUCUCCUAUAAAGCAUUGAGGAAAGUUAAAAGUUCGCAUCCUGUCGUAGCAUCCAAGAGUCGGUUGAUACUUGGCAACGGAAAAUAGUUCUUUGAAAAUACCCAUUGAAAUCCAUGUAGUCUAUACAUAUGCACAAUUUGGUCAGUUUUUUUACUGUCGUUGCUUUUUUUACCACCAUUACAUUUGCCACCCACCAUGGGUAAUCUACCUUUAUGAUGAAACUGAUUCUAAGCAGUUUGUCUACCUCAACCAAUAUGGCCUCAUAACCUUUUGCGUAAGACUGUUGUUUAUGCCGAAUAGGCCUUCAAUGUGGAUCAAUACUGAACUUAUGAGAGAUGACACUCAAAUCUAUUCCGGGCAUAUCUGCAUACGACCAGGCAAAUACAUUAGUGUUGGCCCUUGACAAUUUUAUCAGCUCUGCUUGGACUUUCACAAUUAACUUUGUGUUGAUCAUGACAGUCUAGUCGGACAUUCUCCUAACAACACAAUUGUUUUCAAUUCUUUCAUGAGCUCAGGUAUUCUCGGAUCUCGUCGUCUCUCGAGUUAGGUGUUGCUGUCUUUCAGUUGAGGGGAGAUAAAUUCCGUCGAGCGCCCGGGUAUGAUAUAGAGUUCUCCCCGCUACUCUUCUUAUCUCACUGGCCAUACGGCUACAAAUAGGUUGAGCAUCAUUUUUUCUUCUCUGGUUCAUCAUGAUAUCUAACAUGGUGAUUCUUCCUUGCCGCAAAGUGUGUCUUGGAUUUGCUGGGUAGAAAUAAAAACCAAAUUGUAUGCAUUUCUUACAGACAGCGCUAAACUACUAAGGUUCUAAAUUUGCAAGUCAAACACAGACGAAUCCAGGUGUAUACUCACAAAUUUUAAACCUGAUAAUCAAAGGUGUUUAACCCUUGGUAGGCUUCAGGAUGUUGAUUGAAAAUGAAAUGGACCCAGACUUAAAUGGUUCACCCCACAAAACUAAGGUUCAUUCAUAAUGUUGCAUGAAUUCUAUGAAGGAGAAUAUUUGAUAAACUAAGUUCAUUGAGCAACACAAUACAUACAUUUAACAAUUAAAUGGUGGAAGCAUGCUUGUAUGCACUUUAAAACAAAACUUAAACUACGAAAUUCAAAGCCUAGUAGUAGAGGUGAACCAAGACUUAACUUUAAACACAAAGAGAGUUUAGAAACAUUAUACCUUUGAACACAAUGAGUGACAAUGGAAGAACAAAAUGCUAUCAAUGUUCUCCAUGGUGGCUAGCCUAUCUAAGGAAGGAGAUAGUUUGUGUUUCUCCCUCUUUGCCUCAUAGAAAAUCCUAAUGAGGGAUGGAGUUACAAAGUUACCUUUAUACCUCAUUCUAAGUGAUUAGCAAACUUGUAAUAAGUAAACCAUCACUCCUUUUCGCUUUGGCUAGUUUAUGUAGUUAUGUUUGUUAAUUCUCAUUUUGUUUUAGUUGUCAUAGAACUUAACUCAAUGGGUCUUGUGGACCAAAACUCAUUUUGGGUCCUAAAACAUGAAACUUAUUUAAAGCCUGAUUUGAACAUUUCGCAUGAUUAAUUAAUAUAUUAAUUAAUCUUUGUCAUAUACAAUUAAACUAUUUAAUUGUCCUUACUUAUCUUCAUUAUAUUCGUCAAUUAUUACCCUACACAAUGUGCGACCCAUUUGGUUCCUUUUAGCGAGACAGUGGGCAAUUAGAACUCUUAGUCUUUUACUAGUUGAUUGUGAAUUGAAACUUACAUUCAAUUCUCCUUUUAGUGAUUAUACAUCUUCAAGGCUUCCACAAACCAUGAGCAACACCUAGCAGCAUGUUAUGGCUACUCAAGCUAAUCAAAAGAGGUUGGAGAACCUAUUCAGUUUCGUAUUACAAUGCAAUAUGGUCUUUCAACGGUUUAAAGGGUAGAAAUCCUUUGUUGCACCUUUGUUGCACAUUCACACGUCUCCAUGAUUAAGUGGUUUAGCCCUAACUAUGCAUGGACAAUAUCUAAUGGAGUGCCUUUAACAUAGUCAGAGAUUAAAGACCUAACCACAAGACAACUAUGAUGUCUCAAGUCAAAGGACUACUUUGCAUUAUUUCAAUUAUGAGUUCUCAUGCGACAUGAGUAUGAGAACUCCUUGUCGAUCACAUUCAGUGGAUGCACUCUUUAUUAAGCACCUACAUACUUGUCUUAGUGUCAUUCACACCAAUGACUCGAGACCAGUCACUCUCCUCGAGAGAAGACAUAAUAUGUACUAAUCUACAAGAAUCAUUAAUGCUAUAUUAGCAAUCCUAUGAUCAAGAACAUUUAGGAUAUGUGUAUGAAAUAGAAUGGUCUGGUGAAUCUUAAUUCUUUAGAUCAUUCUCCUAACUACAUAUUCCUUGGAGUUAUCGUUUAAGCGUAUAACAUUUAAUAGGACGGCUUUAAACCAUAAUCUUUACCUUUACACUGAACUAAUUUAGUUUAACAUGUGAAAUUUCUGUAAAGUAUCAUCUUACGAUUGAGUUAGGCAUAUUCCCAACAUUUUAUUGAUUAGCGGUAAGCUAAUACAUCAAUUUCUCUUUCUCAAAUCGUCUGACCUCAAUAUUGAGGGUUGCAACCCCUUUAUAUAGGCUUUUAGCGAACCCCUGUCCCUUGGGCUCUCCCUAACGAGCAUUUAAUGCACCACUCUUUGUAGGCUUGACCCCUGACACCUUUUCGCCAGCUAGCUUGGCAUUCGACGACAAAGAUAUGGGUAUCCAGUCCAGUGCACUCCUGCCCAAAAUAAAGUAGUCCAUUUCUCUGAGUCGGCCUCGGUUAUUCAGCCUAAUUUGUCCGAACGCCACUCCGACAUACUUUGUGUCCCAUCCGGGUCCUCGCCUUUUGACUUCAAGUCAUCCAUUAGUUUGAAUGACAUAUGAGCAGACCUUUUCACGAGGACUUGUGCAUCAAAGUUGUCAGUCUACCCAUAUGCUUUCAUCGGUCAGUGUUCAAUGUAAAUGUCAAUCGGUUGGCAUUGAAGCACUCGGGCAUGUUCUAUUCCAAGCUUGCCAGCCCUUGGGCCCAUUCCCAAUUUGGUACUUCUUUAUGGUUCUUAAAGUGCCCAUCAUUAACAAGGUACUCAAUAGAGAAUGAGUUCAUUAAACACGAUCAAACAUGACUUCACGUACUCAUGUCAUAUGAGAACUGACUAGUUAGAUAAUGCAAAGUAGUCAUUUGAUAUGAGAUUCCACAAUUGUCUUGUGGAUACGUCGUUGAGCAUUGGAUGAUGCAUCACAACCUUAUGGUUUGUCCACACAUUGUUCGGAUAACUGAUUUAUCCACAGAGGCAUGUAAGUGUACCAAAAGGGAUCUCUAGUCUUAAAACGAUUGAAGGAUAAUACUUUAUGAUAUGAUUCAAAGGUCUCUCGGCAGAGUACAUGAAAUGAUUAUAAAGUACAUUCCAAAUCACAUUCACAAUAAUCAUAUAGACAAGACAAUCACAUUGGACGAUAGACAUAAAUAAACUAUCAACCAAGCAAUGUGAUCAAGACAAUUGAUAUAGAGAAUGAUCAUAUUGCGUUGUAAUUCCAAGCUGAAUACAUUCUCCACCUCUUCUACUUAGCUUGUGUAGCCAUGACAUACUACUAGGUGUCACUUUUGGCUUGUGGAAGCCUUGAAUAUUAGCAAUCACUAAUCAUAAUCAAAGGAAAAAUUGAAAGACAGUUUUAAUUCACAAUCGAUUAGUAAGAGUUCUAAUUGCUCACUACCUCGCUAAUUAGAACCUAAUGGACGUUCACCGUGUAAGGUAGAAACUGAAGAAUACAACGUAGUUGAUUAAGAACAAUUAAGUAGUUUAAUUGUUUAUGAUGAGAUUAAUUAAUAUGUUAAUUAAUCGAACAUAUAAGUUCUAAAUAGGCCUAAGGUUAGUUUCAGGUUUCAUGGCCCAUUGGGAUUAAUUUGCUAAUUUGAUCCAAAUCACAAAUGGCCUAAAGGACCAAGGAUUGUCCAAAACCAGCCAUAAAGAAAAGGAUAAGGUGUUCACAUAUAUGUGAGCCCUAUAUAAGAGACUUCAUACUUCCGUCCUCACUUUGGGUUUUAUGUGAGAAAAGAGAGAUCGAGAGAAAACAAACCACUCGUCCCCUACACCAUAGCCAGCCACAUAGGAGGAAGAUUGCUUGCACUAUAUCUUCCUUCCAUGUCACUCAUCUCUUCUUUACAUCCUACUUUGGUGUGGAGACUUAGAGGCUUCCUUUCUUGGAAACUUUGGAGAUUCCUAUUUCACCAUCCAAAUCCAAGAAGCCAGAGUUCCAAAGGAGCAAAGGAGAGCAAAUGAAUGAAGACCAUCACUUGGGGGCAAUAGCCUUUGCAAAUGCAAACAGGAUCUACAAAGUUGUAAUGGUUUUUAGCUCUCUUGUGAAUUUGAGUUGAGUCAAGGUUCACCACACUACUAAGCUUUGAAUUUUAUGAGUAAAAUUUGUUUUUGAAUGCAUAUGAGUUAGCUUUCGCCUUUUAAUUGUUAAUUAUGCUAUGUAUGUUGCUCAAAUAAUCUUAGUUUAGCUAAUUUUUUUUCUUUCAUACACGCGCUCCACGUCACCUCAUUCGCAUCCAUGUGUUUGGUUUGAAAUUUCGUCACUCGUGAAAGAGCGUGUUAAGUAUGAAUUCCACUUUAGUGAGAGAAAUGACCUUACAUGAGCUUAUAACAAAUAAAUAGAAAACUAUAUUUUAAUCCCUAAUAAGAUGAAGUUUAGAUUAGUUCCUGGUAUAAGAUUCAAAAUUAAGUUUAGUCCCUAUAGGUUCUAGUUUGAAAUUUCAUGAUUUUUCUUUUUCAAAGUUUACACUAAUUCAUUAUAAUAAAAAUUCAGAAUAAUAAUUUGAAAAAUGUGAAAAGAAUACAAACGCAUGUGGUUGCAUCCUUUACGCUUACAUGAUGGUUAUAUUGUCAUUUAGAUUUUUAAAACUCUCCAAACCCUCAUAAAUAGUGUUUAUUGUUGUGUGCAAAAUUAAUGUAGAAGUGUGAAAAAUGUAAAAACAUAUACAAUCAACUCCGAAAUUCAACCAUAAUCCAUAAUCUCUUAUAUUUAACCGUCGAUUGUUGUUUACACUAUAUUCUUCUCACUAUAUUUCAUUUUUCAGAUUUUAUCUUUUGUAAACAUGAUCUUUUAAUGAAUGUAUAAAAAUGAAUGGUCGGACUGUUGAUAUCACGUUCCGAUGUUUAUGAUGAAUUAAAUAUGAGUCGAUGUUAUAUACUUUCUAGAGACUUUAUAACCUCCGAGCAAUAUUUUUACUAACCUUAAAAAUGUGAAUGUGAUAUCAACGAUCCGAACCGAUCAUCUUUUUGCAUCCGCUAAAGGAUCAUGUUUUAAAAAAAAAUUUGAAAAAACAAAAUUCGGUAAGAAGAAUGAGCGUAAGUGUAAAUUACAAUCAACUGUUAAAUUUAAAUCUAUGGUUUAUGGGAUUAUGGUGGCGAAUUUCGGAGUUGACAUCUUCAAAAAGUUGUAGAGCUUCUCAUUACGAGCAUUGUAUAUACUUUUUAUAUUUUCUUCACACGUCUACAUUAACUAAAAUCCCAAGAGACAUUCUUUGGAGGAUUUUAGAGAAGAAAGGAGUACGAGUAGCAUAUAUCCAAGCUAUAAAGGAUAUGUAUGAAGGAGCAAAGACUGCCGUAAGAACUCAUGAAGGACAAACCGAAAGCUUUCCCAUAACUGUAGGAUUACAUCAAGGCUCAUCCUUAAGUCCUUACCUUUUUGCGUUGGUAAUGGAUGAGUUAACAGGACAUAUUCAAGAUGAUAUUCCUUGGUGUAUGCUUUUCGCAGACGAUAUAGUGUUGAUAGAUGAAACUCAGGAAGGGGUAAAUGCAAAGCUUAACCUUUGGAGAGAAGUGUUGGAAUCUAAAGGUCUUCGCCUAAGCCGAUCAAAGACAGAAUAUAUGGAGUGCAAGUUCAGUGCAAAUGGAGGCCAAAACGAGUUAGGGGUGAGGAUCGGAGAUCAAGAAAUACCAAAGAGCGACCGUUUUCGUUACCUAGGAUCUAUCUUGCAAAAGAACGGAGAAUUAGAUGGAGAUCUCAACCAUAGAAUACAAGCUGGAUGGAUGAAGUGGAAGAGUGCAUCCGGCGUGUUGUGUGACCGCCGUAUGCCACUGAAGCUCAAGGGAAAAUUUUAUAGGACGGCAAUAAGGCCGGCGAUGCUGUAUGGCACAGAAUGUUGGGCGGUGAAACAUCAACACGUACACAAAAUGGGUGUAGCGGAGAUGAGGAUGCUUCGUUGGAUGUGUGGGCACACGAGAAAGGAUAAGAUUAGGAAUGAGGAUAUCCGGGGUAAAGUAGGAGUAGCCGAAAUUGAAGGAAAGAUGAGAGAAAAUCGGUUACGGUGGUUUGGACAUGUGCAAAGAAGGCCUACUGACGCUCCGAUUAGAAGAUGCGACUAUGGGACAGAGGUUCAGGGCCGAAGGGGUAGAGGAAGACCUAGGAAAACUUUGGAAGAGACUCUAAGAAAAGACUUAGAGUACUUGGAUCUAACGAAGGACAUGACACAGGAUCGAGCACAAUGGCGUUCUAAGAUUCAUAUAGCCGAUCCCACUCAGUGACUUGGAUUUUCCAAGUCUCCAACCGAGAAGUUUUCCUCACUCGGGAAAUUAAGGGAACACUACCCCAACCUACAUGCUCCACUCAGAAAGCUUCAACAUACAAGCUUCAACAAAAGAAAAUUCAAAGAACUUAGCGAAGAAGGCUUUGGUGUAUUUAACACAAUACGUUGAAAUGAAGGAAAAAGCUUAUUUAUUGAUAUCCCCGAUAAGCUACAAAUAUGUACAUAUACAUGAGUCAAAAUAAACACACAAGAGGGAGCCUUCACAAAGGUUGCUUAGGAGAAGUCUCAGCAGUCGGUAGAGCCCCAGAAAGAGAAGGCACCGGAGGGGGAUCAUUUGGAGCCUCAGUACUGGACAGAACCCUAGAAGGAGGAGGCAU